rnacentral:lncRNA from 1 species
GGCACCAGGUUGCGCUUGUGACCAGGAAAGACAAACUUAUGAACUUGCAAGCAUGGUAAUCAGAUCGACAUCCACACAAUGUCAAUAUGAACAUUGUCUUGAUACAACUUUAUUUGUAUUUUAUUUCAGAAUUUAAACAACUAGUUUGGGCGGGUCACACACGACGUUGUGUGACACUUUAUUUGUCACCGCUGCAUCGACAUAUCCAUCGACUAAACAACGGUGAUCCAACUAUAUAUUACUAGAGACCUUUCCUUAUCAGUAGGCACCAACUCCGGUGCCAACGCUGAAUGGCACACUAGUGGUGGUUCUAUACAAGGGCACAUUGACACGGCACAUCGUUGGCAGGGUACGGAGCGCAAUGGAAGUCAUCACCUCAAGCUGAGCUAUCUGGUGUGGAUGCAAAAAGGUACCCUGUGCCAAUUGUUGUUGUUGAGGUUGUUGCCCGAGUUGCUGCUGCGACUGCUGUUGGGGUUGGGAAACGCAUUGGCCCAACUAUUGCGGUUGCUGCUGCUGAGUUUGGAUGGAACCCUGAACCUGUUGUUGUUCUUGCAGGACGAUGGAGUAGAUGAUAGCACGGAUUGCCUCAUAGCGGGAUUGCUGGGGGAUUUGCGGCAACUGCUGGCAACAUUGUUGUUGCAUCACAUGGCAACUGCUCUGCUGCAACAUUUGCGACCUAGCAAGACUUUGUGGCAUUGCCACAGGGCUGCAUUGCUGCUGGAGGAAUACCUUGCAUGGGUUUAGUUGCUGCAAGAUAGAUGGAUGAACAAAUGGUAUUUGUUGUUGCGGUAGAACUGAUUGUUGUUGUUGCGAAAAUGGUGGUUGUUGCGGUAGUACUGGUUGUUGUUGUUGCGAAAAUGGUGGUUGUUGCUGUGAAAAUGGUGGUAGUUGUUGCUGCGAAAAUGAUGGUUGUUGCGGUAGAACUGGUUGUUGUUGCUGCAAAAAUGGUGGUUGUUGCUAUGAAAAUGGUGGUUGUUGCGAUAGAACUGGUUGUUGUUGCUGUGAAAAUGGUGGUUGUUGCUGUGAAAAUGGUGGUUGUUGUUGCUGUGAAUAUGGUGGUUGUUGUUGCUGCGAAAAUGGUGGUUGUUGUUGCUGCGAUAAUGGUGGUUGUUGUUGUUGCUGUGAACAUGGUUGCUGUUGUGGAAAUGGUUGUGGUUGUUGUUGGAUAGGUUGUUCUUGUUGUUGGUGCCAUAAUGUUUGUUGUGGUGGUAAUGGUUGUUGCUGCGAUGGUCUCUCCAAACCAGGGAUGUGGCUAUUCUCCAUUUGUGCAAUGGCACUUGUCGCCGCAACGGCGAGGAGGGCAAAGAUGAGGAAGGUCUUCAUGGUGGAUUGGUGUUAACUAGUGUUGCUUGGUUUUGAUGCUUGUGCUUGUGACGAUCUUUAUACUUCAUGCCUAUUUAUAGUAGCCCGGGCACCACCUUUUUCUUCUUUGCAUUAGCUUUAAUAAUUUUGUUUGGAUGCAAAAAUGAUUUUUGGUACAAUGUGUUAGGUUGCACUAGCUACACGCGUACUUUUGGAUUGAUCAUCAAAGUUGCUUUUUAGUUGUGCAUAUGAUCACACAUAAAGUACAGAAACCUUGAUGUUUGGUAUAUAUGACUCACCUUAUUCACUUUACAUGUCACACACUUAUCUGGAUAGUAUCACUUUUGCAACCGAGUUUGGAACCUUGUAUAGGCUGUCAUCCAUAAACAAGAAAGGCAAAACUUGUGUAGGACUAAGUGUAGAACUAACUUUGUAUUUUUCCUCUAAAAUGAUUAGAUGAACCGACGCCUAUAGAGCAUGACAUGACUCAUCGAAUUCCCUUUACAUGUAAAGGAUGGUAAUUGCUUACAAGCUACUCCUACUAGCAUAUAUCCGGUCCUAACUCUUGACACGUCAUCAUCAGUUUCGCCUAUUUUUUUAGAUAAAUCAUCAGUUUCAUCUAUUUGUGAAGGGUUUUUUUGGGGGAAAUGAUAGUUUUUUUAUGCUAGGGGGAUUUUUUUGGGGGGGGGGGAUGACGCUAGGGGGAAAUGAUAGAUGGGGCUGGAACAGAGGCCCCCAGCCUGGAGCGAGAGAUUAGGCCCAACAUAAGUGCCGUGUGUUAGGGCACCAAUUCGAUUUGGGCUAUAGUUCUCGUAGGCCCCAACGACACAAGCCCAGCCCACACUCCGCGGAUCUGCGUCCCUCCCUUCCUCGUCCUCCUCGCCGGCCGGACCGCUCGCCGUCGCAGCCUCUCCCGGACGCCCACCGCUCGCGGCCCCUCCACGUACCUCCGCGGCAGCGGAGACGUCAGCCUCCCUCCCACCCUCAACAUCCGGCCCCCCACCACCACCACCACCGCUCGACAAAAAAGGUCACUUUUGAAGCUCCUCCGUCGAUUGUGGGCCGUACGUCGACGGCAGCCACUCCGACCUCCCCAUCAACACAAGGUAUCGAUUUGUUUCGUCUGUCUCUUCCAACGAUUCAAUGCACAUAAAUCCGAGAGGCAGACCCAUCUCCAUGCUAGCUGCACGGAUUAGGAGGGUCAGGCAUCAGAAUUCAGCUGGGAAGCCUGACAGUAAUGUACAUUUGUGGCUUUAGUAGCUGAAUAUAACUAUGUGCUUUCUGAGAAUUUCACUUCAAAAGUUCCAAUAAUCAUCAAAUUUCCCCCUAUGCGCGCUAAGCAGGUGGACCAUAUAUUUCUCAUGUCGACGAACGAAAAAACAAAACUCCACAACUAGAAGUCUAUGAUAUUGACACGGAACCGUGCUGUAGGGUCGCAAGUAAAAAUAUGAAAAGCAUGCCUAAUAAGCGAGAUGACGCAGUUCCUGACCGCCCCGCUACGACUAUUGGUUCCAGCGUGGCGUUUGAAUUAUGCCGCGCUAGAUGUCUUUUGUCCGGCGAGGAACAAGUGGGGUCAAGCGUGCUUCGGCAAUUCCCGCCGUCAGAAGACUUCCUUGUAGUCCGGUGUAGAGGUGAGGUUGUGGGGAGAUACAUCGACUAGCACUACUAGGGAAAAGGCUAGCAGCAGCGCGGGUUUUAGAUGUAUCAGUAGUGCGGGUACCCGCGCUACUAAUACGGCGCUACAGCUAACUCAUAGCAGUAACGCGUGAGCACCCGCGCUACUGCUACACAAGUGUAGCAGCAGCGCGGUUAUGAGAAGCUCGCUACCGCUAGUAGCGCUAGCGCUCUUUGGCCGGACGCUCUACUGCUAUUGAGGCGCUGCUGCUAACUUUUGUACACUCGCUACUGGUAAUUUAAGUAGUUUUUUGGCAUAUUUGUUUUGUAUUUGAACCGGCUUUGUAGAAGAAUCUUUAGCACAUAGAAAUGUCAUCAUGAUACACAUACAAAUGCCUGCGAGACCACAAAUGUAAUCAUAGCAUGUACAUACAAAUAGUCUCUUCAUAAUCAUCAUCCAACACAAAGUGAUAUCUUGUCAUCAUCUCGAAAAUAGCAAUACAUGCAAGUCUCGAAUACUUGCAACUACAACAACGUCAUCCAUCUAAACAAAGGUAUACGCAAGAAGUGCUAUCACUAUGAGUGAGAGCGGAACCAUGCAGUACAUGAGGUGGCGGUUAUGAGUCCUCUCUUGCGCUAGCGUGAACCUCAAGUAACUAGCUUCUCCUUCUUGUCUGCUUUUGAAGCCUUUAUGGCUGGCGCCCGUGAACCCAUUCACUUGCGCCUGACACUCAUGCCACUCGUUGUACACCCCCGGAACCUUCCCUUUGUACACGACAUAGCAUUUCCAUCUCGCCAUCAAGAAACUAGGUACCUGUUAGAGAUGCAUGUUCAUGAAGAGGAUGUACAAUCAUAUAUAUGCAACAAAAUAUACUAGAGCAACACUAAGAAAGAAAGGUUAGCAACUAGAUGCAACAUAUACAUUACGCAAAUUAAUUAACUAGAGGUACGCAGGUCAUCGUACGCAAACUAACAAAGUAGCGUUACGCAAGUUUGGCAGGGACCAUGGACAUCACAAAGUUUCAUCGCUACAAAAAGUAUACAAGUUCAACCGACACAUAUCAUCAUCAUCGGCAUCAUAAAUCACUAGAAGUUCCAUCCUUCCAUAUCAUCGAGGACGAACCCUAGCUGCUUGAACGGCGUGAGGUCUAGACGUUGCAUGCCUAUGCGAGUUCGGACGUCAGCUCGCGAUAUAGGGCCGUGGUGGAACAUCCCCUUCUCAUCGACGACUUCUUUCAUGAUGAUCAUCGCAAUGUCGCUUUGGAUGCGAAAGAAGUCAUCUCUAAGUUUAUAAUUCGCUUCUCCAUGAGAUUCUAGCCACUUGUGGAUAUGAUCAUCAUUUCUGCUGUUAAUGCGAAGCUUUUGGUGAUCCGUGUUGAACUGAAUCAUGAGAUGGACGAUGUAGAAUCCAUCCUUCUUGCUUGGUUUUGGGACGUGGAUGCAGGAGAAGUUAGUUUUAUGCGCGAAACCCAUCUUCUUGUUCCUUUGUUUCCUGAUAUGCACGUGGCCACCUCUAAAGUUGAAGCCUUGGAGAGCAUCAUCUAGAAUAUUCAUUAUGUGGGUGUAGUCCUUUUUCUCGUAGUCUCUAGAAGGGUCAAAAUACACGGCGUGGGAGACUUGCGGGUAAAGAAUGAUAAGGACGGCGCGCCCGUUGCUGCGGGGAAAAGACACCUCAAAUUAUUCCCCAUAUGAGAGAGAAGGAAUGAUUGAAAUGUACGAAAGGGUUGUCCGGAACUGACUUACUUUGGAUGAUAAGGCACGAGGACAAUUUCCCGGUCCUUAUUCUGUACCAUGAAGUUUUGGAGGUACUCCCUAGCAGUUUCACGCUCAAAGUCGCCGAGACUCAAGAAAGACUCGUGCAUGUAGUACGGAUCCGCCACACAGAUUUGCGAGACUUCUUCACUCUUCACGACGGAGCUCAUAUGUAGCGCAAAAAGGCGGACGAUAGUAAAAUCAAGCCGCCUUGUUAGAAACAUCUCAAAGAUAUGGUCAAACCGCAGGAAGAACACCUCCGUGGGCCGUGUGUCGACGUAGCACUUCCCCUCAGGCACACGAGCUGCGUAUGUCGGAUAUCCUGGAUCCUUUGAGGCUAGUAGGCUUUUCUCAGUCGACAGCACGUGGUCGUGCAGUCUCCUGAGAUUCCCUGAUAGUGCCUCCAGCGGUUUCGGCGGUAGCAUCGGCUCGCCCGUGAGAUGGAACAUGACCGCACCUUUCACGGGUACACGCUCUUCAGAAUGCAUCGUCUGGCUGCUGUGUGCUCUGGCUUGUUUGGAGGCAGUUACCUUCCCCAAUCUCUUCCUCUCCUUUUUCUUGGGCACACCUUCCAGACCCUUCCUUAACCCCUGCCCAAGUGUUCCCGGGCUAAGUAUUGUACGACCCUCACGCCCGGCUAGUUGAGCCUGUGUUGAGGCGGCAUCUUCAGGCGUGUCCUGUGAGGAUUUCAUGAAGAGAGACUUUUUGCAUUCCAUGGUACGGCCCUGCCCGGGCAUAUCAUCCAUAUCCUCAUUAGCAAGCUGAUAGCCCGAUUCGUCAUAUGGUUGACUCAUCAUAUCUAUGUCACAGUCAUACGCGUUUGUAUUGAGGUAAUCCAUCGGGUCGACCUCCGUCUCAUCAUCCAUUCUCUGUUCUACAGGAGAAAUUACAUCAGCCAGUACUAUUGCACCCCCUUCAUCAUGUCGUCCGCCGCUCUCACACGGCACUACUACAGGAGCUGGUAAUUGCGUAGGUGGGGUGGUGGUCUCCGCACAUGCUUGCUGAUGUGUGGUAGUUAUUGGUGUGCUCUCGGCCGGCUCCAGACGAAUAAGAUUCUUCGGCCAUAGCAGCACCCAACCCUUGCAGCGUCCAAUCCGCGGCGGGGUCUCGUCGUCCGCUCCCACCUGCUGUACUGGAGGAGGCAAAUCCUCGUGCCCCGAUUUCACACUGGUCAAGCUAACCCUGAAGUGCCCAGCGGGGAUCGGCUGGUUGUGGAAUGUGCGUUGAGAGGGGUCCAUUAUCAUCCCCUUUCCCACGUCCACCUUCUGGCCUUUGAUCAAGUAGAGUAUGGUGCAUGGGGUUUCUUUCGCCUGCAAACACAUAUGUCUGUGGUGUAAAACAACCGAAAGGCAACAAAAAUGGAAUAUUAUAUAUAUAUAUAUGUUGGUGCGACAUGUAAUUACCGUGACGGCGUCGAGCUCAGCCAAAGACGAAGGCCCACCUAGCGCGCCUGAGACUGAGGACGGGCUGCUAUGAGCUGGAGCGGCUGCGAGAGGAGGCCCGGUUGCUUGAGCAAGUGAUGGUGCGAUGGUGUUGUUCAUGGAGUUGCUCGCGACGAAACUGGGCAUUGGGAAAUCAUGUACCGUCUUGUCUGGAUUUUCCUUCGCCCAGUUGAUGAUAACUGGAACCAAGUUAGUAGCGAAAUCAUUUCUGCAGGCAUUUACAGCUGCAUUGACUGCCUGCUGUAGCAACUCAUAUUUGUCCUUGGCUGCUUUUUUCGCGUCCUCGGCUGCUUUUUUCUCGACCGCAAGCUUCACCUUUGCGUCGAUGUCCGCCUAACUAAACUUCUUUUUCUGCUUCUUGGCCUCCGGGCCGUCGUUGUAAAACACCUUCCACGUGGCGCCGUCUCCAGCGCCGUGCACACGACCAUAUUGCGGCCGCUGGUCCAACGGGAGUCCCUUAAGUUCGUUCAAGGCCCAGUUGAGAGGUGUGUCCCACUUGGGCCUCAUCGGAGAAGUAGGGCUUUCGGCUGCAAGCCGGUGUUGCUUCUCCAGUAGUCUAAUCAAUUUCCUCGUGAUCUUGUCCGUGUAAAAAACCUUUUUCUCCUUGUCCCACUUGUAGCGGGCCCUGAUGAAGUCAUGCUCCAAGGGGUUGGUGAACUUCGCGAAGGGGUCUGGGAGACCCGCGGCUUCACGUUCCGCGUCCUCCUUAUCCCAUAUGGGCCUUUUACCGAGGUAGCCACGGCUUCCGAGGCGAUGCUUCCCCAUGUUCCGGAGCUGAAGGCUUUUGAAUUUCGCAGCCUUAGCCUUGGCUGCCUUGGUAGCGCAAGUGUCCUUGAACUUUUCGAACUCCUCUUCCGUAAGUGUCGGAUUUUCCUCCAGAAUCUUGGACAGGGGUUCAUCAGCCUCAAUAGCUCGUUUCACCCUCCCUUUCCAGGAGGCCAAAUCAUUGCUGAACAUGCCCAUGGCGUGAUUGUUAAUCUUUUUCAUCUUCGGAUCAUCCCACGGUUGUUCUAUGUUAUCAUCCCGGUCGGGGAACUUGAAUCUCUUCUGCAACUUCGUUAGGAGCAACUGCGUCAAAUGUUCUUUACUCCUUAAGUCAUCAUCGUUGAUGCUCGCGCAUUCCCGUAGGAUGCAUCCUACUUGGUUCCCAUAGCACUUGCGAGGUUCUUCCGGCUCUAACGGCUCAAACUUUCCAGGUGCCAUCUUUGUGAUCACAAGUCGUCCAAUCCCUAGUUUGUUAGGUUUUCGUAUCCUCUGCUUCUUAUGCUUCCUCUUUUCGGUAUCGGCAUCGGGGCCGGUACCUUCCCCGCCGGUCUCGGCGCCGCCAUCGGUGCCGGCGCCGUCGGUGCCGGCACCGUAGGUGUCGAUGUCGGCGUCAGUACCAUCAUCGAGGCCGACCUGCAAACCUUGCUUAGCAGUCAAAUAGUCGAGGUACUCUUGUUCACCCUCAUAAUCCAUCUCGUCUGCAUCUUGGUCAGAAGGCCCAGUUUCUUCGUUGUUCGACAUGUUUCCUAUGAUUAAGUGGCCUCAUUUAUUUCUAAAAGUAUGAAUAAAUGAGAAAUGACAUAAAAAGAAAUCUAUGUGCCAACACUCGAUAUGCCAACUAUGUAGCACAAAUCAUGCCUUUAUUCACGGGAAAUUUCGGCAUGACCUUUGCUAAAAAAUGGACAUAUCGAGCGCCUGAAAUUCACCGAAACGGAAAUGAAUCAACAUUCCUGCGCAACAUAGGCCACUCGGAUCAUUUUCCAAACAUGACAUGUCCAAAACAUGACAUAUGCACAUAUCACAUGUCCAGUUCAAAUUUCCAUAUAAAUUCAGCUAAUUCAUAACUAAAUAGAUAACCUAAUUAAUUAACAUGAAGANNNNNNNNNNNNNNNNNNNNNNNNNNNNNNNNNNNNNNNNNNNNNNNNNNNNNNNNNNNNNNNNNNNNNNNNNNNNNNNNNNNNNNNNNNNNNNNNNNNNNNNNNNNNNNNNNNNNNNNNNNNNNNNNNNNNNNNNNNNNNNNNNNNNNNNNNNNNNNNNNNNNNNNNNNNNNNNNNNNNNNNNNNNNNNNNNNNNNNNNNNNNNNNNNNNNNNNNNNNNNNNNNNNNNNNNNNGGGGGCGAGCGACAUGGUCGGGGGCGAGCACGCCGGAGUCGGGGUCGAGAGCGGGACAGGGGCGAGCGCCGGGGCUGGCACCGGCGCCGGCAGGGUCGGGGGCGAGCGCCGGGGCCGGGUCGGGCACGGCGGAGCGACGGGGGCCGGAGAGAGAGUGGGGAUUUGGGGGGAAAUGGCGGGAUGAAGCUGGGCGAGUGCGAAUUUUGGGUUAAGUGGACGUAGCAGUAGCGGGUUAUGUCAAAACGCGCUGCUACUAUAUUCUGUAGCGGCAGCGGUUUAUGAGAAACACGCUACUACUAUGGUGCGUAGCUGCAGCGCUUUAUGGGAAACUCGCUACUACUAUGGUGCGUAGCGGCAGCGGUUUAUGAGAAACACGCUACUACUAAGAUCUAGCAGCAGCGGUUUUGUGGAAACGCGCUGCUACUGCCGUCGCUACUGCCAGGUUUCCUUUUUCUUUUCCUUUAUUUUAUCCCACUUUUAUUUCCCGAGGGCAAUGAACGAAGGGAGGGCGAUAUAUAUUGCAUCAUUUGACGGUUAAAUAUGUAUGCAAAAUAGGAACAUAUAUAUUACACAUCAUUGGACCCAUGCAUAAUAAUGACUAAGUGUGUAUACAAAUUAAAUAGGAACAUAUAUAUAUUACACAUCAUUGGACCCAUAACAUACGUUUCCUCAGUGCUGACGUUUUCGUUUUUGAGUCAGCUUCUUUCCCUUCUUGUUCGUCGAAGAAUAAUUGAGCCCCUCAUUGUGACUUUGCCUUUUCCAUGGAGUACGAUUUUUCUUAGGUAAUGUAGUAUUGAUUCUUCUUUUGACGUAUACUUCAUCAUCAUCAUCAUCUUCCCUCAUUGGGUUGCUGUACUGAUCAUAGUCUUCCUCGUUGGCGACUCCAUCCAUUCCAAUGAUGUUCCUUUUGCCUCUCCUCACGACAACACGGCUGGGAUUGCGCGGGUCAGUUAUGAAGAAACAUUGUGUCACGUGCUUAGCGUGUACCCAUGGCUCGUUUUUUGCGAUAGCGUUCAUGGUAGCGCUCUUGGCGUCGGGUAUAGUCAUGGUAGUGAACAUCCGGCUUUCUCUUUCGACAUUCUUAGCCCAUCUGACACGGAACAUCAUCGUGCUGUGCAGUCCAGAGUAGUCAAGCUCCCAGAUCUCCUCGACCCUUCCAUAAAAUCGUUCAGUUGUGCCGUUGUCGCUGCCGGUCAUGCAUUCCAUCGUCACCCCUGAGUUCUGAUCAUCACUGUCCAUAUCUUUUGCCUCUGUGUAGAAUGUGUAUCCGUUGAUAUCAUAUGCCUGAUAGGUUACGAGGUUGGGCGAGGGGCCAUGUGCUAAGGCGUAUAUGAGCAAUCCGUCCUUAGAGCCCUCCUCCGGUGGAUUAGCAAUAAUAUGCUCUUUGAACCAAUGCAGGAAAGUGGAGUUGUGCUCUCUAGUAACUUCGGCGUCCGUCCUGCAUACCCCCCGGUCACGAUACUUCUUUGUGAUAAUUUCUUUGUGCAGUGCCACGAAAGGAUCUACCUCGUCUAGGUGUUGUAGCACUACCAAGUUUGCUCUGUCAAAGUCGCUGCGUCGAUCUGAGUAUGCCACGUGCAGUUCCCUGCGACCGUUGCAGUGACCAUCUCCUUUGAGCCUCCCAUCGUGCUUGUUAACGGGCAAACCAACACUAACACCAGGCGGCUGGUCUGCGCCAUAUAAAAAAUUCUCACAGAAAGAGAUGCACUCUUGUGCCAAAUAGCCCUGGACGAUGCUUCCAUCCGGACGGGACAUGUUACGAACGAAUCCUUUGAUGAUCCCAUUCAUCCACUCAAACGGGAUCAUGUUGUGCAGGAAUGACGGCCCCAGGUCUAUUAUGUCAUCCACAAUAUGGACACACAGAUGCACCAUCACGUCGAAGAACGCGGGCGGGAAGUACAUCUCAAGCUCAUUCAGUAUCACAACGAUCUCUUCCUGUAGCCUUUGGAGCUGCUUCACACUGAUCGACUUUCGAGAGAUGACAUCGAAAAAGUUGCAGAGACCAAUAAGCGUGUCACGGACGUGCUUGUCCAUUAUCCCUCUAAGGGCAACAGGUAGUAUCUGCGUCAUCAUCACAUGACAGUCAUGAGACUUCAUCCCGCUGAACCUUUUCUUGUCCGUGUCUAGAUAUCUGCUUAUCUUGCCACAGUAACCGGAACUAACUUUCACUCCGGUAAGGCACUUAAAGAAUUGAUUGAUCUCAGCCUGACUUAAGGUGAAGCAAGAGGGGGGGCAAUAAUCUUCUUUCUUUAAUUUCUUGCCCUUCUUCUCCCGUGCCUCUGUCUUCGUCUCUGUCUCGUCUGACAUUUUACGGGGCGGCAUCUGCAGAUCUUCCCUGAUUUUCAAAUCUUGCAAGUCUUUUCUUGCCUUCGGCCCAUCCUUGGUCUUAUCCGGCAUGUUCAUCAGUGUUGCGAGCAAGCUCUCAAGGACAUUCUUACAGAUAUGCAUUUGAUCAAGGCAAUGAGGUGUAUCGAGUUUGUGCCAGUACUCCAAGUCCCAGAACACGACCUCGUCUUCCAUACCUUCAGCAGCGGCUCCGGCGCCUUUCUCAUCGUCUUUCCCGGCGCGGGGCACUCAUUCCAGUUUUUCAAUAGCUCAUCGAUUUCGGCACCGCUCCGCUUACGUGGAGGUCCUCGAUGCUCAGCGUGACCAUUGAAUAGAUCUCCACGGUUUCUCCACGGGUCGUCCUGUUCAAGCCAUCUUCGAUGCCCCAUGUACAUGAUUUUCGCAGACCCGCCAUCUUUCCUUGACGUUAGCUGCUGAGACGUUGUAUCAUCCAUGCACCGCGUGCAUCCGCAAUAUCCAUGGCACACCUGGCCUGCCACAUAUCCGUAACCGAGAUAGUCCUGCACUGUCGUGAUCAGCGCGGCUCUCAUGUUGAAAUACUCACCUUUGCUGGCGUCCCAUGUCUUGGCCGGUGUUUUCCAUAACGUGUCUAACUCCUCUUGAAGUAGCCCCAGAUACAAAUUAAUAUUAUUUCCUGGUUGUUUCGGCCCUUGAAUAAGCAUGCUCAUGUGAAUGUACUUCGAUUUCAUACACAACCAGGGGGGGAGGUUGUACAUCCAUACAAACACGGGCCAUGUACUAUGGUUGGUGUUCUAGUUGCCAAAUGGAUUCAUGCCAUCGGUACACGCGCCGAGCACGAUGUUCCUUGCAUCACAUUCAAAAUACCGUUAGAAGCUGUUCAACGCUCUCCACUGGCUUCCAUCCUUCACGUGUCUCAGCUUCGGAUCAUCUCCAUCGUCGGGCUUCUUCCUCUCCGCGUGCCAGCGCAUUAGCUUUGCUUCCUUGGGAUCUACAAAAUACCUCUGAAGACGGGGAGUGAUCGGUAAGUACCAUACAACUUUCUGGGGACAUUUCUUCCCGGCCUUCUUGUAUCGAGAAGCAUUGCACACCGGACAGCUUGUUUUUUCCGCGUGCUCCUUCCGAUAAAUUAUGCAAUCGUUGAUGCAUGCAUGGUAUCUAACGUGUGGCAGAUCAAGAGGGCACACGAUCUUCUUGGCCUCAUCAACACUAGUAGGACAUAGAUUACCCGCGGGAAGAAUAUCCUUUAGGUACUUGAGAUGGUCAUCGAGGCUAGUGUCGGUCCAUUUGUUUUUAGCCUUCGUCUUCAGGAGUUGGAGCGUGAAACUCAACCGGGUCACCUCAGGAUUGCAACCAUCAUACAAUGGAGUGUUCGAGUCUACCACCAGUUGCUCCAGCUUAGCCUCCUCUCUAGAAGCAGCUCUCUCAGUACUCGUCUCCUUGCGAAGCAAUGCUUGAACAUGAGGGUCCCGCACAAUUGAACUUAGUACCGACGAACUCUGCUGCGUGGAGUCCAUGUCGUUCUCUCCGCCGCCAUGUCCGGCCCCUUCUCCUCCGCCAUGUCCGGCCACUUCUCCGCUGCCAUGUCCGGCCUCUUCCCCGCCGCCAUUAUCGAUCAUCUCUUCGUCUUGCCCCGUGUCAUCAUUGCCUGCCCCGUCGGCAUCCUCAACAUCUUCAUCCUCAUCUUCAAUUAUCCACCGAGUAUAGCCAUCCAUGAAACCAGUCAUGAGCAGGUGCGCUUCGACACGACCAUCGUCAUGGGGGUCGAGCCAAACUAUUCCUUUGCAUUUUCAACACGGACAUAAAACCUCUGUCCGGUUAUUUUCUUUCAUGUCUUGCACCGCCGACCGCAACCACCUGUCCACCAUUGUUCCACUGACCAUCGUCAACUCUGCACGGUAAUAAUAAAAAAAUUGAUUGUAAAAAUGCAUGCAUGCAUCAAAGUCAUAAAAAAAUUUGGCAUGACCUUCCCUAAAAAUAGGACAUAUAUGGAUCUAGAGUUUGCCCGAAAUUCGCCGAAACGAAAAUAAAUCGACAUUUCGGCAAAACAUAGGCAACUCAAAAGCACAAUUUGGCGGCGUCAACUCAUGCCACAGACACAAUUUCCACAAACAUAUCACACAUACACAUAAACACAUUUCCAUUUUGCAAAAGCAUGAAAUUUUCAUCACCUCUAUCUCGAUGGCCGGAGAUGAUGUUGUAGGGAGAUCAAAAGUGCACAAAGCUAUUCUUGACAAAGAUAGAUCUAGUUAGGGGGCAAAUAGGUCACUUAACUAAAUCCUACAUCUACCUAGCUACCUAAUUUGGAAGGAGACAACUUCAACUAGUGGAGGGGGAGGAAAAAGAGAAAGAAGAUGCAUUAAUUAAUGGAGGUGGUGUAGUUAUGUAGGAGUAAUGAAGAGAGAGAAGGUGGAUAGAGAANNNNNNNNNNNNNNNNNNNNNNNNNNNNNNNNNNNNNNNNNNNNNNNNNNNNNNNNNNNNNNNNNNNNNNNNNNNNNNNNNNNNNNNNNNNNNNNNNNNNNNNNNNNNNNNNNNNNNNNNNNNNNNNNNNNNNNNNNNNNNNNNNNNNNNNNNNNNNNNNNNNNNNNNNNNNNNNNNNNNNNNNNNNNNNNNNNNNNNNNNNNNNNNNNNNNNNNNNNNNNNNNNNNNNNNNNNNNNNNNNNNNNNNNNNNNNNNNNNNNNNNNNNNNNNNNNNNUGUGGUGGAGGGAAGAGAGGAGAGGGGGAGGUAGGGGGGAAGGGAAAAAAGGAAGGGGGAGGGGAGGGACGGGUUGGGGGUUGGUGGGGUUAGCAGUAGCGCGGGAGAUAAAACGCGCUGCUGCUAAGAACUUAGCAGCUGCGCGCUUUGCGGUAAGGCGCUACUGCUAACUGGGACAAAAAAUUGUGGCAAUUUGAAACUUACCAGCAGCGAUCUCGAGGAAACCGCGCUACUACUACGUACUUAGCAGUAGCGCUGUUAUUGCGACCGCGCUACUGCUACUUAGAGUUGGGGGAACACCGCCGGUCGAUAUUUGUAGCAGCGCGUUUCUUGUCGAGCGCGCUACUGCUAAAUCUUUAUCAGUAGCGAGUUUACGUAACCCGCGCUACAACUACUUAGCAGCAGCGCUCUAUUUUGAACCGCGCUGCUGCUAAGAUUCUGUGUAUAGGCUUUUCCCUAGUAGUGUAGGAAGGAAUGACCACAUGAAUGAGCAUACGUAUGAUGUGAUUAAGUCUCUCGAUUGGGUAUCUGGUGCCUUAUGUACGGUGUCUUCUUUUUGUCAAGCUAUGACAUCUUUCAGUUUGAGUGUCUGAUAUUAGGGUUGCAUACGUUUUGUUAUUCAGUUGCCUGUUGUGAACUCUACGGUUAUAUCAUCUCGAUGUGUGAGUCAAUGUGUUUGAACCAAUGUAGAGUUUCAUGUGAAUGUUACAAGUGUGAUUGAUAUGUUCAUGUUAUCCGCGGUUGCCUUGGUAAGAAACUGAAAGAGCAAACCGUUAUCGUGCUAGGACAAAAGUCAUCACUCAAUAUAAGUGCUUCUCUAGAACAGCCACACCUUGUGAAAGAAGAUGGCAAACACCCAAUCAUGUCUGGUUCGAUAUGGGCGUGGCUAUGGGUAGCUUAUAGCGACAUGGAAGCCAGCAUCGCUGGAAGAAACGCCCGGGUGGGCCGGCCUAGAGACAUUUCUUGAUAUCUACCCUUAGUUUUGUUUUUCUGCCCUUCUUUCUUUAUAUUUAUAUUUUUCCCGACAUGUUCACUACUUGAUGCUCAACUGGGAUCUCAUCCUUCACAAAUACGGAGAGCCAUUAUUGUUAGAGUUAAUCUUGACAUGUGUGUAUGUGCAUGUGUGCAUUGCAUGUUAGUGGUCUAGAGAUGGCCGGGUCGAUGCGUCUGUUCUGUGCUGGAGUGAGUCCAGCAGUUUGUUUUGGUCAGGUCGUGGUGGCUAGAGCCAUUCUAGGAGAGGAUCAAGUCAAGUUGUUAGCUGAACUCGGCUGGGUAGUGUUUGGCCGUUGAGGAUAGGCUGUACUAGUGGUGGGCAUGGCCGUGCAUAUAGCUAGCGAUUAGUUACACUAGUAGAAAACCACCCAUUAGUCCCGGUUCGUAAGGGCCUUUAGUCUCGGUUCAGGAACCGGGACUAAUGGGUCGUUACUAAUACCUCCACCCAUUAGCCCCGGUUCAAACACGAACCGGGACCAAUGUGCCUCCACGUGGCCCUGUGCGGCGAGCCCAGUCAGGGGGCCUUUGGUCCCGGCUGGUGGCUCCAACCGGGACCAAAAGGCAUCCACGCGUCUGCAUUCUAGUGGUUUCUGGUUUUUGUUUUUUUUUUGAAAGGAGGGGGGUUGGGGGUUUUGGGGAGUUAAUUUAGGUGUUUCGUAUAUUGUGUUAACUAGCUAAUUAAUAGAGAGAAGUGUCCUCUCUUAUGUCCGUGCUUGGUCGACGCUACGUAGUAUAUAUACAUAAGUAAUCGAGAGAACCAUUCAGUACAGAAGUUCGUCAUGCAUACCGAGAGAAGUGAUCGAUCGACCUCUCCUUCUCCGAGAGAUUGGUCGAACAACAAGUUUUUUACUGGCUACAUACAUGUACAAUAUGUAUAAGAUCUCUUAAUUACAAACCCAUAGCAUUUGAAAUCAACUUCCACAUGGUAUUCUCCGGCUUUACUGAUGACGUGUUCAAGAAAGAAUCCCGCUAAUUCCUCUUGAAUUGCUUUCAUGCGAUCUGGUUCUAGGAGUUCACCCCGCAUCUGCCACGUCUAAUUAAUUUGAAGAAGGGGGUUAAUUAAUACAUAUAUAUGAAUGAAACUCAACAGAAAAUGAUGGUGUAAUAAAAUGAAAUUGUGAAUAUUAUUGCUUACGCACUUCAUAUUGUCUUCUAGAGUAGCCCCGCUUGUUUCUCAAAGUUGCGUUGUGGAUGAACUCGCACACGUAGUAUCCACAAAAAUCAUUCCCUUCCUCCUGUCACAAGCACUUUACGAGAAACAGAGGUCAAUCAAACUGAUAAUGAAGCAUUAUAAAUGGCAUUGAUGAAAGUAUAGCUAUAGAAUCAACGGGAGAUGCACGCAACUAGCUAGCCAGUAGUACUUACUUUCGGGUAUACAUAUCGCAGCUCCUUCGGCAGUCCCGGAGCUUGUGCGGUGAACUGUUUCCGAACCCUGCAAGACAAAGAAAAUAAUUAUUAUUACUUGAGAUAUCAGGAAAUGAACAAAAAGUUGCCGAUAUGGUGCGAUAAUGAUCGAUUGAACUUACUUGCUGAGCAUUUCAGUCAUGUCCACAUAGGUGCUGGGAUCUUUCCGUCUCGAGUCUAAGACGGUUACUAGUCCACGCUCAAGCUUAAUCUCCAGAAGAAUAUAGUGGUACCUGCGCACGCGUGCAUAACUCAUCAAUUACAUUAACCUCGCUCGAGUAAUAAGGGAAACCGAAUAUGCACACGACAGUAACACUCACGGGCCGUUGUAAGGAAAGAGUAUGGUAUCUUUGUUUUGAUUUUUGAUCAACGAUUGUAGCAAGUUGUCCUCGGCCUCUUCGACGUUCUUUUCAACCAGAAAUACAUCUAUGAUAUUUGUGUUAAUGAACCCAAUAUCAUAAAUUUUUUGUUUUUUGCACUCGACGAUCUUCAAUCUGCAUAAUAUAUUGAGGAUAAUUAAUUAUAAAUACAUGCAAUGAAAGAUCCGAGCUAUAUAUAGAGACUUAAUGUCAGAAAUAGUACUUACAUGCAGUAGCAAAAGACCAUUAAUUUAUCGAGGGCCUUUUGAUUGAAGAACUCAAAGAACUCCUCAAAUGGAACACACAACAGAUCAUUUGAAAUGAGGUCGUGCUCCUCUUUAAUAUUCAAAUACAAACUGUUCGUCCCCUCAGACUCUCUGCAGGUUUUCAUGUACCAAUUAUGGAAUCUUCGCAUCAUUAUUGUCAGAGAUUUUUCAUCUUUGACGAGAGGCUUCCCGUACUCGUAUCUGAAUACGUCCACCUCCAUGAAAUCAGGAAGUGCAUCGUCAGGCAGGUAAUCUUCAAGAUUGCCAUAACCGGCCACCGUCCCCGGAGGAUUAGACACAUUGAGCGGGGGGCACGAUUGCUGUGCUUGUUCGCCGAGCUGGGCAAUUUUUUUCCCCUUUGCUCGUUGUUCUUUUGACCUUUUAUCAUUGACAGUAGUUCCCGACCGCUUGGCUUGGAGAUAUGUCUGUUCAGUAAUGCGCUCAUAGUUGGUUCUCGGCGGAGACUUUGGUGGUUUCCUCAGGGCAUCGAGAGUGCGCUUUGCUUUCACCGGAUCUACCUUCUCCUCCGGAGGUGGAUGUCUCUUUGCUUUCACCCCUUCAAAGAACUCCUUCACGUGGGCCUGCACGAUCGUAUUGUUUUCCUCCUUGGUCCUCUCGUACGGUAACUUCUCUAGAGGCUUUAGAGGUGGACCGUAUCUGUAUUGCCUCUCUCUUCUUGUGCUGCUAGACGCCGGAGCAGACGGAGCGGCUGUGGCGUCUGUCUUCUUCCGUGCUUGCUUAUGAGGCGGAGGAGAAGGACUACGACGCGCCGGAGCAGCCGGGGCGGCGGCGGGUCUCUUCCGCCCUUGCUGGCGAGGCGGAGAGGAGGAGGCGGAGUGCCGCCACAUGCCGGAGAAGGAGGCGGAGUGCCGCCAUGCGUGCCCUGAUCGUCACUCGCCGGAGGAGGAGGCGGUGGAGGAGGCGGAGUGCCGCCACGCGUGCCCUGAUCGUCACUCGCCGGAGGAGGACGCGGUGGAGGAGGCGGAGUGCCCUGACUCGCUGAAAGAGGAGGAGGAGGCGGAGGCGUCCAGUUCAGAAGGUUGAUGAGCUCCUUCUGCCAUAGGCAUGGAGUCUUCAGAGCAGAACCCAGCCUAGUCUCCCCUUCACCGGUAGUGUGCUCAAGCACGAGGUCCUCAAAUCCCUCCGUUAUUUCAUCCACCAUCACCUUAGCAAAUCCUUCUGGAAUUGGCUGGCAGUGAUAAGUUGUGCCGGGUCCACUAGGAUAAACUUGGCCAACAGCCGCCUUGACCUUCAAAUUCAUCCAUCACACAAUAAUGUGGCAAUUUUGAGACUCCGUGAUACCAUCCACGGGAUAGCUGGCAGGAGCCGUCAAGACAUGCUCCGGCUGAAGCAGCUCAGUGGAAGCCACGCUGCUUCUCUGCUGAGAUGGCGGGGUAGCUUCGGGGGAAGCUUCGGCAGGUCGUUUGUUGUGAUCUGCUGCUUCUUGUUCCUCUAGCCCCAUUACCCUUUCGUGCAGCGCCUGCAUUUGGUCCUGCUCCAGUUUCUUCCUCCUCUCGUAGGCUUUGUAAACGCCUGCGUCCAGAAAACCAACCUUCCACGGAAUGGAGCCUGGCGUGCCUCGUGUCCGUCCAGGGUGCUCGGGAUUCCCAAGGGCCAUUGUGAGCUCGUCCUUCUCCCUGUUUGGAAGGAACGUCCCUCGUUGUGCUGCAUCGAUAUAGUGUCGAAGGUUCUUGACUGGUGUUUGCAGUUGCUCGUCCGUCCACUGACGCUUCCCUGUUACAGGGUCCAAGGUUCCGCCAGCCCCGAAGACCCAAGUCCGGCAACGGUCUGGCCAGCGCAUUGUCUCUGGUUCGAUUCCUUUUUCAAGCAGAUCAUGCUCAGCCUUGGACCACUUAGGCCGGGCUUUGAGGUAGCCACCUGACUCCGUGCGAUGGUGAAGCUUCUUCUUCGCAGCAUUUUUCUUGUUUGUCUCCGACAUCGUCUUACUCUUUUCCGAUGUCUUGUGGGCCACAAAUGCGGGCCAGUGAUCUUUGAUCUUCUCAUAUUUGCUGAUGAAUUCUGGUGUCUUUUUUUUCUCGAGAAACUGGUUCAGCUCUUUCCUCCACCUCCUCAUUAGGCUUGCCAUCUUCUUAAGAGCACAAGACUUGAUUAAUUGCUCUUUAACUGGCUUCUCCGGAUCCUCCUCUGGCGGUAGGGUGAAAUUUGCCUUCAGCUCAGUCCAAAGAUCUUCUUUCUGCAUAUCAUUGACAUAAGACACCUCAGGGUCUUCAUCCUUAGCAGGCUUAUACCAUUGCUGGAUGCUGAUCGGGAUCUUGUCCCUAACAAGAACCCCGCACUGAGCAGAAAAUGCCUUCCUUGUCCGGAUGGGUUCAAUCGGUUCGCCGUCGGGCGCGAUUUCUAUGAUCUCAAACUUUUCAUCCGAGAUCAACUUUUUCUUCGGGCCUCGUCUCCUUACCGAAGUUGUGCUCGAUCCGGAGGGCUAGAAAUUAUAAGGAAGAAAGACGACAGUAAUUAAUAUGUGUACAUAUACCAAAACAAUGGAUGCAUCAAUUAACUAGUCAGCACGGGCUUAACUAAUAUAUAUAUACCUGGCCGGACUCGGUUCGGUGACCGGAGCAGUCAGCACGGUCUCCUUGUACCUCCAUUGUGUCACCGGAGCCAUCAUGAACAUAGUCCUCCUCUUGUACCGGCAUUAAUGGGUCGAAGCCAUCAUAAACAUAGCCCUCUUCUUCAUCCAGUCCUUCCAGCUGACCAUCGGUGUCGAUGAGAAAUGACGCAACAUCAUCACUUCCAUUUGCGAUUAUGUCCCCCAACAUCGCUUCUGUUUCUUCGUCUCGGGAGUGCUCCAUAGUUUCUGCAAAUAUUUACAACAUGUCAAUUAUUAUUCAAACAUGGUACAAAUGGAUAUAUAUAUAUAUAUAUAUAUAUAUAUAUAUAUAUAUAUAUGAAAAUGGAUUGGUACUCCUAGGAGUACAUACUCUCACCUACACCCGUCAUCGUUGGAAACAUUCAUCCCGCUAACUACUAAAAAAAGAGCUAACUAACUACGGAUAAAGCCUUUGGAUUUAAAAAUUAGUUGAACCGCUUCCUUUUUUUUCAGCUCUCGUAGGCGUGCCUUCCAGGGAUUCCAUUUGAAACGGCGUUCUCAUCUCUUGCCAGCACCCAUGAACAUAAAAAAACAGAGCAUCGGCUCGCCUCCGCCCCGCCGACUGACCGGAAGACUUGGUCGACAUGGCCGACGAUGAUCCCCGUGCUUCUUCCCUCGCAAACUAGGCUUCAACCACCACGUCCAUCAAUCAGAGGAAGAUUGAUUCAUCAUCUGUAGUUUGCGAGGGUACGUGCAAUUGAUGUUUCCCGAUUUUUCUGUUCGGCUACCACAACCGUGUUCAUGUUCCCGCUGACCCCUUGAUCCAUUCCUGUCCAGUAUGUCAUCGUCCGAGAAGAAAAUAGGACGGAGAUGAUUGAUCGGCCAGAUUGAUCGGCCAAGUCUACUAGUACCACUGGUGGAAAAAAGGCCUUUGGUCGCGGUUCGCAACUGCCAUUAGUCGCGGUUGCGCAACCGCGACCAAAUAAGCGCGACUAAAGCCCCCCACCUUUAGUCGCGGCUGCUUAAGAACCGCGACUAAAGGCCCGUCCAUGUGGGCGCCAGGCGGCCGUCGGGACGGAGGACCUUUAGUCGCGGUUCUUCUGGCCAACCGCGACUAAAGGCCGCCACAGGUUUAGGGUUUUAGCCCCCCCCCUAAACCUGUUUUCUGUUUAAUUUGUAUUGUUUUAUUUCUUUUGUGCUUUAUUUUAAUUUUGAAGGAGUUUCAUAUAUUCUACGGUACUACAUACAUGCAUAUGAAUGUACAAUUUCAAAUAAAUUUGAAAUUAGAACCAAAAAGAAUUCAAGAGGAAUAUACAAUAUAUAUUCAAUAUCAUCGGAUGACCAUAUACAAUUUUGAACAAGUUUCCAUACAUGAUUUAAUGCAUAUAAAGUUCUACGUCCUCGUAAUAGUGUUCUCCUUUAGGAUGGAGGACUUCCCUGCUGAACCAUCCAGCUAGUUCCUCUUGAAGUGGUCGGAAGCGAGCUUCUGGACUAAGCAUCCACCGGAGGUUAUUCCUCUGAGCAUUGGUAUCACUCGGAACCCGCUCAGAGGUGUAUCUCCGGAUCAUCUCACAGACAUAGUAUCCACAUAGAUUGGUCUCCGGUGGCUGAAUAUCCCCAGCAUUCUUAGCCACUGACCUUUUGAAUUCUAGCUCUUUUUUGAAUUCACCGACCUUUGUAUCUACGAACCGUCUCCAAACCCUACGAGGCAAAGAAAAUUAAAUGAACAAGAGAGUUAUUAGUUACUUGAUAUUAGGAAAUGAACGAAAUAGGCCGAUUGAUAUAGAGCGCAAAUGAAUGAAAAUAAUUACUUCUGCAGCAUUCUUCUCAUGCCGCCCCAAAGCUUUGGAUCCAUAUUCACAGAGUCGUGGACGAGACAUUCUGAGGUGUUAACUUUAAUUACUAGCAGAAUCCAGUGGAACCUGCGGACACGAUACAUGCACAGUACGUCAUGCAUAACUCAUCGAUUAGCCGGCCACAUACCAUGCAUGGAGUAAACAAAAGAGAAUGUGCUCAAGACACAAACACUCACCCAAAAUGGUAAGGAAAUAGAAUAUCACUUUUGAGUUCCUGCUUUGUAAGAAACUGCCACAGGUCUACCUCCACGUCGGCGGGGUGACGCUCCAACACAUGUCCAUUAACGAUGUGUGGGUCAAUGAACCCAACAUCAUGGAUGUUCCUUACUCUGCAUUCCUUAAUCUUCAUUCUGCAUGUAUAAUAGCGGACACAACAAUAUAGUUAGGACAUAUAUAUAGUGCAGGCAAUAUGAACGAGAUGGGGUAGAAAUUAAUAAAUCACUUACAGAACGUAGCAACUGAUGAUAGAUUUAUCGAGCUCGCGCAGAUUGAAAAGCUGGAACAAUUCACUCAGUUCAAUUUGUACAUAGUAAUGUUUGAAGUGAUGCUCAUGUCUAACUUCCGCAUAAAUAUAUUCUUUGGCGUUUUUAUUUUUUAUGUAACCCUUGUACCAUUUCAGCAGACCUUUCAUUUGUGGAGGUAGAUCCUUUUCCUGCGCAGGCUCGACGAGAGGCCCAUUCUUGACAUAUGUAAUUACUACCUCCUUCACUGGCGCCUCAUCAAGGCCUAACAGUUCACGAAGAGUAAUACCUAAGUUGGCCGCUUGUUCUAUGGCACUCGUUACAGUCAAUCCCUGUGCUGCCGCAGCUUGUAUGAUCUCGGGGGCAUCCGGACAGAAGGCUUCCACUAUAAGCGGGGCAAUCGAUUGUUUACUUUGUUCCCCGAGCUGGGCAACUUGUUUCCCGCUUUUUUUACUUUCGGCCUUCUCCCGCUCUUUGUUCUCCUUGAACAUGAGUGCCUGCCUGCGAAGUUCACGUGCAUAGUCGUUAGGCAGAUUCUUCGCGGCUUGGGACGGUGUGCUCAAAAAUGACUUAGCCCACUUGUUUUGCUCAUCAGAAAAUACUGGCUUGGGCUCGAGCUCUCUUUUCUUCUUGCAGUCCGCCUUCCAUUUCUCCAAAUCAGCAGCCGCGGCCGCGUCGACUUCCUCGGCACUACGUUCCCAAGGCCUUGUGGGGAGAGGCUUCAGUGAUGGCUCCGGUACCUUUGUGGUCUUAGGUACAUAAGGGUCCGGGUUAAUAAUCCAGGACUGCUUCUGCUUCUUUGCCGGAGGUGGAUUGGGGGGCGGCGUCUGAUCACCCGCCGGACGAGGACUGGGGGGCGGCGGCUGAUCACCCGCCGGACGUUGUGGACUGGGGGGCGGCGUCGGCUGACGUGACGGAGGUGUAGGUGAACCGCCACCACCACCACCACCACCACCACCGCCACCGCCACCACCACCACCGUAGGGGGGUGGACUUGUUGUCCUUGGCGCCUCGCCUGGAAACUUGAUAAACUUCUUUUGCCAUAGAAUGAAAUGGCGCUUGACAUCUCCAAGUCUUUUCUCCCCUUCAGGUGUAGCAAUGUCAAUCUCCAGGUCCUCAAACCCUUGGACUAUGUCCUCCACCGUGACACGAGCAUAGCCAUCUUGAAUGGGGUUGUUGUGGUGGAGUGCUCCAGGUAAACAUGGUAAAGCACUGCCGAUGGCUACCUUCAUGGACAUGUUCCCGAUAGGAUAAUACAGAUGACAUUCUUCUCCGCUGCUGGCUUCCGAGAUCUGCUGGAUGAUCUUCAUGCUGCACCCGAGCUGCAUCUCUUUCGGCUACUAGUACACUCAUGGUUUUCUUCAUCACAUCCAUUUCCGAUGCCAACCGCGCCACAACAUCUGCUUCCCGAUCCACCUUUCUCUUACGGCUUCUGUAACCGUACGGGUCAUCGUUCUGGGGGAACCCUAUUUUCCACGGAAUGUGCCCCAUGCCUCGUACACGUCCUCCGUGUUCAGGAUUCCCGAGGGAUUUUGUCAGCGCGUCGUUCUCUCUGUUGAACUUGAUCUUCCCCUGUUGAGCAUCCCUCAUUGCGUUAAUAAGGGCUUGGGUGGGUUUAAUUAAUUUGCCCCGGUAAACACACUCCCCUGUCUCCGGGUUCAGCGUUCCCCCAUGCCCGUACCACCAACUUUUGGCCCUUGGGUCCCAUCCCUCCGUACCUGCACGGAUUCCUCGCGCCCUCAGCUCGUUCUCCAUCUUCUCCAACCUAGGCACCCAAAUGCGAUACCCUCCUGGCCCCAUAACAUGAUUGUACUCCUUCUUAGCCGCAUUUUCCUUAUUUUUUCGAUAUUUGAAUGAACUGCUCCGAUUUCUUUUGCUUCACAAAUUCUGGCCAAUCAUGUUUCAGUUUCUCAUAUUGUCCUUUGAAAUCCGGAGUCUUGUUCUGCUUGACAAAGUCAUGGGCUAGAUUUUGCUUGAAUUUCCGGAAUGCGUCGGCCAUCUUAUGAAGAGCGAACUGUUUGACUAGCCUCCUCCUCUCCUUGUUUUCUUCAAUCUUGUUACCCUCCUCAUCGAAUUUGUUGUAUUCCGGAGGUAGAACGAAAUGUUCCAUAAGCUUCUUGAAGCAAUCUUUUUUUGUUCUCUUAUCGACAAAAGUGAAACCAUCAAUUCGUGCCUUCUUUGGCUCAUUCCACUCCUGGACGGUGAUCGAGACGUUGUCUCUAACAAUGGCUCCGCAUUGGCUGACAAACUUGGUGGCGUUCUUGCGGGGCUCCAGCGGCCUGCCGGUUGCACUGUCGACAACCUCGAUGGUGCAUGUUUCUCCUUGUUUCAUCGUCUUGGUUGCGCCACGCUUUGACGACGUACUCGAUUGUUUCGACGAUCCGGCCGAGGGCUAAAAUAAGAAAGAGUCGCGCGCGUUAGUACACACAUAUUUAUUCAAAUCAGUUAGUUUGUAUCACCAGAGGCUCAAUGUAUAUAUAUACCUCGGCGCCGGAGGUGGUUGCUACAUCCAUUUGAAGAUCGUCGUUUAUCGACGUUUGUUCGGCAUCAUCUUGCUGACGGCGCCCUUCAUCUUCACCGUCAAGGUUCAGAUAAGAAGAGAUAUCAUCUUCUUCUUCUCCGGUCGGCACAUAUAGAAUAUCGCCGUUUAUGAUGCCGAACAUAUGUGCUUCACCGUCCGGAUCAUAGUUGUCCAUAAUCGGGUCAGCUCUAUCGUCCGCCAUUAUGUCAGUCCUGAAAACAUGUAGUAAAAACAAAUUAAUUAAGUGAAGAAGGGGGGCGGUGGCGGUGGCGGUGGCGAAAGGGUGGUGGCAAAAGGAGGGGGCGAGGAAGGGGUGGGAGAGGGUGUCGCGGUAGAGCGCGAGACGGGGCGGCACGAACGUCAUUUUGUGAAGAAACUUUGCAAGCAAUUAAACAUUUGUCAAUGUUUGGUAAAAAAAAUACAGGUAGCGUCUGUUGCUCCUAAUGAUUGGAAACGGUUUCCAAUUGCCAACGAGGAUUUAGAUCGACUACUACUACUAGUUGCAUUGCUCCCCAUCGGGACGAUGUUGCUCCUAAUCCCCUCCUUUGGAAUCUAUAGUACUAGUGCAUACUAGCUGGCCGUUGACCGUUGUUGCUCAUCGCGUUUUCUCAAAGUCCACUGAUUUUGCUCAGGGCCAGUUCGGAGAUUUUGCUGGUCCACUGAUUUUGGAUCAACGCCGGGAUGGCAUGGGCGCUCGGCGAUGAUGCGAAGUAGACUUGCACAGGCAACGUGAUGUACAUGGAUGUGUCAGUACGGUACGCUCGGCGAUGCCACGGUAUGGAUGACUUCUCGAGUGGAGAUUGGAGAACCAAGUUCGCCGGUGAAACGUCGGCUCCUGAUCAGAUCUGGGGGUCGCGAACUAGCGAUUGGAUCUCGGAAGGGAGUUAGGAAAGCGAACAGACGUGCGUUCAAGGCUACAACUUUUUUUUUCAGGAUCUUGAAAACAGCUACGCGUUCAAGGCCCGGUCCUGAUUUUGCUCAUCUACCCGGGGCGGCGUUCGCACUGCGCGAGGGCCGACUCCGCGGGGUGCUGCCGCGUCGCCUCGUCGACGCUGAGCGAGUUGGCGAGGACCGUGUACAUGGUCGGCACGUCGCCGGCGGAGAGGGUCAUGCUGUCCCCGACCAGCGGCGGCCACGGACGGGGAGGGCGGCGGCGGUGACUGGGAAGGAAUGAUAGGAGAGGAAGGAAGGUCGCGUGGGGUUGAGGGCGGNNNNNNNNNNGGCGAGGAGGGACUCCUUGGCGGAGAGGCGCUCCGUCUCGCGGGCGUAGCUGGCAGCGGGCUCCCACGCCUGCGCGUACACGUCGUCCCGCCGUGCGUUCAAGGCUACAACUUUUUUUUUUAGGAUCUUGAAAACAACUACGCGUUCAAGGCCGGCCCGGUCCUGAUUUUGCUCAUCUACCCGGGGCGGCGUUCGCACUGCGCGAGGGCCGACUCCGCGGGGUGCUGCCGCGUCGCCUCGUCGACGCUGAGCGAGUUGGCGAGCACCGUGUACAUGGUCGGCACGUCGCCGGCGGAGAGGGUCAUGCUGUCCCCGACCAGCGGCGGCCACGGACGGGGAGGGCGGCGGCGGUGACUGGGAAGGAAUGAUCGGAGAGGAAGGAAGGUCGCGUGGGGUUGAGGGCGGGCGAGCGAGGCGGCAGUACCGAGGCUGGCCGGCGGCGCGCGCGCGGUGGGCGAGGGCGACGGCGGGCGGCGUCGAGGGCGAGGGCGACGGCGGGCGGCGUCGAGGGCGCGGCAGAGACGAACAGGCGAGAAACGGCGGGCGGCGUCGAGGGAGCCUUGUAUUUAUAGCCCCCCCNNNNNNNNNNNNNNNNNNNNNNNNNNNNNNNNNNNNNNNNNNNNNNNNNNNNNNNNNNNNNNNNNNNNNNNNNNNNNNNNNNNNNNNNNNNNNNNNNNNNNNNNNNNNNNNNNNNNNNNNNNNNNNNNNNNNNNNNNNNNNNNNNNNNNNNNNNNNNNNNNNNNNNNNNNNNNNNNNNNNNNNNNNNNNNNNNNNNNNNNNNNNNNNNNNNNNNNNNNNNNNNNNNNNNNNNNNNNNNNNNNNNNNNNNNNNNNNNNNNNNNNNNNNNNNNNNNNNNNNNNNNNNNNNNNNNNNNNNNNNNNNNNNNNNNNNNNNNNNNNNNNNNNNNNNNNNNNNNNNNNNNNNNNNNNNNNNNNNNNNNNNNNNNNNNNNNNNNNNNNNNNNNNNNNNNNNNNNNNNNNNNNNNNNNNNNNNNNNNNNNNNNNNNNNNNNNNNNNNNNNNNNNNNNNNNNNNNNNNNNNNNNNNNNNNNNNNNNNNNNNNNNNNNNNNNNNNNNNNNNNNNNNNNNNNNNNNNNNNNNNNNNNNNNNNNNNNNNNNNNNNNNNNNNNNNNNNNNNNNNNNNNNNNNNNNNNNNNNNNNNNNNNNNNNNNNNNNNNNNNNNNNNNNNNNNNNNNNNNNNNNNNNNNNNNNNNNNNNNNNNNNNNNNNNNNNNNNNNNNNNNNNNNNNNNNNNNNNNNNNNNNNNNNNNNNNNNNNNNNNNNNNNNNNNNNNNNNNNNNNNNNNNNNNNNNNNNNNNNNNNNNNNNNNNNNNNNNNNNNNNNNNNNNNNNNNNNNNNNNNNNNNNNNNNNNNNNNNNNNNNNNNNNNNNNNNNNNNNNNNNNNNNNNNNNNNNNNNNNNNNNNNNNNNNNNNNNNNNNNNNNNNNNNNNNNNNNNNNNNNNNNNNNNNNNNNNNNNNNNNNNNNNNNNNNNNNNNNNNNNNNNNNNNNNNNNNNNNNNNNNNNNNNNNNNNNNNNNNNNNNNNNNNNNNNNNNNNNNNNNNNNNNNNNNNNNNNNNNNNNNNNNNNNNNNNNNNNNNNNNNNNNNNNNNNNNNNNNNNNNNNNNNNNNNCGAGGAAGACCAAUCGGCUUAAGGUCAGGAACAAAGUCAACACAAAACUCAAUUACCUCCUCAUUUCCAUAGCCCUUGGCGAUGCUUCCUUCUGGCCUAGCACGGUUACGAACAUAUUUCUUUAAUACUCCCAUGAACCUCUCGAAGGGGAACAUAUUGUGUAGAAAUACAGGACCGAGAACGAAAAUCUCUUCGACUAGGUGAACCAGGAGGUGCGUCAUAAUAUUGAAGAAGGAUGGCGGGAACACCAACUCGAAACUGACAAGACAUUGGAUCACAUCGUUCUGUAACCAUGGUAGAACUUCUGGAUUGAUUACCUUCUGAGAGAUUGCAUUGAGGAAUGCACAUAGCUUCACAAUGGCUACUCGAACAUUUUCCGGCAGGAGCCCCCUCAAAGCAAUCGGAAGCAAUUGCGUCAUAAUCACGUGGCAGUCGUGAGACUUCAGGUUUUGGAACUUUUUCUCCGCCAUGUUUAUUAUUCCUUUUAUAUUGGACGAGAAUCCAGACGGGACCUUCAUACUGCUCAGGCAUUCAAAAAAGAUGACCUUCUCUUCUUUGGUCAGAGCGUAGCUGGCACGACCUUGAAACCAUUCCGGAUGCCGGUCAUCAGGGUCUUUCAAACGUUGCUGGUCCUGCCGUGCUUCCUUUGUAUCAUUUGUCUUCCCAUACACGCCCAAGAAGCUUAGGAGGUUCACGCAAAUAUUCUUCGUAACGUGCAUCACGUCGAUUGCAGAGCGGACAUCUAGGACUUUCCAAUAUUCUAGCUCCCAGAAUAUAGAUUUCUUCUUCCACAUGGCUGCGUUCCCGUCUGCUCCCUUCGGAACUGAUUGUCCGCCAGGACCCUUUCCAAAGAUGACUUUCAAAUCCUUGACCAUAUCAAAUACCUCAGCACCAGUGCAUUCCGCAGGCUUCGGCCGGUGAUCUGCCUUGCCGUUGUAAUGCUUGCCUUUCUUUCUUACUGGAUGAAUUUUCGGAAGAAAUCGAUGAUGCCCAAGGUACACGUUCUUCUUACAAUUUGGCAAAUGUACACUUUCAGUCUCAUGUAAGCAGUGCGUGCAUGCAUUGUAUCCCUUAUUUGACAGUCCCGAAAGGUUACUAAGAGCAGGCCAAUCGUUGAUGGUUACGAAAAGCAACGCUCGUAGGUCAAAUUCCUCUUGUUUGUGCUCAUCCCACACACGGACACCACCCCACAGCUGUAAAAGUUCAUCAACUAAUGGCCUUAGGUACACAUCGAUGUCGUUGCCGGGUUGCUUCGGACCUUGGAUGAGCACUGGCAUCAUAAUGAACUUCCGCUUCAUGCACAACCAAGAAGGAAGGUUGUAGAUGCAUAGAGUCACGGGCCAGGUGCUAUGGCUGGAGCUCUGCUCGCCAAAAGGAUUCAUGCCAUCCGUACUUAGAGCAAAUCUUAUGUUCCUUGCGUCAGCUGCAAAAUCUUUGAACCAUCUGUCGAUCUUUCUCCAUUGCGUUCCAUCUGCGGUGUGUCUCAACUCCCCGUCCGACUUACGGUCCUCUUUGUGCCAUCGCAACAACUUGGCAUGCUCUUUGUUCCUGAACAGACGUUUCAACCGUGGUAUUAUAGGAGCAUACCACAUCACCUUGGCGGGAACCCUCUUCCUGGGUUUCUGGCCCUCAACAUCGUCACCAGGGUCAUCGCCUCUGAUCUUAUAACGCAAUGCAGUGCAUAUCGGGCAUUCAUUCAAAUUCUCGUAUUCACCGCGGUAGAGGAUGCAGUCGUUGAUGCAUGCAUGUAUCUUCAGAACCUCUAAACCUAGAGGGCAGACAACCUUCUUUGCUUCGUACGUACUGGCGGGCAACUCGUUAUCCUUUGGAAACAUACUCUUCAACAUUUUCAGCAAGUUUUCAAAUGCCGAGUCAGCUACACCUGCCUCUGCCUUCCAUUUCAGCAAAUCCAGUGUGCAGCCCAGCUUUUUCAGACCAUCAUCGCAUCCGGGGUACAGCGCCUUUCUGUGAUCCUCUAACAUGCGAUCCAAAUUCUCCCUCUCCUUUUCAGUUUCGCAGCGUCUCCGUGCAUCAGCAAUGGUCCGACCAAGAUCAUCAACGGGAUCAUCACGUGCCUCUUCUUCACCUUCCCCUUCACCUUCAGCAUCCUCCAUGAAAGUAUCACCGAGAUGAGCAAGAUAGCUUUCAUCGAUGAAAUCAUCCCCUUCUUCAUCUUCUUCCAUUAUAACCCCUCUUUCUCCAUGCUUGGUCCAACAAUUAUAGCUUGGCAUGAAACCGUGCCGAAGCAGAUGCAUGUGAACAUCUCUUGAGGAAGAGUAACCCUUCUGAUUCUUACAGAUAACACAUGGACAGAUAACAAAAAACCCCUGCUUGUUCGCAUUAGCCACUACGAGGAAAUCUUUCAAACCCGUAGUGAACUCGCCGGAGAGUCGGUUACCGUACAUCCAUUGCCGAUUCAUCUGCAUUAUUAUAAUAUAAAAUAUAUAAUUAACCAUCAUGCAUUUGUUAAACUAACUAGCUACAAACAAUAUAAAUUAAACAAUGAACUGCACACAUGCAUAUUUUAUCAAUGACACAUCAAAGGUUCAUCAAGUUGCUAACCGCGAUCGAGGAGUGUGGCUCCAACACUUCAUGUCAUGUUUGUUUCAUGCUCUUGGGGCAUUUCAUCAAACACCUUAUGUGCAUAAGAGGAACCAAAAGCAAACCUACACCCACUUGUGAAGAGAAUGGCUCCAAAUGGCUAAGUGUUGGCUGCUGGAUGGGUAUAUAUAGGGGAGGGGCUUUAGUUGCGGUUGGCUUGGCAAACCGUGACUAAAGGUGCCCGAAGGCCUUUAGUCGCGGUUGUCCUGGCCAACCGCGACUAAAGACCCUCACGUGCGCCAGCUGGCCACCGAGCGCCCUGAGCCCAGGCCUUUGGUCGCGGUUCACCUCCAGAACCGCGACUAAAGGUCCCAUUAGUCGCGGUUCCUACAGCUUCGCGACUUAUGGGGCUGGACGGAAGCUUGUUUUUCCACCAGUGUACUAGGUAAGGUGUCGUUCCAGUCAAAUUGAUGAAUUCAUCUUUUGUUACCUUUGUUAUAGGAAUAUAGGCUGCAUUUAUUAGUCAUAUCGAGCUCUCAAGGAGUCAAGAUCUUGUUAACUUACUAAUAAUUUCUAUAUACCUGCAGCGUUAUGGCCUAUGGUGCAGGGCAAAGACAACAAGGACGACAUGCGGCGGCGACGUGGCCAUGGUGAAGCUACUUCGUCCGGCUACCCCAUGGUUGGCGUGUCUGCCGUCCUCUCAAUCUAUCACACGUACGUCCGGUGCAUGCAUGGUGUCGGGCCGAAGAGCACACAAAUCUACAUCCAGGCCCUGGGCACUAGCAACCGCUGAUGCACUUAGCCACUUACCAAUGUAUUCCUAUUGUACGUAUAUAAUAAAGUGGUUAGUACGUCGACGUAGAAAUAGUUAGUAGCUUGCUUUGCACUCACACAAUCGAGUCAUGAUUGUUACUGAUGAUCAAAAUUUUAUGUAUUUUUUAUGCCGGAUGGGUUUACUACUUCUUCUUCGGUUGUAUAUAAAGCUUCCAAAAAAUUAGUAUAUAAUCCUCCAGAAUAAAUCAGUAUAUAGUCCUCCAAAAAAAUGAGUAUAUACACUUUGUAACGCAGCAUAUACCCCAUAAAAAAUGUAGUAUAACGCUGCAGAAAUAAGACAUACUCCUUUUCUAGUUGCAUAUACCCAAUCACAAAACUACACUGAAAUAAUUAGUAGUACAUACUCCUUUUCUAUUUUGGAAAGGAACGUCCAUUUCCCUCUUCAACAAGUGCUUUAUUUUUCUAGGGGUAGCCUUGUGUUUUUACUGCCAUGCGACGACAUUACAAAAUGUAUUACACCCAUUAUUCAUCUAAUUUUUUAUAUACCCUUUUAUGCAUACUUUGAAUUUAUCACUCAUUUGGGCGACCAGCCCGCUCUCUCAUUGCAGCGACUCGACUCUCACAUAAAGCCAGUAUAUACUCACGUAAAAAAAAGCAGUAUAGACUCCCUUACUGAAAAAGAACUAUAUACUCCCCUACCAAAAAAAGUAGUAUAUGCUCCAUUACCAAAAAGGCAGUAUAUACUCAUAUACAAAAGGUGGUAUAUACUGUCUUCCCAAAGUAGUAUAUAUCUUUUUCCUUGCGUUAGAGAAGUAGUAUAACCAGAACAGAUAGUUCAUACUUGUGUGCUGAAAAAAGUAGUAUAUAAAUAUAUAUGUAAGAGUGAGUAUGGUAGAUAUGUAUCGGUCCUUACAAAAAAAAUCAACCACUGUUAUUGUUUAUUUGCACCGAACUAACCUUAUCUGUAUGCUAGGAUCCUUGAAUCUCUCAAUCUGUUGAUGCACAUGCAUGCGUCGGCCGGUGGAGCAAUUAGCAACUAGAUCUAAUAACUGCCAACCUGUUCAGUCCAUGGGAGUACAUACUCCUGGGAGUAUAAAAGAGGAGUCUAUAUAUAUAUAUAUAUAUAUAUAUAUAUACGGUGGCGCUAUUGUGUGCGUGAGCGCAGAUUUACUUAUCGUGCGCGCCGGUCAUUGCGUGCGCCACUCGUAUUCCUAAUGAUGGUAAAAUUCCUGGCAGAAAUAGUAAUAUAAUUUAAUUGGUUACUGCCUGCCACCACCACGGUAGCGAUUUAAUUGGUUAGGUCUACUAGUAAAAAUGCAUAGCAGAAAAAGUAAAAGAGCUAAAAGUAUUACUGUUGGAUGCAUCGGUCCCCGCUUCGACUGCCUACUAGUAAAACACCUCAUAAAAGUAGUAAUAGGAUUACCCUACACGCAUCAGCCCCUUGCCAUACUUGUGAACAGGUAAACUUCAUGUGAAGAAUAGUACUGGAUGGUAACUGUGUUACCAUAGAACGGACACUUGCUAUUAGCUAGCUACAUGGUAAUUUUAUUACCGCUAACUUUCAUCGGUUUAAUACCUAAUCAUGUUACCACUUAUUUUCUUAGUAGUAUUGGAUGGUAACUAUGUUACCACAUGACGAAAAAAUUGCUAUUAGCUAAUAGCUACACGGUAAUUGCAUUACCACUCAUGUGUAGAAGCAUGAUACACGGUCUUUUUUCCAAUUACGUUUGGUCGAAGACGCAAGGGUUUGCUAAUCGCUAAAGUGGGGUCGAAGCAGUAAUAAGUUUCCAACCGUUACCAUGUUUCUUAAGGUAUGUUACGUAUGGGCGCAAGACAUGUUCUUUAAUAGGAGCGGGACAACGGUUGCUUAGACGGAGAAUGGCGCGCAGUCUGGCCGGAGCGUAGAAUUAGACUUCUGCGCUCAGGCUUAGUUUAGCACGUCUAUAUAUAUAUAUAUAUAUAUAUAUAUAUAUAUACAUACAUGUUAGUGGCCUCGACGCUGCUUCUCUAGGGUUUGGGGUCGCCUCGACACAACGCUUCAAGGGUUUGGGGUGGCCUCGACGACAACGUUUUUUUAACUUGAUAAAUUUGGGUGGCCUCGAGAGAGUUAAUUUGUCGGGUAGGGGCGCGGCGGGAGGGGGUAGGAGACCAACAUCGUUUUCUCUCUAGGGUUUGGGUGUCCUCGAGAGUUAUCGGGGAGGGGGUAUCGGUACCACCCCCUAGCUCGUGUUGAAGUUUCUUCUUUCUCCUCUAUUCCUUUCUUUCUUCUUCUCCUCUUCUUUUUCUUCUUCUCCCUCGAGAAAGGAAAAUANNNNNNNNNNNNNNNNNNNNNNNNNNNNNNNNNNNNNNNNNNNNNNNNNNNNNNNNNNNNNNNNNNNNNNNNNNNNNNNNNNNNNNNNNNNNNNNNNNNNNNNNNNNNNNNNNNNNNNNNNNNNNNNNNNNNNNNNNNNNNNNNNNNNNNNNNNNNNNNNNNNNNNNNNNNNNNNNNNNNNNNNNNNNNNNNNNNNNNNNNNNNNNNNNNNNNNNNNNNNNNNNNNNNNNNNNNNNNNNNNNNNNNNNNNNNNNNNNNNNNNNNNNNNNNNNNNNNNNNNNNNNNNNNNNNNNNNNNNNNNNNNNNNNNNNNNNNNNNNNNNNNNNNNNNNNNNNNNNNNNNNNNNNNNNNNNNNNNNNNNNNNNNNNNNNNNNNNNNNNNNNNNNNNNNNNNNNNNNNNNNNNNNNNNNNNNNNNNNNNNNNNNNNNNNNNNNNNNNNNNNNNNNNNNNNNNNNNNNNNNNNNNNNNNNNNNNNNNNNNNNNNNNNNNNNNNNNNNNNNNNNNNNNNNNNNNNNNNNNNNNNNNNNNNNNNNNNNNNNNNNNNNNNNNNNNNNNNNNNNNNNNNNNNNNNNNNNNNNNNNNNNNNNNNNNNNNNNNNNNNNNNNNNNNNNNNNNNNNNNNNNNNNNNNNNNNNNNNNNNNNNNNNNNNNNNNNNNNNNNNNNNNNNNNNNNNNNNNNNNNNNNNNNNNNNNNNNNNNNNNNNNNNNNNNNNNNNNNNNNNNNNNNNNNNNNNNNNNNNNNNNNNNNNNNNNNNNNNNNNNNNNNNNNNNNNNNNNNNNNNNNNNNNNNNNNNNNNNNNNNNNNNNNNNNNNNNNNNNNNNNNNNNNNNNNNNNNNNNNNNNNNNNNNNNNNNNNNNNNNNNNNNNNNNNNNNNNNNNNNNNNNNNNNNNNNNNNNNNNNNNNNNNNNNNNNNNNNNNNNNNNNNNNNNNNNNNNNNNNNNNNNNNNNNNNNNNNNNNNNNNNNNNNNNNNNNNNNNNNNNNNNNNNNNNNNNNNNNNNNNNNNNNNNNNNNNNNNNNNNNNNNNNNNNNNNNNNNNNNNNNNNNNNNNNNNNNNNNNNNNNNNNNNNNNNNNNNUGAAAACACUUUUUUUUGUUUUCUUUCUUGCUUUAUUUAUUUUAUUUUGUUUCUACUUGCAAUAAAAUACUUAUUGUUGUUUUUUUGUUUUGUUUUCUGCAUUAUUUAUUUUCUUUUGUUUUUUGCUUUAUUUUUUAAUUCUUUUUGCUUUUAGUUUUAGGAAAAUUAUAAACUUUCUAUUAGUGCCAUUACUUUUCAAAUUUGAAAACACUUUUUUGUUUUUUAGUUUUCUUUCUUGCUUUAUUUAUUUUAUUUUGUUUCUACUUACAACAAAAUACUUAUUGUUGCUAUUUUUAAUUAUUACGAAGGCCAAACCAUAAGACAUUAAAGCAUUUCAAAUGAACUCUGAAAAAGUUGAAAGUUGGCAUGGUAUCAUAAAUUGACCCACACAUAGCAUGUGCAUGUACAAAACGGACAAUGUUAUCAUACUCGUCAGUUACAAAGUUGGCAUGGUAUCAUCAUAAUAGUUGCGGGAGAAAGUCUUCACUUUUUCUUCGCUUGUGUCAUUUGCUUAUUGCGCCGUAACCAUGGAUAAUCUUCAUCGUUUAUCAGGAUGCUGGGGUCAGCCUUGACUUUAAAGGGAGGAAUUUCAUGAAACUUUUCAUAAUCUUCAGACAUGUCUGUCUUGUCCUCCUCUCCCACGAUGUCCCUUUUUCCUGAAAGAACUAUGUGGCGCUUUGGCUCAUCGUAUGAUGUAUUCGCUUCCUUAUCUUUUCUCUUUCUUGGUCUGGUAGACAUGUCCAUCACAUAGAUAACCUGUGCCACAUCAUUGGCUAGGACGAACGGUUCGUCAGUGUACCCAAGAUUUUUCGGAUCCACUGUUGUCGUUCCGUACUGUGGGUCUACAUGUACCCCGCCUCCUGACAGAUUGACCCAUUUGCACUUAAACAAAGGGACCUUAAAAUCAUGUCCUUAGUCAAGUUCCCAUAUGUCCACUAUGUAACCAUAAUAUGUGUCCUUUCCCCUCUCGGUUGUUGCAUCAAAGCGGACACCGCUGUUUUGGUUGGUGCUCUUUUGAUCUUGGUUAAUCGUGUAAAAUGUCUUCCCAUUUAUCUCAUAUCCUUUCCAAAUCGUAACAGUCGAAGAUGGUCCCCUGGAUAACAAGUACAUCUCAUCACAAACAGCGUUGUCACCUCUGAUACGUGCUUCCAACCAACUGCUGAAAGUCCUGAUGUGUUCACAUGUAAUUCAGUCGUCGCACUGCUCCGGGUGUUUGGAGCGCAGACUGUUCUUGUGUUCAUCCACAUACGGGGUCACCAAGGUAGAGUUCUGUAGAACUGUGUAGUGUGCUUGAGACCAAGAAUAUCUGUCCCUGCAUAUUAUUGAGUCCCUUCCAAGCAUGCCUUUUCCAGUCAGUCUCCCCUCAUACCGCGAUUUAGGGAGACCUAUCUUCUUAUGGCCAGGAAUGAAGUCAACACAAAACCCGAUGACAUCCUCUGUUUGAUGGCCCAUGGAGAUGCUUCCUUCUGGCCUAGCGCGAUGAGGGACAUAUUUCUUUAGGACUCCCAUGAACCUCUCAAAGGGGUACAUAUUGUGUAGAAAUACGGGGCCCAAAAUGACAAUCUCGUCAACUAGAUGAACUAGGACGUGCGUCAUGAUAUUGAAGAAGGAUGGUGGGAACACCAGCUCGAAACUGACAAGACAUUGCACCACAUCACUCCUUAGCCUUGGUAUGAUUUCUGGAUCGAUCACCUUCUGAGAGAUUGCAUUGAGGAAUGCACAUAGCUUCACAAUGGCUAAUCGGACGUUUUCCGGUAGAAGCCCCCUCAAUGCAACCGGAAGCAGUUGUGUCAUAAUCACGUGGCAGUCAUGAGACUUUAGGUUCUGAAACUUUUUCUUUGCCAUAUUUAUUAUUCCUUUUAUAUUCGACGAGAAGCCAGUCGGGACCUUCAUACUAAGCAGGCAUUCAAAGAAGAUUUCCUUCUCUUCUUUGGUAAGAGCAUAGCUGGCAGGACCUUCAUACUGCUUUGGAGGCAUGCCGUCUUUUUCGUGCAAAUGUUGCAGGUCCUCCCGUGCCUCAGCUGUAUCUUUUGUCUUCCCAUACACGCCCAAGAAGCCUAGCAGGUUCACGCAAAGGUUCUUCGUCACGUGCAUCACGUCGAUCGAAGAGCGGACCUCUAGGUCUUUCUAGUAGGGUAGGUCCCAAAAUAUAGAUUUCUUCUUCCACAUGGGUGCGUGUCCCCCAACGUCACUCGGAACAGCUAGUCUGCCGGGACCCUUUCCAAAGAUUACGUGUAAAUCAUUGACCAUAGCAAGUACGUGACCACCGGUACGCAUGGCGGGCUUCUUCCGGUGAUCUGCCUCGCCUUUGAAAUGCUUGCCUUUCUUUCGACAUUGAUGGUUGGUCGGAAGAAAUCGACGAUGGCCCAGGUACACAUUCUUCCUACAGCUUGCCAGGUAUAUACUAACGGUGUCAAGUAAACAGUGCGUGCAUGCGUGGUAUCCCUUGUUUGUCUGUCCUAAAAGGUUACUGAGAGCAGGCCAAUCGUUGAUGGUCACGAACAGCAACGCCUUUAGGUUAAAUUUCUCCUGUUUGUGCUCAUCCCACGUACGUACACCGUUUCCAUUCCACAGCUGUAAAAGUUCUUCAACUAAUGGCCUUAGGUACACAUCAAUGUCAUUGCCGGGUUGCUUAGGGCCUUGGAUGAGAACUGGCAUCAUAAUGAACUUCCGCUUCAUGCACAUCCAAGGAGGAAGGUUAUACAUACAUAGAGUCACGGGCCAGGUGCUGUGAUUGCUGCUCUGCUCCCCGAAAGGAUUAAUGCCAUCCGCACUUAAAGCAAACCAUACGUUCCUUGGCUCACUUGCAAACUCAUCCCAGUACUUUCUCUCAUUUUUCUCCAUUGCGACCCGUCAGCGGGUGCUCUCAACUUCCCGUCUUUCUUACGGUCCUCACUAUGCCAUCGCAUCAACUUGGCAUGCUCUCCGUUUCUGAACAGACGUUUCAACCGUGGUAUUAUAGGAGCAUACCACAUCACCACUACUAGGGAAAAGCCUAUACAUAGAAUCUUACCAGCAGCGCUCUUCAAAAUACAACGCUACUGCUACUUAGCAGCAGCGCGUGUCUGCCAAACACGCUGCUGACUUGGAAGUAGCAGUAGCGGGUGCAUCGCAUACAGCGCUACUGCUAUAGUUGCCAUGACCUUGCCCCCCCCCCCCCNNNNNNNNNNNNNNNNNNNNNNNNNNNNNNNNNNNNNNNNNNNNNNNNNNNNNNNNNNNNNNNNNNNNNNNNNNNNNNNNNNNNNNNNNNNNNNNNNNNNNNNNNNNNNNNNNNNNNNNNNNNNNNNNNNNNNNNNNNNNNNNNNNNNNNNNNNNNNNNNNNNNNNNNNNNNNNNNNNNNNNNNNNNNNNNNNNNNNNNNNNNNNNNNNNNNNNNNNNNNNNNNNNNNNNNNNNNNGCAAACGCGCUACAACUAUCCCUACCUUAUCCCCAUGCGCACGACCGGCCCUCUCACUCACACUCUCACUCUCGCCCACGUCAACCGUCGUCGUCCGUCGCCGCCGCCGCCGCCUUCGUCCGUCCGCCGCCGAGGUACUCCCCUCCUUCCGUCCCUCCUCCAUCCUCCUUGCACAUCCUCCCUCCGCCUGUGGCCGCCCCUCCUUCCUCCGCCGCUGCCCUCCUCCCUCCGCCUGCGGCCGCCCCUCCUCCCUCCUCCGACGGCAGCCCUCCUCCCACCGCCCUCGACCUCGCUGCCCCUAGCUACCUCUCCGUCGCCCCCCACCCCUGCCACUAGUUAGUACUAGAUUUAGUAGUAGUAGAUGUUAAUUUAGGGUUAGCUAGUACUAGAUGUUGCUUAGUUAGUACUAGAUUUUUAGUAGUAGUAGUGGUAGUUGAACUACUUUAGUUGUAGUUGAACUAGUUUAGUAAGUAAAUUAAUAAACGAGUUGAACUAGUUGAAUUAAUAGAACUAAUCUAUUUUUAGUAAGAUAAUUAAUAUAACUAGUUGAACUACUUUAUUUUUAGAAAGAACUAAUUUUUUUCUAUUUAUAUUAAGUUUAUAUUUAGUAAGAACUAGUUGAAUUAAUAAAACUAGUUGAACAUGUCAUGUUUGUUGUUAGUGAUAACUUAUAUGGUUUCAGGUGACCUCCGUCGUCCCCGUCACCGACCCCCUCCGACAUCCCCGUCGUCGUCCCAGUCACCGACCCCCUCCGACAUCGAGGUGAGACCAGCCAAAUAUCCUUGUAUAUCUUGUGUUGUUGCUCAAAUUGGAUAUGUGGUUGCCCAAGUGGCCGUUCAUGUAGUUUACAUCUCCGAGUGGCCUAUGUUUUGCCGGAGUGUUGAUUAAUUUCCGUUCCGACAAAUUUCAGGCGCUCGAUAUGUCCUUUUUUAGCAAAGGUCAUGCCGGAUUUUGUCGUGAAUUCUGGUAUGACUUGUGCUAGAAUAUGUACAAGUUUAAUCUUUGAAUUAUGAUUGUAGGAAAUGUCGUACUCGGACGACGAAGGUCUCCCGGGGGAGUGUAGCUGGUGCCACGACGAUCGAGGUAUGUGCGAUAGGUUCGUUCGGCUGGACGAAGAUCGGCGCUUCAACAUUAAGCUCGAGGAGACCUUCGAUUGUGAAAUGGUACGCAACAACGACAAGUGUUUUUUCUCCAUUAAGCAUGACUUCAACUAUUUCAACGUCUAAUUUUCAUAUUUUACAAUUCGACUAGCUUAUCCCAUGCCAUGCAAGACGCUAUGUCUUGGAGAGGAUGGGUUUUGAAGACCAUGAAAAUUUCAAAACAAAGAAAAUACACCUAAGGACCCAUCAUGAUAUGGAUUUUGAAGUAAACCUGUGCAAUGCUCAGAGCGCAACCCAUUUUGGUUGCCAAAAUUGGGAAGCACUUUGCAAAAUGUAUGGUUUUUAUGAGGGUAUGAUUGUCACCAUGGAUCUUGGUGAUCCUGACAGUGAGGAAGACAAUAUGGACAUUUGGGUCCUUGUUGAUACGCUUCCGAUUGUACCGCUAUGUGACUUUCUCAAACAUAGUUAUUAACUAAUUUAUAUUGUUUAUUUCAAAAUAGUUGAUAGCUUAUUUCCAUUGACAGCUUAUUUUGAUUCUUCAAAGACUGUGCGGAAGAUGGUAGAUAAAACCCACUACACCGAAGGCACCCAAUUAACGUAUAAGGAGAAAAAUCAUCUGAUCGCAUUUUGUACUCUUCUUGAGAAUUACAAUGACUAUAAUCGAACUCCUCCAGAUUAUGGUGAAUAUGUGCCACUAGUGCAUGUGUUGAACAACGAUAACUUAUCUGGAGAUACCCUGGUAAGAUUUUUUACUAUUACGACAUCCGUGUAUUUUUUGCAUACUUCUAAAACUAGUACAUCAUUGCUAACUACGAAGUUAUUAUUAUGUUUUUCAACAGAAACUCCCGAUGGAUUGUGUGCCUCAUCUGAUGUCUCUGCAUGGUCGCCUCUCAGUUCUGAACAUACUGCCAGGUAAAUCUACAGAGCUCACCUAUGCAUAUCAGAUUUCUAAAACCCGUGAACACAUGAUCAUCAGAGAAUGGAAGAAAUGUAUGGACAUUCGCAAGGAGGUUCUUGGAAGUAACAUUCAGCGAAACGUAAGAAUGGGAGACAGGCUAAUCUCCAUUCUCCAUAAUGGAGAGUCAGGGGCUAUCUUGUUUUUUGUUAUUUUACCUUAGAAAAUGUAGUAGGUCUUAAUCGAAUGUAAUAGGUCCUAUGAGGUACAAUAUGUUUAUUAUGUGGUAAUGUGUUAGAGUUGAUAAUGAUGAUCUUGAGGAGGUGUUAUGUGAUGUCAAUGAUGAAAACGAUGAUAUUGAGGAGGUGUUAUAUGACAAUGAUGUAUUAUGAUGCUAAGUUGUUAAUGAUAUGAUGAUGAUGAUGAUAUUAUUAUAUCAUUGGGUGAAAGAACCGUGGAUUAGUUUCAAGUGGAUGGACAUCCACUUGAAACUAGUCCACGGUUCUUUCACCCCAUGAUGUAAUAACUCAUUAUGAUGUAAAAACAAUCUCUAAAUUCCUGUUGUAUGAAAACUUGUGUAAGGGUGUAUGAAUACAACAUGAAAAAGAAAAGAAAUAAAAUACUAAAUAAUAGUAGUAGCGCGGGUAAGGAGAAGCGCUACUACUAAUUACCAGUAGCGAUGUUCUAAAGAACCGCUGCUACUAAGUCAAUUUAGCAGUAGCGCGUGUCAAGACGCGCUAUUGCUAAGCAUUAGCUGUAGCGCCUUAUCAGUAGCGCUCCUGCCCGCGCUACUGAUAGGCCCAAAACCCGCGCUGCUGCUAGGCUUUUCCCUAGUAGUGCACCUUCGCAGGAACCCUCUUCCUGGGGGGCUCGCCGUCAACAUCACCAGGGUCAUCUCGUCUGAUCUUAUACCAUAAUGCACCGCAUACCAGGCAUGCGUUCAGAUCCUUAUAUGCACCGCGGUAGAGGAUGCAGUCAUUAGGGCAUGCAGGUAUCUUCUGCACCUCCAAUCCUAGAGGGCAUACGACCUUCUUUGCUGCGUAUGUACUGUCGGGCAAUUCGUUAUCCUUUGGAAGCUUCUUCUUCAAUAUUUUCAGUAGCUUCUCAAAUCCUUUGUCAGGCACAGCAUUCUCUUAAAGGAAAUAUGCCCUAGAGGCAAUAAUAAAGUUAUUAUUUAUUUCCUCAUAUCAUGAUAAAUGUUUAUUAUUCAUGCUAGAAUUGUAUUAACCGGAAACAUGAUACAUGUGUGAAUACAUAGACAAAACUAUAGUCACUAGUAUGCCUCUACUUGACUAGCUCAUUAAUCAAAGAUGGUUAUGUUUCCUGACCAUAGACAUGUGUUGUCAUUUGAUUAGUGGGAUCACAUCAUUAAGAGAAUGAUGUGAUUGACAUGACCCAUUCUGUUAGCCCAGCACUUGAUCGUUUAGUAUACUGCUAUUGCUUUCUUCAUGACUUAUACAAAGUUCCUGCAACUAUGAGAUUGUGCAACUCCCGUUUACCGGAAGAACACUUUGUGUGCUACCAAACAUCACAACGUAACUGGGUGAUUAUAAAGGUGCUCUACAGGUGUUUCCGAAGGUACAUGUUGGGUUGGCAUAAUUCGAGAUUAGGAUUUGUCACUCCGAUUGUCGGAGAGGUAUCUCUGGGCCCUCUCGGAAAUACUCAUCACAUAAGCCUUGCAAGCAUGUAACUAAUGAGUUAGUUAUGAGAUGACGUAUUACGAAACGAGUAAAGAGACUUGCCGGUAACGAGAUUGAACUAGGUAUUGGAUACCGACGAUCAAAUCUCGGGCAAGUAACAUACCGAUGACAAAGGGAACAAAGUAUGUUGUUAUGCGGUUUGACCGAUAAAGAUCUUCGUAGAAUAUGUAGGAACCAAUAUGGGCAUCCAGGUCCCGCUAUUGGUUAUUGACCGAGAAUGGUUUUAGGUCAUGACUACAUAGUUCUCAAACCCGUAGGGUCCGCACGCUUAACUUUUUGAUGAUAGUUUUAUUAUGAGUUUAUAAGUUUUGAUGUACCAAAGUUUGUUCGGAGUUCCGGAUGUGAUCACGGAUAUGAUGAGGAGUCUCGGAAUGCUUGAGCCAUAAAGAUUGAUAUAUUGGACGACUAUAUUCGGACACCGGAAAGGUUCCGGGAGUUUUCGGAGAAAACCGGAGUGCCCGGGGGGUUACCGAAACCCCCCGGGAGAGUUAAUGGGCCACAUGGGCCUAGGUGGGAAGAGAAAGGGGCGGCCAGGGUGAGCCGCGCGCCCCCUCUCCCUCUAGUCCGAAUUGGACUAGGAGGGGGGGCGGCGCCCCCUUUCCUUCCCCCCCUCUCUUCCUUCCUUCCCCCUCCUAGUAGGAGUAGGAAAGGAGGAAUCCUACUCCUACUAGGAGGAGGAUUCCUCCUCCCUUGCGCGCCCCAAGGGGCCGGCCGGCCUCCCCCUCCCUCCUUUAUAUACGGGGGCAGGGGGCACCCCAUAGACACACAAGUUGAUCUACGGAUCGUUCCUUAGCCGUGUGCGGUGCCCCCUUCCACCAUAUUCCACCUCGGUCAUAUCGUCGCGAAGCUUAGGCGAAGUCCUGCGCCGGUAGAACAUCAAGAUCGUCACCACGCCGUCGUGCUGACGGAACUCUCCCUCGACACUCGGCUGGAUCGGAGUUCGAGGGACGUCAUCGAGCUGAAUGUGUGCUGAACUCGGAGGCUCCGUACGUUCGGUUCUUGGAUCGGUCGGAUCGUGAAGACGUAUGACUACAUCAACCGCGUUGUCAUAACGCUUCCGCUUACGGUCUACGAGGGUACAUGGACAUACACUCUCCCCUCUCGUUGCUAUGUCAUCACCAUGAUCUUGCGUGUGCGUAGGAAAAUUUUGAAAUUACUACGUUCCCCGACAGUGGUAUCAGAGCCUAGGUUUUAUGCGUUGAUGUUAUAUGCACGAGUAGAACACAAGUGAGUUGUGGACGAUAUAAGUCAUACUGCCUACCAGUGUGUCAUACUUUGGUUCAGCGGUAUUGUGAGAUGAAGCGGCCCGGACCGACAUUACGGGUACGCUUACGCGAGACUAGUUUCACCGUUAUGAGCACUCGUGCUUAAAGGUGGCUGGCGGGUGUCUGUCUCUCUCACUUUAGUUGAACCGAGUGUGGCUACGCCCGGCCCUUGUGAAGGUUAAAACGGAGUCUAUUUGACAAACUAUCGUUGUGGUUUUGAUGCGUAGGUAAGAACGGUUCUUGCUAAGCCCGUAGCAUCCACGUAAAAUUUGCAACAACAAAGUAGAGGACGUCUAACUUGUUUUUGCAGGGCAUGUUGUGAUAUGAUAUGGUCAAGACGUGAUGCUAUAUUUUAUUGUAUGAGAUGAUCAUGUUUUGUAACCGAAGUUAUCGGCAACUGGCUGGAGCCAUAUGGUUGUCGCUUUAUUGUAUGAAAUGCAAACGCCCUGUAAUUGCUUUACUUUAUCUCUAAGCGGUAGCGAUAGUCGUAGAAGCAAUAGAUGGCGUAAACGACAACGAUGCUACGAUGGAGAUCAAGGUGUCGCGCCGGUGACGAUGGUGAUCAUGACGGUGCUUCGAAGAUGGAGAUCACAAGCACAAGAUGAUGAUGGCCAUAUCAUAUCACUUAUAUUGAUUGCAUGUGAUGUUUAUCCUUUAUGCAUCUUAUCUUGCUUUGAUUGACGGUAGCAUUUUAAGAUGAUCUCUCACUAAAAUUAUCAAGUAGUGUUCUCCCUGAGUAUGCACCGUUGCCAAAGUUCAUCGUGCCGAGACACCACGUGAUGAUCGGGUGUGAUAAGCUCUACGUCCAUCUACAACGGGUGCAAGCCAGUUUUGCACACGCAGAAUACUCAGGUUAAACUUGACGAGCCUAGCAUAUGCAGAUAUGGCCUCGGAACACAGAGACCGAAAGGUCGAGCGUGAAUCAUAUAGUAGAUAUGAUCAACAUAAUGAUGUUCACCAUUGAAAACUACUCCAUCUCACGUGAUGAUCGGUUAUGGUUUAGUUGAUUUGGAUCACGUGAUCACUUAGAUGACUAGAGAGAUGUCUGUCUAUGUGGGAGUUCUUAAGUAAUAUGAUUAAUUGAACUUAAAUUUAUCAUGAACUUAGUACCUGAUAGUAUCUUGCUUGUCUAUGUUUGUUUGUAGAUAGAUGGCUCGUGCUGUUGUUCCGUUGAAUUUUAAUGCGUUCCUUGAGAAAGCAAAGUUGAAAGAUGAUGGUAGCAAUUACACGGACUGGGUCCGUAACCUGAGGAUUAUCCUCAUUGUUGCACAGAAGAGUUACGUCCUGGAAGCACCGCUGGGUGCCAGGCCUGCUGCUGAUGCAACUGACGACGUUAAGAACGUCUGGCAGAGCAAAGCUGAUGACUACUCUAUAGUUCAGUGUGCCAUGCUUUACGGCUUAGAACCGGGUCUUCAACGACGUUUUGAACGUCAUGGAGCAUAUGAGAUGUUCCAGGAGUUGAAGUUAAUAUUUCAAGCAAAUGCCCGGAUUGAGAGAUAUGAAGUCUCCAAUAAGUUCUAUAGCUGCAAGAUGGAGGAGAAUAGUUCUGUCAGUGAACAUAUACUCAGAAUGUCUGGGUAUAACAAUCACUUGAUUCAACUGGGAGUUAAUCUUCCUGAUGAUAGUGUCAUUGACAGAAUUCUUCAAUCACUGCCACCAAGCUACAAGAGCUUUGUGAUGAACUAUAAUAUGCAAGGGAUGAACAAGACUAUUCCCGAGCUCUUCGCGAUGCUGAAAGCCGCAGAGGUAGAAAUCAAGAAGGAGCAUCAAGUGUUGAUGGUCAACAAGACCACUAGUUUCAAGAAGAAGGGCAAAGGAAAGAAGAAGGGGAACUUCAAAAAGAACGGCAAGCAAGUUGCUGCUCAAGAGAAGAAACCCAAGUCUGGACCUAAGCCUGAAACUGAGUGCUUCUACUGCAAGCAGACUGGUCACUGGAAGCGGAACUGCCCCAAGUAUUUGGCGGAUAAGAAGGAUGGCAAAGUAAACAAAGGUAUAUGUGAUAUACAUGUUAUUGAUGUGUACCUAACUAGAGCUCGUAGUAGCACCUGGGUAUUUGAUACUGGUUCUGUUGCUAAUAUUUGCAACUCGAAACAGGGACUACGGAAUAAGCGAGCACUGGCCAAGGACGAGGUGACGAUGCGCGUGGAAAACGGUUCCAAAGUCGAUGUGAUCGCGGUCGGCACGCUACCUCUACAUCUACCAUCGGGAUUAGUUUUAGACCUAAAUAAUUGUUAUUUGGUGCCAGCGUUGAGCAUGAACAUUAUAUCUGGAUCUUGUUUGAUGCAAGACGGUUAUUCAUUUAAAUCAGAGAAUAAUGGUUGUUCUAUUUAUAUGAGUAAUAUCUUUUAUGGUCAUGCACCCUUGAAGAGUGGUCUAUUUUUAUUGAAUCUCGAUAGUAGUGAUACACAUAUUCAUAUUGUAGAAGCCAAAAGAUGCAGAGUUGAUAAUGAUAGUGCAACUUAUUUGUGGCACUGCCGUUUGGGUCAUAUCGGUGUACAACGCAUGAAGAAACUCCAUACUGAUGGACUUCUGGAAUCACUUGAUUAUGAAUCACUUGGUACUUGCGAACCGUGCCUUAUGGGCAAGAUGACUAAAACACCGUUCUCCGGAACUAUGGAGAGAGCAACAGAUUUGUUGGAAAUCAUACAUACAGAUGUAUGUGGUCCGAUGAAUGUUGAGGCUCGUGGCGGAUAUCAUUAUUUUCUCACCUUCACUGAUGAUUUAAGCAGAUAUGGGUAUAUCUACUUAAUGAAGUACAAGUCUGAAACAUUUGAAAAGUUCAAAGAAUUUCAGAGUGAAGUAGAAAAUCAUCGUAACAAGAAAAUAAAGUUUCUACGAUCUGACCGUGGAGGAGAAUAUUUGAGUUACGAGUUUGGUUUACAUUUGAAACAAUGCGGAAUAGUUUCGCAACUCACGCCACCUGGAACACCACAACGAAAUGGUGUGUCCAAACGUCGUACUCGUACUUUACUUGAUAUGGUGCGAUCUAUGAUGUCUCUUACCGAUUUACCGCUAUCGUUUUGGGGUUAUGCUUUAGAGACGGCCGCAUUCACGUUAAAUAGGGCACCAUCAAAAUCCGUUGAGAUGACGCCUUAUGAACUGUGGUUUGGCAAGAAACCAAAGUUGUCGUUUCUUAAAGUUUGGGGCUGCGGUACUUAUGUGAAGAAACUUCAACCAGAUAAGCUCGAACCCAAAUCGGAGAAAUGUGUCUUCGUAGGAUACCCAAAGGAGACUAUUGGGUACACCUUCUAUCACAGAUCUGAAGGCAAGAUUUUCGUUGCUAAAUUCGGAUCCUUUCUAGAGAAGGAAUUUCUCUCGAAAGAAGUGAGUGGGAGGAAAGUAGAACUUGAUGAGAUAACUGUAUCUACUCCCUUAUUGGAAGGUAGUUCAUCACGAGAACUGGUUCCCAUGACAACUACACCAAUUAUUGAGGAAGCUAAUAAUAUUGAUCAUGAAACUUCAGAUCAAGUUUCUGCUGAACCUCGUAGGUCUACCAGAGUAAGAUCCGCACCAGAGUGGUACGGUAAUCCUAUUCUGGAAGUCAUGUUACUUGACCAUGAUGAACCUACGAACUAUGAGGAACCGAUGAUGAGCCCAGAUUCCGCAAAAUGGCUAGAGGCCAUGAAAUCUGAGAUGGGAUCCAUGGAUGAAAACAAAGUAUGGACUUUGGUUGACUUGCCCGAUGAUCGGCAAGCCAUUGAGAAUAAAUGGAUCUUUAAGAAGAAGACUGACGCUGAUGGUAAUGUUACUGUCUAUAAAGCUCGACUUGUUGCGAAAGGUUUUCGACAAGUUCAAGGGGUUGACUAUGAUGAGACUUUCUCACCCGUAGCGAUGCUUAAGUCUGUCCGAAUCAUGUUGGCUAUUGCUGCAUUUCAUGAUUAUGAAAUUUGGCAAAUGGAUGUCAAAACUGCAUUCUUGAAUGGAUUUCUAGAAGAAGAGUUGUAUAUGAUGCAGCCGGAAGGUUUUGUUGAUCCAAAAGGUGCUGACAAAGUGUGUAAGCUCCAAUGUUCCAUUUAUGGACUGGUGCAAGCAUCUCGGAGUUGGAAUAAACGUUUUGACAGUGUGAUCAAGGCAUAUGGUUUUAUACAGACUUUUGGAGAAGCCUGUAUUUACAAGAAAGUGAGUGGGAGCUCUGUAGCAUUUCUAGUUUUAUAUGUUGAUGACAUAUUAUUAAUUGGAAAUGAUAUAGAAUUUCUGGAGAGCAUAAAGGGAUACUUGAAUAAAAGUUUUUCAAUGAAAGACCUCGGUGAAGCUGCUUACAUAUUGGGCAUCAAGAUCUAUAGAGAUAGAUCAAGACGCUUAAUAGGACUUUCACAAAGCACAUACCUUGACAAAAUUUUGAAAAAGUUCAAAAUGGAUCAGGCAAAGAAAGGAUUCUUGCCUGUGCUACAAGGUGUGAAGUUGAGUCAAACUCAAUGCCCGACCACAUCAGAAGAUAGAGAGAAAAUGAAAAAUGUUCCCUAUGCUUCAGCCAUAGGCUCUAUCAUGUAUGCAAUGCUGUGUACCAGACUUGACGUAUGCUUAGCAAUAAGCUUGGCAGGAAGGUACCAAAGUAAUCCAGGAGUGGAUCACUGGACAGCGGUCAAGAACAUCCUUAAAUACCUGAAAAGGACUAAGGAUAUAUUUCUCGUAUAUGUAGGUGACAAAGAGCUCGUCGUAAAUGGUUACGUCGAUGCAAGCUUUGACACUGAUCCAGACGAUUCUAAAUCGCAAACCGGAUACGUGUUUAUAUUAAACGGUGGAGCUGUAAGUUGGUGCAGUUCUAAACAAAGCGUCGUGGCGGGAUCUACAUGUGAAGCGGAGUACAUAGCUGCUUCUGAAGCAGCAAAUGAAGGAGUCUGGAUGAAGGAGUUCAUUUCCGAUCUAGGUGUCAUACCUAGUGCAUCGGGACCAAUGAAGAUCUUCUGUGACAAUACAGGUGCAAUUGCUUUGGCAAAGGAAUCCAGAUUUCACAAGAGGACCAAGCACAUCACGAGACGCUUAAAUUCCAUUCGGGACCAAGUCCAAGUGGGAGACAUACAGAUUUGCAAGAUACAUACGGAUCUGAAUAUUGCAGACCCGUUGACUAAGCAUCUCUCACGAGCAAAACAUGAUCAGCACCAAGACUCCAUGGGUGUUAGAAUCAUUAUUGUGUAAUCUAGAUUAUUGACUCUAGUGCAAGUGGGAGACUAAAGGAAAUAUGCCCUAGAGGCAAUAAUAAAGUUAUUAUUUAUUUCCUCAUAUCAUGAUAAAUGUUUAUUAUUCAUGCUAGAAUUGUAUUAACCGGAAACAUGAUACAUGUGUGAAUACAUAGACAAAACUAUAGUCACUAGUAUGCCUCUACUUGACUAGCUCAUUAAUCAAAGAUGGUUAUGUUUCCUGACCAUAGACAUGUGUUGUCAUUUGAUUAGUGGGAUCACAUCAUUAAGAGAAUGAUGUGAUUGACAUGACCCAUUCUGUUAGCCUAGCACUUGAUCGUUUAGUAUACUGCUAUUGCUUUCUUCAUGACUUAUACAAAGUUCCUGCAACUAUGAGAUUGUGCAACUCCCGUUUACCAAAAGAACACUUUGUGUGCUACCAAACGUCACAACGUAACUGGGUGAUUAUAAAGGUUCUCUACAGGUGUUUCCGAAGGUACAUGUUGGGUUGGCAUAAUUCGAGAUUAGGAUUUGUCACUCCGAUUGUCGGAGAGGUAUCUUUGGGCCCUCUCGGUAAUACUCAUCACAUAAGCCUUGCAAGCAUGUAACUAAUGAGUUAGUUAUGAGAUGACGUAUUACGGAACGAGUAAAGAGACUUGCCGGUAACGAGAUUGAACUAGGUAUUGGAUACCAACGAUCAAAUCUCGGGCAAGUAACAUACCGAUGACAAAGGGAACAAAGUAUGUUGUUAUGCGGUUUGACCGAUAAAGAUCUUCAUAGAAUAUGUAGGAACCAAUAUGGGCAUCCAGGUCCCGCUAUUGGUUAUUGACCGAGAAUGGUUUUAGGUCAUGACUACAUAGUUCUCGAACCCGUAGGGUCCGCACGCUUAACGUUUCGAUGAUAGUUUUAUUAUGAGUUUAUAAGUUUUGAUGUACCGAAGUUUGUUCGGAGUCCCAGAUGUGAUCACAGACAUGACGAGGAGUCUUGGAAUGGUCGAGACAUAAAGAUUGAUAUAUUGGACGACUAUAUUCGGACACCGGAAAGGUUCCGGGAGUUUUCGGAGAAAACCGGAGUGCCGGGGGGGUUACCGGAACCCCCCGGGAGAGUUAAUGGGCCACAUGGGCCUAGGUGGGAAGAGAGAGGUGCGGCCAGGGUGGGCCGCGCGCCCCCUCUCCCUCUAGUUCGAAUUGGACUAGGAGGGGGGGCGGCGCCCCCCUUUCCUUCCCCCCCUCUCUUCCUUCCUUCCCCCUCCUAGUAGGAGUAGGAAAGGAGGAAUCCUACUCCUACUAGGAGGAGGAUUCCUCCUCCCUUGGAGCGCCCCAAGGGGCUGGCCGGCCUCCCCCUCCCUCCUUUAUAUACGAGGGCAGGGGGCACCCCAUAGACACACAAGUUGAACUACGGAUCGUUCCUUAGCCGUGUGCGGUGCCCCCUUCCACCAUAUUCCACCUCGGUCAUAUUGUCGCGAAGCUUAGGCGAAGCCCUGCGCCGGUAGAACAUCAAGAUCGUCACCACGCCGUCGUGCUGACGGAACUCUCCCUCGACACUCGGCUGGAUCGGAGUUCGAGGGACGUCAUCGAGCUGAACAUCUGCUGAACUCGGAGGCUCCGUACGUUAGGUGCUUGGAUCGGUCGGAUCGUGAAGACGUACGACUACAUCAACCGCGUUGUCAUAACGCUUCCGCUUACGGUCUACGAGGGUACGUGGACAUACACUCUCCCCUCUCGUUGCUAUUUCAUCACCAUGAUCUUGCUUGUGCGUAGGAAAAUUUUGAAAUUACUACGUUCCCCAACAUCUCUGCCUUCCACUGCAGCAAUUCCAGUACGGUACCGAGCUUUGUGUUGCCAUCUUCGCAAUUGGGGUACAACCCUUUUUUUUGGUCCUCUAGCAUGCGAUCGAACUUCAGCUUCUCCUUUUGACUUUUGCAUUGCGUCCUUGCAUCGACAAUGACCCGGCGGAGAUCAUCAUCAUCGGGCACAUCGUCUGGUUCCUCUUGAUCUUCAGCAGCUUCGCCUGUUGCAGCAUCAUCGUGCACAUCGUCUGGUUCCUCUUGAUCUUCAGGAGCAUCACCGUAUUCAGGGGCACAUAGUUGUCAUCGUACUCUUCUUCACCGUCUUCCAUCAUAACCCCUAUUUCUCCGUGCCUCAUCCAAACAUUAUAGUGUGGCAUGAAACCCUUGUAAAGCAGGUGGGUGUGGAGGAUUUUCCGGUCAGAGUAAGACUUCGUAUUCCCACAUAUAGGACAUGGACAACACAUAAAACCAUUCUGCUUGUUUGCCUCAGCCACUUCGAGAAAAUCAUGCACGCGCUUAAUGUACUCGGAGGUGUGUCUUGAACCGUACAUCCAUUGCCGGUUCAUCUGCGUGCAUUAUAUAAUGAAGUGACCAAAUUAAUAGAAGUUCAUCAUCACAUUAAAACCAAAGUACAUACAUAGUUCUCAUCUAACAACAUAAAGCUCUGCAGAGCAUCUAAAUUAAUUAAACCAUACACUGAAACUAUGUAAAACAUUUCAAUGCGAAAACAAAUGCAACCAUAAUCGCAACCAAUGUAACAACUGAUCCAACGGCAUAAUGAUACCAAGCCUCAGUAUGAAUGGCAUAUUUUCUAAUCUUUCUAAUCUUCAAGCGCAUUGCAUCCAUCUUGAUCUUGUGAUCAUCGACGACAUCCCCAACAUGCAACUCCAAUAUCAUCUUCUCCUCCUCAAUUUUUCUAAUUUUUUCCUUCAAGAAAUUGUUUUCUUCUUCAACUGAAUUUAACCUCUCGACAAUAGGGUCGGUUGGAAUUUCCGGUUCAACAACCUCCUAGAUAAAUAAAAUCUAUGUCACGUUGGUCGGCAUAAUUGUCAUAAACAAUAAAUGAACCAAUAGUUAUGAAAAGAUAAUAUAUACCACAUCCGAAUCAUAGACAGGACGAGGGCCGACGGGGGCGGAUACCAAAACCAUCGCACUAUAUAAGAUGCAAUAAUAAAAGUAAGAAAAUAAUACAAGUAUCUAUCUAAACAUACAAGUAAGAAUAUUUUUCCUUUCAGAAAGAAGAUAAGAACAAGAGGCUCACCACGGUGGUGCCGGCGAUGAGAUCGGCGCGGGUGAUCGACGACGAUGAAGACAAGGACGGGGCGUGACGGACCGCUAAACCUAGACAAAUAUUGAGGAAAAUGGAGCUUGGCGGUCGAGCUUGGAGGGGAGAAAGCUUAAGUAGUGUGGCUCGGGCAUUCCAUCGAACACCUCGUGUGCAUAGGAGGUGAGCUAGAGCACCACAAAGCUCUCCCCUCGCCGGCCACGAAAAACAGAGCACUGGGAGUGCUCUGCUCGCGAGCGGGGGGUAUAUAUAGGCACCACCAUUGGUCCCGGUUGGUCGCACGAACCGGGACUAAAGGUUGGCCUUUGGUCCCGGUUCGUGCCACCAACUGGGACCAAUGGUGGUGGGCCAGGAGCGAGGCCCAUUGGUCCCGGUUCGUCCCUCCAACCGGGACCAAAAGGUCCAGACAAACCGGGACCAAUGGCCCACGUGUUGGGUUUCGUAGUAAUUUCAAAAAAUUUCCUACGCACACGCAAGAUCAUGUGAUGCAUAGCAACGAGGGGAGAGUGUUGUCUACGUACCCAACGCAGACCGACUGCGGAAGCGAUGACACGACGUAGAGGAAGUAGUCGUACGUCUUCACGAUCCAACCGAUCAAGCACCGAAACUACGGCACCUCCGAGUUCGAGCACACGUUCAGCUCGAUGACGAUCCCCGGACUCCGAUCCAGCAAAGUGUCGGGGAAGAGUUCCGUCAGCACGACGGCGUGGUGACGAUCUUGAUGAACUACAGCAGCAGGGCUUCGCCUAAACUCCGCUACAGUAUUAUCGAGGUAUAUGGUGGCAGGGGCACCGCACACGGCUAAGGAAUAGAUCACGUGGAUCAACUUGUGUGUAUAGAGGUGCCCCCUGCCUCCGUAUAUAAAGGAGGAGAGGAGGGGAGGCUGGCCGGCCAAGGAGGGGAGGCGCAGGAGAGUCCUACUCCCUCUGGGAGUAGGAUUCCCCCCAAUCCUAGUCCAACUAGGAUUCCUCGGAGGGGAAGGGAGAGAGGGGGGCCGGCCACCUUCUCCUAGUCCUAAUAGGACUAGGGGAGGGGGAAGUGGCGCAGCCACCUUGGGCUGCCCCUUUCUCCUUUCCACUAAGGCCCAUGAAGGCCCAUAUGGCUCCCGGGGGGUUCCGGUAAUCCUCCCGGUACUCCGGUAAAAUCCCGAUUUCACCCGGAACACUUCCGAUGUCCAAACAUAGGCUUCCAAUAUAUCAAUCUUUAUGUCUCGACCGUUUCGAGACUCCUCGUCAUGUCCAUGAUCACAUCCGGGACUCCAAACAACCUUCGGUACAUCAAAAUGCAUAAACUCAUAAUGUAACUGUCAUCGUAACCUUAAGCGUGCGGACCCUACGGGUUCGAGAACAAUGUAGACAUGACCGAGACACGUCUCCGGUCAAUAACCAAUAGCGGGACCUGGAUGCCCAUAUUGGCUCCUACAUAUUCUACGAAGAUCUUUAUCGGUCAGACCGCAUAACAACAUACGUUGUUCCCUUUGUCAUCGGUACGUUACUUGCCCGAGAUUCGAUCGUCGGUAUCCAAUACCUAGUUCAAUCUCGUCACCGGCAAGUCUCUUUACUCGUUCUAUAAUGCAUCAUCCCGUAACCAACUCAUUGGUCACAUUGCUUGCAAGGCUUAUAAUGAUGUGCAUUACCGAGAGGGCCCAGAGAUACCUCUCCGACAAUCGGAGUGACAAAACCUAAUCUCGAAAUACGCCAACUCAACAUGUACCUUCGGAGACACCUGUAGUACUCCUUUAUAAUCACCCAGUUAAGUUGUGACGUUUGGUAGUACCCAAAGUGUUCCUCCGGUAAACGGGAGUUGCAUAAUCUCAUAGUUACAGGAACAUGUAUAAGUCAUGAAGAAAGCAAUAGCAACAUACUAAACGAUCAAGUGCUAAGCUAACGGAAUGGGUGAAGUCAAUCACAUCAUUCUCCUAAUGAUGUGACCCCGUUAAUCAAAUGACAACUCUUUUGUCCAUGGCUAGGAAACAUAACCAUCUUUGAUAAACGAGCUAGUCAAGUAGAGGCAUACUAGUGACACUAUGUUUGUCUAUGUAUUCACACAUGUAUUAUGUUUCUGGUUAAUACAAUUCUAGCAUGAAUAAUAAACAUUUAUCAUGAAAUAAGGAAAUAAAUAAUAACUUUAUUAUUGCCUCUAGGGCAUAUUUCCUUCAGUCUCCCACUUGCACUAGAGUCAAUAAUCUAGUUCACAUCGUCAUGUGAUUUAACAACAAUAUUCAUAUCUGUAUAUGAUUAACACCCAUAGUUCACAUUAUCAUGUGACCAACACCCAAAGGGUUUACUAGAGUAAAUAAUCUAGUUCACAUCUCUAUGUGAUUAACACCCAAAGAGUACUAAGGUGUGAUCAUGUUUUGCUCGUGAAAGAAGCUUAGUCAAUGGGUCUGUCACAUUCAGAGCCGUAUGCAUUUUGCAAAUAUUUUAUGUCUACAAUGCUCUGCACGGUGCUACUCUAGCAAUUGCUCCCACUUUCAAUAUGUAUCCAGAUUGAGACUUAGAGUCAUCUGGAUCGGUGUGAAAACUUGCACCGAGGUAACUUUUACGACGGGCUCUUUUAUCACCUCCAUAAUCGAGAAAUAUUUCCUUAGUCCUCACUAAGGAUAUUCUUGACCAAUGUCGAGUGAUCUACUCCUAGAUCACUAUUGUACUCCCUUGUCAAAUACUGAGCAAGGUAUACAAUAGUUCUGGUACAUAGCAUAGCAUACUUUAUAGAACCUAUGACUGAGGCAUAGGGAAUGACUUUUCAUUUUUUCUAUUUUCUGUUGUGGUCGGGAUUUGAGUCUUACUCAAUUUCAUACCUUUGCAACACAGGCAAGAACUCUUUCUUUGACUGUUCCAUUUUGAACUAUUUCAAAAUCUUGCCAAGGUAUGUACUCAUUGAAAAUCUUAUCAAGCGUCUUGAUCUAUCUCAAUAUAUCUUGAUGCUCAAUAUGUAAGUAGCUUUUACUGAGGUCUUUUCCUUUUAAAGAACUCCUUUAAAACACUCCUUUAUGCUUUGCAGAAAAAUUCUACAUCAUUUCUGAUCAACAAUAUGUCACUCGUAUAUACUAAUCAGAAAGGCUAUAGUGCUCCCACUCACUUUAUUGUAAAUACAGGCUUCUCAAAAAGUCUGUAUAAAACCAUAUGCUUUGAUCAACUCAUCAAAGCGUAUAUUCCAACUCCGAGAGGCUUGCACCAGUCCAUAGAUGGAUCGCUGGAGCUUGCACAUUUUUUUAGCACCUUUAGGAUUGACAAAACCUUCUGGUUGCAUCAUAUACAACUCUUCUUUAAUAAAUCCAUUAAGGAAUGCAGUUUUGAUAUCCAUUUGCCAGAUUUCAUAAAAUGUGGCAAUUGCUAACAUGAUUCAGACAGACUUAAGAAUCGAUACGAGUGAGAAAAUCUCAUCGUAUUCAACACCUUGAACUUGUUGAAAACCUUUCGCAACAAGUCGAGCUUGGUAGAUAGUAACACUACUAUCAGUGUCCGUCUUCCUCUUGAAGAUCCAUUCAUUUAACAUGGCUUGCUGAUCAUCGAGCAAGUCAAUCAAAGUCCAUACUUUGUUCUCAUACAUGGAUCAUAUCUCAGAUUUUAUGGCCUCGAGCCAUUUCGCGGAAUCUGGGCUCAUCAUCGCUUCUUCAUAGUUCGUAGGUUCAUCAUGAUCUAGUAUCAUGACUUCCAGAAUAGGAUUACCGUACCAUUCUGGUGCGGAUCUUACUCUGGUUGAUCUACGAGGUUCAUCAGUAUCUUGAUCUGAAGUUUCAUGAUCAUUAUCAUUGGCUUCCUCACUAACUGGUGUAGGUGUCACUGAAACAGUUUUCUGUGAUGAACUACUUUCCAGUAAGGGAGCAGGUACAGUUACCUCGUCAAGUUCUACUUUCCUCCCACUCACUUCUUUCGAGAGAAACUCCUUCUCUAGAAAGGAUCCAUUCUUAGCAACGAAUGUCUUGCCUUCGGAUCUGUGAUAGAAGGUGUACCCAAUAGUCUCCUUUGGGUAUCCUAUGAAGACACAUUUCUCCGAUUUGGGUUCGAGCUUAUCAGGUUGAAGCUUUUUCACAUAAGCAUCGCAGCCCCAAACUUUAAGAAACGACAACUUUGGUUUCUUGCCAAACCACAGUUCAUAAGGCGUCGUCUCAACGGAUUUUGAUGGUGCCCUAUUUAACGUGAAUGCGGCCGUCUCUAAAGCAUAUCCCCAAAAUGAUAGCGGUAAAUCAGUAAGAGACAUCAUAGAUCGCACCAUAUCUAGUAAAGUACGAUUACGAUGUUCGGACACACCAUUACGCUGUGGUGUUCCGGGUGGCGUGAGUUGCGAAACUAUUCCACAGUUUUUCAAAUGUACACCAAACUCGUAACUCAAAUAUUCUCCUCCACGAUCAGAUCGUAGAAACUUUAUUUUCUUGUUACGAUGAUUUUCAACUUCACUCUGAAAUUCUUUGAAAUUUUCAAAUGUUUCAGACUUAUGUUUCAUUAAGUAGAUAUACCCAUAUCUGCUUAAAUCAUCUGUGAAGGUGAGAAAAUAACGAUAUCCGCCACGAGCCUCAGUAUUCAUCGGGCCACAUACAUCGGUAUGUAUGAUUUCCAACAAAUCUGUUGCUCUCUCCAUAGUACCGGAGAACGGUGUUUUAGUCAUCUUGCCCAUGAGGCACGGUUCGCAAGUACCAAGUGAUUCAUAAUCAAGUGGUUCCAAAAGUCCAUCAGUAUGGAGUUUCUUCAUGCGCUUUAUACCGAUAUGACCUAAACGACAGUGCCACAAAUAAGUUGCACUUUCAUUAUCAACUCUGCAUCUUUUGGCUUCAACAUUAUGAAUAUGUGUAUUACUACUAUCGAGAUCCAACAAACCAUUUUCAUUGGGUGUAUGACCAUAGAAGGUUUUAUUCAUGUAAACAGAACAACAAUUAUUCUCUAACUUACAUGAAUAACCGUAUUGCAAUAAACAUGAUCAAAUCAUAUUCAUGCUCAACGCAAACACCAAAUAACACUUAUUUAGGUUUAACACUAAUCCCAAAAGUAUAGGGAGUGUGCGAUGAUGAUCAUAUCAAUCUUGGAACUAUUUCCAACACACAUCGUCACUUCACCCUUUAACUAGUCUCUGUUUAUUCUGCAACUCCCGUUUCGAGUUACUAAUCUUAGCAACUGAACUAAUAUCAAAUACUGAGGGGUUGCUAUAAACACUAGUAACGUACACAUCAAUAACAUGUAUAUCAAAUAUACUUAUGUUCACUUUGCCAUCCUUCUUAUCCGCCAAUCACUUGGGGUAGUACCUCUUCCAGUGACCAGUCUCUUUGAAGUAGAAGCACUUAGUCUCAGGCUUAGGACCAGACUUGGGUUUCUUCACUUGAGCAGCAACUUGCUUGCCGUUCUUCUUGAAGUUCCCUUUCUUUCCCUUUGCCCUUUUCUUGAAACUAGUGAUCUUGUUAACCAUCAACACUUGAUGCUCUUUCUUGAUUUCUACCUUCGUUGAUUUCAGCAUCAUGAAGAGCUUGGGAAUCGUUUUCGUCAUCCCUUGCAUACUAUAGUUCAUCACGAAGUUCUAGUAACUUAGUGAUGGUGACUAGAGAAUUCUGUCAAUCACUAUCUUACCUGGAAGAUUAACUCCCACUUGAUUCAAGCGAUUGAAAUACCCAGACAAUCUGAGCACAUGCUCACUAGUUGAGCGAUUCUCCUCCAUCUUUUAGCUAUAGAACUUGUUGGAGACUUCAUAUCUCUCAACUCGGGUAUUUGCUUGAAAUAUUAACUUCAAUUCCUGGAACAUCUCAUAUGGUCCAUGACGUUCAAAACGUCUUUGAAGUCCCGAUUCUAAGCCGUUAAGCAUGGUGCACUAAACUAUCAAGUAGUCAUCAUCUUGAGCUAGCCAGACGUUCAUAACUUCUGCAUCUGCUCCUGCAAUAGGUCUGUCACCUAGCGGUGCAUUAAGGACAUAAUUCUUCUGUGCAGCACUGAGGAUAAACCUCAGAUCACGGAUCGAAUCCGCAUCAUUGCUACUAACAUUUUUCAACACAAUAUUCUCUAGGAACAUAUCAAAAUAAACAUAUGAAAGCAACAACGCGAGCUAUUGAUCUACAACAUAAUUUGCAAAAUACUACUAGGACUAAGUUCAUGAUAAAUUAAAGUUCAAUUAAUCAUAUUACUUAAGAACUCCCACUUAGAUAGACAUCCCUCUAAUCCUCUAAGUGAUCACGUGAUCCAAAUCAACUAAACCAUGUCCGAUCAUCACGUGAGAUGGAGUAGUUUCAAUGGUGAACAUCACUAUGUUGAUCAUAUCUACUAUAUGAUUCACGCUCGACCUUUCGGUCUCUGUGUUCCGAGGCCAUAUCUGUAUAUGCUAGGCUCGUCAAGUAUAACCUGAGUAUUCCGCGCGUGCAACUGUUUUGCACCCGUUGUAUUUGAACGUAGAGCCUAUCACACCCGAUCAUCACGUGGUGUCUCAGCACGACGAACUUUGGCAACGGUGCAUACUCAGGGAGAACACUUCUUGAUAAUUUAGUGAGAGAUCAUCUUAUAAUGCUACCAUCAAUAAAAGCAAGAUAAGAUGCAUAAAAAGAUAAACAUCACAUGCAAUCAAUAUAAGUGAUAUGAUAUGGCCAUCAUCAUCGUGUGCUUGUGAUCUCCAUCUCCGAAGCACCGUCAUGAUCACCAUCGUCACCGGCGCGACACCUUGAUCUCCAUCGUAGCAUCGUUGUCGUCUCGCCAAUCUUAUGCUUCCACGACUAUCACUACUGUUUAGUAAUAAAGUAAAGCAUUACAUCGCGAUUGCAUUGCAUACAAUAAAGCGACAACCAUAUGGCUCCUGCCAGUUGCCGAUAACUCGGUUACAAAACAUGAUCAUCUCAUACAAUAAAAUUCAGCAUCAUGCCUUGACCAUAUCACAUCACAACAUGCCCUGCAAAAACAAGUUAGACGUCCUCUACUUUGUUGUUGCAUGUUUUACGUGGCUGCUACGGGCUUAAGUAAGAACCAAUCUCACCUACGCAUCAAAACCACAACGAUAGUUUGUCAAAUAGACUCCGUUUUAACCUUCUCAAGGACCGGGCGUAGCCAUACUCGGUUCAACUAAAGUUGGAGAGACAGUCGCCCGCAAGCCAUCCAUGUGCAAAGCACGUCGAGGGAACCGGUCUCGCGUAAGCGUACGCGUAAGGUUGGUCCAGGUCGUCUCGUCCAACAAUACCGCCGAACCAAAGUAUGACAUGCUGGUAGGCAGUAUGACUUGUAUCGUCCACAACUCACUUGUGUUCUACUCGUGCAUAUAACAUCAACAUAAAUAACCUAGGCUCGGAUGCCACUGUUGGGUUUCGUAGUAAUUUCAAAAAAUUUCCUACGCACACGCAAGAUCAUGUGAAGCAUAGCAACGAGGGGAGAGUGUUGUCUACGUACCCAACGCAGACCAACUGCGGAAGCGAUGACACGACGUAGAGGAAGUAGUCGUACGUCUUCACGAUCCAACCGAUCAAGCACCGAAACUACGGCACCUCCGAGUUCGAGCACACGUUCAGCUCGAUGACGAUCCCCGGACUCCGAUCCAGCAAAGUGUCGGGGAAGAGUUCCGUCAGCACGACGGCGUGGUGACGAUCUUGAUGAACUACAGCAGCAGGGCUUCGCCUAAACUCCACUACAGUAUUAUCGAGGUAUAUGGUGGCAGGGGGCACCGCACACGACUAAGGAAUAGAUCACGUGGAUCAACUUGUGUGUAUAGAGGUGCCCCCUGCCUCCGUAUAUAAAGGAGGAGAGGAGGGGAGGCUGGCCGGCCAAGGAGGGGAGGCGCAGGAGAGUCCUACUCCCUCUAGGAGUAGGAUUCCCCCCAAUCCUAGUCCAACUAGGAUUCCUCGGAGGGGAAGGGAGAGAGGGGGGCCCGCAGCCACCUUGGGCUGCCCCUUUCUCCUUUCCACUAAGGCCCAUGAAGGCCCAUAUGGCUCCCGGGGGGUUCCGGUAACCCUCCCGGUACUCCGGUAAAAUCCCGAUUUCACCCGGAACACUUCCGAUGUCCAAACAUAGGCUUCCAAUAUAUCAAUCUUUACGUCUUGACCAUUUUGAGACUCCUCGUCAUGUCCGUGAUCACAUCCGGGACUCCGAACAACCUUCGGUACAUCAAAAUGCAUAAACUCAUAAUGUAACUGUCAUCGUAACCUUAAGCGUGCGGACCCUACGGGUUCGAGAACAAUGUAGACAUGACCGAGACACGUCUCCGGUCAAUAACCAAUAGCGGGACCUGGAUGCCCAUAUUGGCUCCUACAUAUUCUACGAAGAUCUUUAUCGGUCAGACCGCAUAACAACAUACGUUGUUCCCUUUGUCAUCGGUAUGUUACUUGCCCGAGAUUCGAUCGUCGGUAUCCAAUACCUAGUUCAAUCUCGUCACCGGCAAGUCUCUUUACUCGUUCUAUAAUGCAUCAUCCCGUAACCAACUCAUUGGUCACAUUGCUUGCAAGGCUUAUAAUGAUGUGCAUUACCGAGAGGGCCCAGAGAUACCUCUCCGACAAUCGGAGUGACAAAACCUAAUCUCGAAAUACGCCAACUCAACAUGUACCUUCGGAGACACCUGUAGUACUCCUUUAUAAUCACCCAGUUACGUUGUGACGUUUGGUAGUACCCAAAGUGUUCCUCCGGUAAACGGGAGUUGCAUAAUCUCAUAGUUACAGAAACAUGUAUAAGUCAUGAAGAAAGCAAUAGCAACAUACUAAACGAUCAAGUGCUAAGCUAACGGAAUGGGUGAAGUCAAUCACAUCAUUCUCCUAAUGAUGCGACCCCGUUAAUCAAAUGACAACUCUUUUGUCCAUGGCUAGGAAACAUAACCAUCUUUGAUAAACGAGCUAGUCAAGUAGAGGCAUACUAGUGACACUAUGUUUGUCUAUGUAUUCACACAUGUAUUAUGUUUCCGGUUAAUACAAUUCUAGCAUGAAUAAUAAACAUUUAUCAUGAAAUAAGGAAAUAAAUAAUAACUUUAUUGUUGCCUCUAGGGCAUAUUUCCUUCACCACGUGGCCCGGCCGGCCCCCGGGGCUCAAGAACCAGGUCCAAUGCCCCCAUUGGUCCCGGUUUUGGAUUGAACCGGGACUAAUGGGCUGGACCGGCCUGGACCAUCGCCCCCUUUUCUACUAGUGUUAGUGCAUGGUGGUUAGUGAAGUUAGUGGAGCAUGGUGUGAGUGCGUGGGUCAUGGUUGAGUGCCAGACUUUGUAUAAAUUGUCAUUUGAGUCAAUGAGAAAAUGUAAGGCCGAGAGGGCCAGUGCAAAGAUGUAGCAUUUGUGGUAGCCAAGGGAGAUUAACUGGGCAAAGCUAUGUGUUCUUCCUUGGUCUAUGCGUGUGUGUGUUCUGUGUGUGUUCUCUCUCUGCGUCCUUGUGUUCAUGGGAGUGUUUUUGAGAGAAGCCAGAAGAGAGAGUUGUGAGAGGCAGCUCGAGGUAGAAGAAGGAGCGGUGCUGCUCCGAGAGGAGGCGGCGCCAACAAUUAUUGACGAAAGGGAUAUUAUAUUGCGCAAGGUAUAAUCAGACGCGUCGGGGAUGGAGCGACUACACACAUAUGGGAUCACAACUGGAUUAUGAGGGAAAGCUAUAAGAGGCCAAUAAAUAAGUUAGUGCAGAUCCCCCCUCAGAAACAUUUUAUGUAUACACGUUAACAUUUCCCAGAUAUAUGAUUAAUAUUUUUAGAAAACUUCUAUUUUUUAUGUGUACUUUUUAUACAUUUUGUAAUAUCAGAAAUAGUUUUUAUAGAAGGUUUAACAUUUUUCAAAUACAUGAUUACCUUUUUGUAAACUUAUAUUGUUUGACGUUUACUUUUUUCCAUAGACAUAGUGAGGGGUUAUAUCUAAGGAAUAGGCCCAAGUACAUGUAGGCACAACCAAAGGCCCAUGUUAAUCAAGGAUGUUCCACAAGACAAAUGGGAAAACACACCGGGGCUAAUGGAGCUACAAGGCCAAGGCAUCGGAUACAAGGGGAGAGUCAACUGUGUACAGUCAGAUUACACAACCCUUAACAGACAAGACUCAUCAGUUGGUCCACUAUAGGAAUCAGGUCAUUUGCCGUCAGCCGAGAACAGAUGCGAAGGCUUUGCCGUGAGCAAGUUGACGACAAACACAAUCAGCAAAGACUAUAUCAGCAAAGAGCUAAUUUGACGUCAACUUUUCAUCGCGCUGAUGACAAAGACUUUGCCGUCAAUUAAACUAUGUGUUUGUCGUCUGUAGAAAAAACACAAAUGGCAAAGAAAUUAAACAAAUGGUCAUUUUAUAAUAAUUUUUCGAAAUGUAUAUAGUGUAUUUUAAAAUGUUAAAUAUGUAUCAAGAAUUAUUUCAUAAAUAUACAGAAGAUGUACAACGUGUAUGAAAAUUAUGUAGACAUCAGAACAUAUUAUAGAAAUGUUAAUCUUGUAUUUAAAAAUGUUAAAUACACAUAAAUAAAAAUGUUUUUGAUGUACAUAAAAAAAUUGUACAUCGUGUGUGAACAAAGUAUGCAUUGAAAAAAAAAUCUUGUUGGAAAGAAAAUCUCGUGCUAUAUACGAAAAUGUAAAAGGUGUAUGAAAAUAAUUAGAUAUAUGCUUAACGAAAAAAAGGAAAGAAGGCGCAAAAAAAUCCGAUCAACACCAAGAUAGGAACAAGAAAACCUGAAGAAGACCAUUGAAAAAAAAGAAAAGAAUACAAGAAAGAGGAAAAAAAACAAAAAAAUGAAGAAGCUGAUGCAGAACAGGGAACUUGGUGAAAACGAAUAAAAAUUGAUGAAAACCGAGAAGAAAAACAAGAAAACUGAAGCAAAAAAAUAAUAAAAAUAUGUAAAAAAAUGAUGAAACAUUGCAAAACACUGAAAUACUAUGAAAACCAAAGGAAGAAAAGACUCAAAAAGAAGAACAUACAGCGAGCGAAUGAACAACAACUGAGUGAACGAGCGACCAUGCGAGAACACGUUAAUUGUCCGGCCCAUACUUGUGGACUCCAGAGGCGAGCCAGAAUAGGCGAGAUAUAGCUAUGACGAUUUGAUACCCUUCACAGCUUCACGAAUGCUAUAUCUCGCUCACAGCGAAAGUAUAUUUUGUCUGGCCUGAAGGUGCAAGAAUAGCAUCAGGUCGCUGUAAGGUUUGUGAUCCUACAAUGAGAGCUCCGAUAAGAUUAAAGUUCAUUUUUCUGACAACCUUUGGUCGUUCGUUCGCGCUCAGGUCGUCCGCUCACUCGAUUCCACGUACUAGUUUGGUUAUGUUGUUUUUUUCAUUUUGUUCUUUUUUUGUUUCUUCACUGGCUUUCUUUGGUUUUUAUAUCGGUUUUCUUUGUUUCCUUCACGUUUUAUUCCUGUUUUCCUUUUUACUGGUUUAUUUAUUCCUUUUUUUCUUUGUUUCUUUCUUGGUUUUCUUUGUUUUUCUUUCUUUUGAUGUCAAUCUUUUUACAUACGCAUUCAACAAUUUCCGUAUACAUCAGAAACAUUUUAUGUAUACACAUUAACAUUUCCCAGAUAUAUGAUUAAUAUUUUUGGAAAACCUCUAUUUUUUAUGUGUACUUUUUGAUACAUUUUGUAUAUAUCAGAAAUAUUUUUUUAGAAGGUUUAACAUUUUUUUAAAUACAUGAUUACCUUUUUGUAAACUUAUAUUGUUUGACGUUUAUUUUUUUCCAUAGACAUAGUGAGGGGUUAUAUCUAAGGAAUAGGCCCAAGUACAUAUAUGGCACAACCAAAGACCCAUGUUAAUCAAGGAUGUGGUCCACAAAACAAAUGGGGAAACACACGGGGGCCAAUGGAGCUACAAGGCCAAAGCAUCGGAUAUAAGGGGAGAAUAAGUGUGUACAGUCGGAUUACACAACACUUGACAGACAAGACUCAUUAGUUGGUCCACUAUAGGAAUCGAGUAAUUUGCCGUCAGCCGAGAACAGACUCGAAGUCUUUGCCGUCAGCAAGUUGAUGACAAACACAGUGAGCAAAGACUAUAUCGGCAAAGAGCUAAUUUGACGUUAACUUUUCAUCCGCUGAUGACAAAGACUUUGCCGUCAAUUAAACUAUGUGUUUGUCGUCUGUAGAAAAAACACAAAUGGCAAAGAAAAGCAUCUUUGCCAUCAGCAACUGAUUCACAUGUGUCGUCAGCCAGACUCGUCUUGUCACUAGCCUCAAACAUCACAGAUGGCAAAGAUUUUUUUUUAUUUUUAAAAUUCCGCGUCGACCACCCUAUCGCUCGUGCAGCCACCGCCUGGCCGCGCUCGCCUCCCUGCUCACAUGCCCUGCCAGCUUGCGCCGUUGCCAUCCGGCAGCGCUCGCCCGACCCUGCUCAUCGCCCGGCCGAGCUCGCCCGCCCUGCUCGGUCGCGUCGUCGGCAGCUGCCCUGCUUGCACACGUACCUGCCCAGCCUUGCUCAUACCGCCGGCCACCCUGCUCGCUAGAGAAAGGAAGGCGAGAGAGGAGGCUCGGGGGAGAAAGAAAAAACAAAGGAGAGAGAGAGGAUGCUACCACUGCCACAUCACCAAUACGCAUGAUCGAUCUGCAAGAUGUGCUCUCUCUUUUGCCGCCUCUGAUGGCAAAGUAUGUCUUUAUCGUCUAUAAUAAGAUUACAAACAGCAAAGUGAGCUCUUUGCCGUCUGUAAAAAAACGGACGACAAACAAACUUUGUUGUCAGCUGCCGACGGCAAAAAGUGCUCUUUACCGCAGCCUCGAUGAGAAGCUGAAGGCAAAGUGCCCCACAGACGGCAAAUUAGUUGAUUCCUGGGUGGUUAUGAGCAAGACAGGAGCAAUAACCCUAUCUACACUCGGUCAUCUGGAAGACAGGAGUAGUCGAACCAUCUAUAGUCGGCUACAUCUGAGGUUACCGUGACCCUUACGAUGCAUUCAUUAUCGCCGUUACUCAAUGGAGUAGUUAAAUACGUCAGUUAGCAAUAAUAAUAGCCACGAACAGUCAAUCAUGCAUGUGACCAUCAAUAGCAUUUAUACCAACCCAUUACGGCACUUCCUCCUAGCACACUCUAUAUAAGCCAGGAGUAGGACAUGAGAGUGAGGGAUGAACUCUCUCACAGUAUAACCUACGCCAAGAGCAGGAACACCACAUGAAUAGAGAUUACCUCCACCAACGUACUCCCAUCCGUUUUAUGUACCGAUCAAUGUAUAUAAUGGCUUCUACAUUCACAUCCCGUAGUAUUGUCAGGAUUAUAUCCACGACAGAAACUAUAUUUUGUUAUACAUCAAGAACAUUUUAUAUAUAAAUAUUUACAAUUUUUUAAAUACAUGAUUAAUAUUUUUUCAAACAUAUAUUUUGUAUGUCUCCUUUUCAUAAUCUUUGAUCCCUGGAAGUUUCAGAUUUUUUCCGAUUUGUUCUCAUUUUUUUAUGAAUUUACUGUUCAUGAGGGUGUAGGGGCACCCAGGAGCUGUUAGGCAUAAUAUUUCUGCUGUUGUUGUCAUCAUCAAGGGGAAUGAGAAGGGUUGAAGUUUUCGUUUUCUUUGAGGGGGAAAUCAGAGUUGGGGGCUGGAAGUGAGUGAUUAGGCCCAACAUAAGCGCUGUGUGUGUGUGUCUCGUCACGGGCACCAAAUUCGAACUGGGCUAUUGUUUUCUGAGAACCCAACGUCACAAGCCCAACCAACAGUCUGCCGAUCUGCAUCUUCCUCUCCUUGUCCAUCCUCCUCGUUGGCCGGACCGCCUCGAGCCACGGCCGCUCCCUGGCGCAGCGUCCUCCCCUUCCUCUCCACCCCCAAAUUCUCUUGUAUCCUCUUCUGAUCUCCUUCCUUACUUCCUCUCGCUGAUGGUCUCCACAAGAAGGUCUCCGAGCUCCUCGGAGGGUUCCGGCUGUACGUCGACGCAGCCUCUCCGACCUCCCCAUGAACAUGAGCUAUCGACCCUGAAAGCCUGUCUCUUCCAUGAUUCGAUUCACAUGAAUUCACGAGCCGCAUGAAUCAUGAAGGUCAUGGAGCAGAAUUCAGUCGUGUAGCCUGACAGUGAUGUACAUUUGUGGCUUUUCUGGCUAAAUAGCUCUGUACCCUAUGUGGAUGCCACUUCAAAUAAUCGUCAAAAUAAUUCUCCUGCACGCGUUAUACAAAUGGCGAAGAAGAAGUUCGCGUGGAACAUUUCGUUUCUUAUUGAUGUCCGAGAGAAAAGCUCCUAGGAAGUUCAUCCGCUCGGUGGAUUAUAAGUUUAAGUUUGUUACAACAUCCAAUCAUCCAUAUAAUCUCUGUGUUUCUUCUGUUUUCUACCAGUCAUAUAUCAUAUGUGCAUCAGAGGAAAAAUGCUUUCAGCAGUCAUGUUGGAGCGCGCAUACCAAGUUCCCACAUUGCAAAUAUGAUCCUAGCCAUUAAUAUGUUUCAUUCCACAUUUUCUUGAUCUAAUUUCUAAAUGAUUGGACAACCUGUUAUAGUCUUAUAGAAUUAUGAGCCGCCAAAUCCACAUUUCUCUUGGUCUAAUUUCUAAAUGAUAAUGUGCAGCAUCUAUCUCCUGGUGAACCUUUUUUUCUUGCGACUGUAUCUCCUGAUGAACCUAGUUUUCUCUAGGUAGCACAAUAAUUGUACUGGUUUGAUGUAAAGGACAUAAAUACAAGGGAAUAAAUUGGAAGCUUAUUUCAAAUUAACUAGCUAGUGGUGUUUGUGAAGUUCAAGAAAAAGCUGGUCUUUUUCUCGACAAAUAAUUUAACAUGCAAAGAAUCAAUAAAUGUAUUUGCAAGAAAGCAAACAUAAUUAACGAUAAAACUGGUUUAUUGUCACUGUAGACAACGGUAGUAGUUGGAACUAGAUACAAACCAAUAAAAAACAAGAUCUCAAAUCUCCAACCAAUAAAGAGUUCAACCCAAAUUUUACAGUAACACCAUUAUAUUCAAAUAGUGAUUAUUCCAACACAUGGAUAAUUAAUUAAGGCACCAGGUUGCCCUUGUGACUAGGAAAGACAAACUUAUGAACUUGCAAGCAUGGCAAUCAGAUCGACAUCCACACAAUGCCAAUAUGAACAUUGUCUUGAUACAACUUUAUUUUUAUUUUAUUUCAGAAUUUAAACAACUAGUAUGGGCGGGUCACACACGACAUUGUGUGACACUUUAUUUGUCACCGCUGCAUCGACAUAUCCAUCGACUAAACAACGGUGAUCCAACUAUAUAUUACUAGAGACCUUUCCUUAUUAGUAGGAACCAACUCCGGUGCCAACACCGAAUGGCACACUAGUGGUGGUUCUAUACAACGGCACAUUGACACGGCACAUCGUUGGCAGGGUACGGAGCGCAAUGGAAGUCAUCACCUCAAGCUGAGCUAUCUGGUGUGGCUGCAAAAAGGUACCUUGUGCCAAUUGUUGUUGUUGAGGUUGUUGCCCGAGUUGUUGUUGUGACUGCUGUUGGGGUUGGGAAACACAUUGGCCCAACUGUUGGGGUUGCUGCUGAGGAGUUUGGAUGGAACCCUGAACCUGUUGUUGUUCUUGCAGGAUGAUGGAGUAGAUGAUAGCACGGAUUGCCUCAUAGCGGGAUUGCUGGGGGAUUUGCGGCAACUGCUGGCAACAUUGUUGUUGCAUCACAUGGCAACUGCUCUGCUGCAACAUUUGCGACCUAGCAAGACUUUGUGGCAUUGCCACAGGGCUGCAUUGCUGCUGGAGGAAUACCUUGCAUGGGUUUAGCUGCUGCAAGAUAGAUGGAUGAACAAAUGGUAUUUGUUGUUGCGGUAGAACUAGUUGUUGUUGUUGCUGCGAAAAUGGUGGUUGUUGCGGUAGACUUGGUUGUUGUUGUUGCAAAAAUGGUGGUUGUUGCUGUAGUACUAUUUGUUGUUGUUGCGAAAACGGUGAUUGUUGCUGUGAAAAUGGUGGUAGUUGUUGCUGUGAAAAUGAUGGUUGUUGCGGUAGAACUGGUUGUUGUUGCUGCGAAAAUGGUGGUUGUUGUUGUGAAAAUGGUGGUUGUUGUUGCUGCGAAAAUGGUGGUUGUUGUUGUGAAAANNNNNNNNNNNNNNNNNNNNNNNNNNNNNNNNNNNNNNNNNNNNNNNNNNNNNNNNNNNNNNNNNNNNNNNNNNNNNNNNNNNNNNNNNNNNNNNNNNNNNNNNNNNNNNNNNNNNNNNNNNNNNNNNNNNNNNNNNNNNNNNNNNNNNNNNNNNNNNNNNNNNNNNNNNNNNNNNNNNNNNNNNNNNNNNNNNNNNNNNNNNNUGGUUGUUGUUGCUGCGAUAAUGGUUGUUGUUGUUGCUGCGAAAAUGGUGGUUGUUGUUGUGAAAAUGGUGGUUGUUGUUGCUGCGAUAAUGGUUGUUGUUGUUGUUGCUGUGAACAUGGUUGCUGUUGUGAAAAUGGUUGUGGUUGUUGUUGGAUGGGUUGUUGUUGUUGGUGGUGCGAUAAUGUUUGUUGUGGUGGUAAUGGUUGUUGCUGCGAUGGUCUCUCCAAACCAGGGAUGUGGCUAUUCUCCAUUUGUGCAAUGGCACUUGUCGCCACAAUGGCGAGGAGAGCAAAGAUGAGGAAGGUCUUCAUGGUGGAUUGGUGUUAACCAGUGUUGCUUGGUUUUGAUGCUUGUGCUUGUGAUGAUCUUUAUACUUCAUGCCUAUUUAUAGUAGCCCGGGCACCACCUCUUUUCUUCUUUGCAUUAGCUUUAAUAAUUCUGUUUGGAUGCAUCUAAAAUGAUUUUUGGUACAAUGUGUUAGGUUGCACUAGCUACACGCGUACUUUUGGAUUGAUCAUCAAAGUUGCUUUUUAGUUGUGCAUAUGAUCACACACAAAGUACAGAAACCUUGAUGUUUGGUACAUAUGACUCACCUUAUUCACUUUACAUGUCACACACUUAUCUGGAUAGUAUCACUUUUGCAACCGAGUUUGGAACCUUGUAUAGGCUGUCAUCCAUAAACAAGAAAGGCAAAACUUGUGUAGGACUAAGUUUGCAAUCGGAGGGUUCUUCUAGACUCGAUUUCUUUUCGUAAAACUAACUUUGUAUUUUUCCUCUAAGAUGAUAAGAUGAACCGACGCCUAUAGAGCAUGACAUGACUCAUCGAAUUCCCUUUACAUGUAAAGGAUGGUAAUUGCUUACAAGCUACUCCUACUAGCAUAUAUCCGGUUCCAAGCCUAGACACGUCAUCAUCAGUUUCGUCUAUUUUUUUAGAUAAAUCAUCAGUUCUAUCUAUUUGUGAAGGGUUUUUUUGGGGGGAAAUGAUAGUUUUUUUAUGCUAGGGGGGUUUUUUNNNNNNNNNNNNNNNNNNNNNNNNNNNNNNNNNNNNNNNNNNNNNNNNNNNNNNNNNNNNNNNNNNNNNNNNNNNNNNNNNNNNNNNNNNNNNNNNNNNNNNNNNNNNNNNNNNNNNNNNNNNNNNNNNNNNNNNNNNNNNNNNNNNNNNNNNNNNNNNNNNNNNNNNNNNNNNNNNNNNNNNNNNNNNNNNNNNNNNNNNNNNNNNNNNNNNNNNNNNNNNNNNNNNNNNNNNNNNNNNNNNNNNNNNNNNNNNNNNNNNNNNNNNNNNNNNNNNNNNNNNNNNNNNNNNNNNNNNNNNNNNNNNNNNNNNNNNNNNNNNNNNNNNNNNNNNNNNNNNNNNNNNNNNNNNNNNNNNNNNNNNNNNNNNNNNNNNNNNNNNNNNNNNNNNNNNNNNNNNNNNNNNNNNNNNNNNNNNNNNNNNNNNNNNNNNNNNNNNNNNNNNNNNNNNNNNNNNNNNNNNNNNNNNNNNNNNNNNNNNNNNNNNNNNNNNNNNNNNNNNNNNNNNNNNNNNNNNNNNNNNNNNNNNNNNNNNNNNNNNNNNNNNNNNNNNNNNNNNNNNNNNNNNNNNNNNNNNNNNNNNNNNNNNNNNNNNNNNNNNNNNNNNNNNNNNNNNGCCGCCACCGCUCGACAAAAAAGGUCACUUUUGUAGCUCCCCCGUCGAUUGCGGGCCGUACGUCGACGGCAGCCACUCCGACCUCCCCGUCAACACAAGGUAUCGAUCUGUUUCGUCUGUCUCUUCCAGCGAUUCAAUGCACAUAAAUCCGAGAGGCAGACCCAUCUCCAUGCUAGCUGCACGGAUCAGGAGGGUCAGGCAUCAGAAUUCAGCUGGGAAGCCUGACACUAAUGUACAUUUGUGGCUUUAGUAGCUGAAUAUAACUAUGUGUUUUCUGAGAAUUUCACUUCAAAAGUUCCAAUAAUCAUCAAAUUUCCGCCUAUGCGCGCUAAGCAGGUGGACCAUAUAUUUCUCAUGUCGACGAACGAAAAAACAAAACUCCACAACUAGAAGUCUAUGAUAUUGACACGGAACCGUGCUGUAGGGUCGCAAGUAAAAAUAUGAAAAGCAUGCCUAACACUACUAGGAAAAGGGCUAUAGAUGGAAUUGACACUAAUGACGCACCAGACAUGUGGUGCGCCAUUAGUAUAUACUAAUGGCGCACCAUCUUCUGAUGCGCCAUUAGUGUUGAAAUUACUAAUGGCGCACCCUGCCCACGGUGCGCCAUUAGUACCAAUUUUUUUUUGAACUAGUGCGCCUGUCCAAACAUACUAAUGGCGCAUCCGCUGGUGGUGCGCCAUUACUAGUUGUAACUAGUAAUGGUGCACCAGCCAGAGGGUGCGCCACUAAAGUUAUUUUUUUUAUUAUUGUUUUUAUUCCUUUUUUUGCAAAAGUACUAAUGGCGCACUCACACGCGGUGCGCCAUUACUAGUUCAAACUAGUAAUGGCGCACCGUGGCAGAGUGCGCCAUUAGUAUGUUUUUUUUUCAAAACUACUAAUGGCGCACCACCUGGUGGUGCGCCAUUAGUAACCUGGAUUACUAAUGGCGCAUUUGUUGCUGGUGCGCCAUUAGUAAGUGGGCAGCAACAAGAUAUUUUGGACAGCCUCUCCUCCCACACUCACUUUCUCCCCAUUUCAUUCUCUCCACCGCCUCCUCAUGUCUCGGGUGCCUCCUCUUUUUCACCUCAUUUCCACCAUAGAUUCAUUCAAAUUAAGUGGUUAAGUUACCUUGUUUUGCUAGGUAAGUAAGGGGGGAAGCUAUAUUUAUGUUGUUCUCCCUACAACAGUGUGCACAUGCACUUUUUAUGGCCUAGCUAGAUCUAUGUAUGUUCGUGGUGUUGCAUAUGUUUGUGGUGUUGCAUAUGUGUUUGUGUUUGAAGGUGUACCGGUAUUUGAAAUGCGAUAGUUGCCAAUAUUUUGCCGGAAUGUUGAUUCAUUUCCGUUUCGGCGAGAAUUUUGGCAUUAAGCAUUCUUUUUGGUCCUAUUUUUAGGGAAAGUCAUGCCAAAUUUUUUCUUGGUUCUAAAAUAUCGUUUUGCUCUACCCCGCAGGCGACCAUGGUCCGCACGAUGACCGAAGGCAUCGUGAAUAGGUUUUUGAGGUCCACGAAGGCCGAGAUGCUUCAAAAGAACGAGACGGAGAUAAGAUGUCCGUGUCGAAGAUGCAAGCUGAAUAGCCUUAUUGCGGACCCGGAUUCCGGGCAGGUGCGGGACCACCUGCUCUUGCGUGGUUUCAUGGAUGGCUGUCGGUGGCAAGGUGAUGAAGAUGACUACGAAGUCGUCCAUGGGGGCCGGGCAAGAAAUGAGGAAGGGCAGCAAGACAACCACCGCGGCUCGGGGGGGCGAGAAGAAGAAGAAUCCCCAGGAGAUGAUCACGACGGUGAUGUUGUACACAGUCAUCAUGUAGAAGAUGCAGGACAUGAUGAUGAUGCCGGCGGAGCAGACGACGCUGGACCAUCGAUGGGCUGGGUGCAGGACCCUCAUAUUCAAGAGCUGCUUCUCAAGCAGACGGAUAACGCAAGAGCUGCCGCCCGAGAGAAAGCCAAGAUGGAUCAACUUGAGUUAGACGCGGUUACUCCAUUGUAUGAAGGAUGCAGGCCCGAGGAUACCCGCCUGAAAGUAACACUCAUGGCUCUGGAGAUGAAGGUAAAACACAAAAUGACCGACGCAUGCUUCGACGAGAACAUGUCAUUCUGGCACGAACGUCUUCCCAAAGGGAACAAGUGCCCGACCAGUUUGGAGGAGGCGAAGAAAAUCGUGUGUCCUCUGGAUUUACCGCACGUGAAAUACCAUGUGUGCAUGAACAAUUGCAUCAUUUAUCGGGACGAGCACGCGGAGUCUACCAUAUGUCCGGUGUGCGGUGUCACUCGAUACAAGAAGGGGAAGAAAGCUCCUCGAAAAGUGGUGUGGUACUUUCCGAUCACUCCUCGUCUGCAGCGGUAUUUCGCGGACCCUAAGGUAGCAAAGCUCCUGCGUUGGCACGCGGAUAGGGAGGAGAAGAAGCGAGAAGAUGACGCAAAUGAUACGGAGAUAGAUAAAAAAGACAAGAUGCUGAGUCACCCUAAGGAUGCGAGCCAGUGGCAAGCGUUGAACUUCGAAUAACCAGAAUUUGGGAACGAUCCAAGGAACAUCGUGCUGGGCGCGAGCACCGGUGGAGUCAAUCCGUUUGGCAGCCAGAGAAGCACACAUAGCACCUGGCCUGUGUUUGUGUGGAUGUACAACCUUCCCCCCUGGUUGUGCAUGAAGAGGAAGUACAUUCACAUGAGUAUGCUAAUUGAAGGGCCGAAACAACCAGGGAACGACAUCAAUCUGUAUCUGGGGCUGCUGAAAGAGGAGCUUGACACGCUGUGGAAAACGCCCACCAAUACGUGGGACGCCGCAGAGAAAGAAUAUUUCCCUAUGAGAGCCGCACUGCUCACGACGGUGCACGACUAUCUCGGUUACGGAUAUCUUGCGGGGCAGGUAGUCCACGGAUUUUCUGGAUGCGUAAGGUGCAUGGAUGACACAACGUAUCGCCAGCUAGAUAGAGACGAUGACCCGUGGAGGAAACGCAAGGAUCUGUUCGAUGGUGAAACCAAACCCCGAAAACGCCCGUGUACGAGGAGCGGCGAGGAAAUAGACAAGCUGUUGAAAAAUCGGAAAGACUGCCCACUGCCGGGAAAGAAGCAAAAGGUGCCAGAGCCGGGAAAGAAGCGAAAGGCGCCAGAGCCGCUGCUGAAGCUAUGGAAAACGAGGUCUGUUUUCUGGGACUUGCCGUACUGGAAGAUCCACCGUGUGCCUCACAGCCUUGAUGUCAUGCAUAUCACGAAGAACGUGUGCGAGAGUCUGCUUGGUACCCUGCUCAACAUGCCAGAGAGGACCAAAGAUGGGCCGAAAGCGAGGGCAGACUUGAAAUCAAUGGGCAUCAGGCAGGAGCUUCACGCUAUAUAUGAUGAUGAUGAUGAUGAUGAUGAUGAUGAUGAGGCGAAGCAGGACACAGAAAGUCGUCGCAAAGGCAAAAAGGCCAAGAAGACCGGAAAUGACUACCCUCCCGCGUGCUUCACUCUAAGUCAGGAGGAGAUCGAGCAGUUUUUCACCUGCCUCCUAGGAGUAAAACUUCCUUACGGUUACGCGGGGAAGAUAAGCAGAUACCUAGACCCAGCGAAGCAGAAGUUCAGCGGGAUGAAGUCUCACGAUUGUCACAUGCUGAUGACGCAGAUACUUCCAGUUGCAAUCCGUGGGAUCAUGGACGCGCACGUCCGUGAAACGCUAUUUGGCCUAUGCAACUUCUUCGACGUCAUCUCUCAGAAGUCGAUUGGCAUGAGGCAACUCAGAAGGCUACAGGAAGAGAUCGUGGUGAUACUAUGCGAGCUUGAGAUGUACUUCCCGCCCGCAUUCUUCGAUGUUAUGGUGCAUCUGCUGGUCCAUAUAGUGGGGGAUAUCAUCCAACUCGGGCCGAUGUUCCUGCACAGCAUGAUGCCGUUCGAAAGGAUGAAUGGUGUCAUCAAAGGAUACGUUCGCAACAUGUCACGUCCAGAAGGAAGCAUAGCCAGGGGCUUUCUGACCGAAGAGUGCAUCUACUAGUGCGCGAAUUAUCUAGGCAUCGAGAACCCCGUUGGUCUGCCCGUCAACAGGCACCUCGGCAGGCUCGCUGGAUGGGGUCACCGUGAGGGUCGCCGCGAAAUGCAUGUCGACUUCGAGGGUCGACUCGCCGACUUUGAAAGAGCAAACCUAGUCGCGCUACAACACAUAGACGUGGUCGAUGCUUGGGUGGUAGAGCACAAAACCUUUAUUAAGAAGACGUACAAUGACCGAGGCCAACAGAGGACGGACGGAGAUAUACUCAAAGAGCACAACUCAUGUUUCACGCGUUGGUUCAAGCAGAAGCUUCUGUCGUACCCUUUACAUGAGGAUUCUUCCGCGGAAGAACAACUCAUAUUCGCCUUGUCACAGGGCGCCGAGCACAACCUGAUGACCUAUGAGGCGUACGAUAUCAACGGCUACACAUUCUACACCGAGGCCAAGGACAUGAAGAGCGAUGGUUAUCAGAACUCCGGGGUAACGAUGGAAUCCUACACCGGUAACGACAAGGACAGAUACUACGGAAGGAUCGAGGAGAUCUGGGAGCUGAGCUAUGCUGGAGAGAAGGUCCCGAUGUUCCGUGUCAGAUGGGCCAAGAACGUCAUAAAAGAAGACCGGUAUUUCACCACCAUGGUUAUACCCGGAGCCAAAUCCAAGACCGCGAGCGCAAACGUCACCGCGAAAAAUGAGCCAUGGGUACUGGCUUCCCAAGUGGACCAAUGCUUCUUCAUUACCGACCCGCCAAAGCCCAGUCGUGUUGUCGUGAGGAGAGGCAAAAGGAAGAUCAUCGGAAUGGAUGGAGUAGCCAAUGAGCAAGACUUCGACAAGUACGGCGACCCGAGGAUCGAACAUGACGACGAUGAUGAAGUAGCAGCAUACACCACAAGAAGAAGCAGGACCACCCUACCUAAAGGACGUCCGUUCCACAGAAGAACUCCAUUUGCGAAAAAGAAGGGCAAGAAGAUUGUGAACAGAUAGCUAGCUAAGAUCGAUUGUAUUUAAAUCGUAGCCUUCAUUUCUCGAUUGUAUUUCAUGGGUACUUUUUGAACUAUCAUGAAUAUUUUUAAAUUUAAUGGACACUCGAUCUCGAUCCCCCUCCAUCUCGAUCGCUAUCCCACCUCGCCAGAUCCGGUCCCCCUCGCCGCCAAGCACCCCCCCAGCCCACCGGCCGCCGCCGCCGACCCCCCGCACCCUCGAUUCCCCUACCCAACCGCCGCCGCCGACCCACCGCACCCCGCGCACCCUCCCCUGCUCCACCAGCAUUACUGUUUGAUGAUAUUUUUAAAAAAAUUAUUAUUGUCUUAUAAAAAAAUAUUACUGUUAUGAUUUAAACAAGUUUGAACAUAUUUAAACACAAAUAAGUAUCAAACAGGUUUUUAAAUGCUAAAAAAAAUUUGUGGAGCCUGGGAGUCGAACCCAGGACCUCCUGGUGUGAGAACUGGCUGCUGACCAGUCGAGCUAGUAGAGGGGACUUGAUGUGGAUCAAUUCUGGUGGUACAUAACCUGUUGGCUCGAGUUGAAAUAAAAAAAAUACUAAUGGCGCACCACGGUGAGGUGCGCCAUUAGUAUGGAUGUACUUAUGGCGCACCGAGGGGUGGUGCGCCAUUAGUAUUGUGCCCGAUCCCUUCCCUCUCCCCCUUCGCCCGAUCCCCCCUUCCCUCUCCCCCUUGCCAGUUCCCUCUCCCUCGAUCCACCGCCGCCGCCGCCGCUGCCCUGACCCACUGCGCCGCAGCCGCCCACGCGCCCCCGCCGCCUCCCUCUCCCCUUCCUCCCCCUCGAGCCCGCGCCGUCCGCCCAAACCUAACCCGACGCCGUCCGCCGCGCCCGCUCCACCGCCGCCGCCCUGCCUCUCCGCCCUCUCCCUCCCUCNNNNNNNNNNNNNNNNNNNNNNNNNNNNNNNNNNNNNNNNNNNNNNNNNNNNNNNNNNNNNNNNNNNNNNNNNNNNNNNNNNNNNNNNNNNNNNNNNNNNNNNNNNNNNNNNNNNNNNNNNNNNNNNNNNNNNNNNNNNNNNNNNNNNNNCGUCGCCCCGCCGCCCCGACACCACCGUCCGUCGCCCCGCCGCCCCGCCGCCCCUCUCGCAGCAAGGUAUGCGGCUGGUUCGUCCCCUGUCAUGGUUCUCUCUUCGUUUAUUUUCCUGAAAUCUCUGCUGUUCAUUGGCCGAUGAUGUCUUACAAGUAAAAUAUCUGGCAAACUUGUGCUGUAAACUGUACAUUGCUGAGGCUGUGGGCAACCUGUUCUUCUCUUUGCCAUACUAGUGCUUUUGUUCAUUGGCCGAUGAUGUCUCUGUUGGUUUACGUCCCCGGCAAAUUAGGUACCCGUGAACCAUUUAUAGGCCCAACUUUCUUACUCUCAAUGACCACAAUGUGCUUAUUUUGUUAGGAUUGUGCAUUUGCGCGAUUUGUGCAGUGCUUAUUUGUUGGCACCUCACCAGCUUUCAAAUUCAGCAUUUGUAACACAGUUCAAUUUGAUCUAAGGGCCUAUCUUGUCUCAUUUCCAACAUGUAAUAAACUUCCCCCGAGGCCAUAGAUGAGAAUACUUCUUUCAGUACAUUUUGCUGAUUUCUCACUGUUGAAUACUUCAUUUCUGUUUGCCUUUGGCCAAAGAUGCAUUCAGUUCUUUCUGCCCUUAGCGGUUUGAUUCAAGUUUGUCAGGUUCUGUUAACUAAAAAGGUUCAGAUUCAGAAACAUUGUUGGACUACUAGGAAGUUGGACUACUAGGAACAUGUUUAGAUUCAGGUUCUGUUAACUAAAAAAGUUCAGGUUCUGUUAACUAAAAAAGUUCAGAUUCAGAAACCUGUAAUUUCUACUUUUAUGCCUCUGUUACUCCAGUCAAAAUUUUAUGUUUGAUGCCCAUGGUAGUUGAGCUCUCACCUCACCUCACGCAACAUGCAUGAUGCCACAAUGUCUAGUAUGUACUGCCAAGCAACUGGCAAAUAAUUAUAACUUAGAAUAAAUAAAUCUGAUGUAAGAUAAGCAUGGCAUGAGCUUUAAUUAAAUAGCAUAAUACACGUUGGUAGUCCAUCUCUCUCAAAAAAAAUACAUGUUGGUAGCAGAAAAAAAUACAUGUUGGUAGCAGAAAUUUUUUUGAGCCCUUAUUAGCUACUCACACUAUUUGCCCCGCAGUUUCUCUGUCAUGGCUACCAAGUGAUUGACGGUGGGCUAGAAAAAUAAAACCACCAAACUAUCAGUAAAAGAUGUGAACCAACAUCUUUCAUUGUUAUGCAUAUCAAACACCAAGGGUUAUUUUCACUUAAAGUUUUAGAAUGGGUGCAUUACAAUUCAGUCUGAUAUCUAAUAAGACACUCUGGGCUGAUAUAAUUAUGGAACAGAACCAACCAUGAUAAAUAAAAGGUGAUGUUGUCUAUGCAUUACCAAAAAUGUAUCUUUGUGAACAAAUAAAUUGGUACCAACAGCAAUGCCAUCUUACUGUAGAAUUAGAAUACAUGGACAUGAUCAGCUCAGCUCCCAAACUGCCAUUCAUCACAUCAAUUUCCCCUUAUGUAACUCCAGUCAAAAUUUUAUGUUGGUCUACCUAGUAGAUGCCCAUGGUUUGAUUUUAUGUUUGUUCCUAUCAAUACAAAUGCUGAGCUAUGUUCCAUUUUUACUGUUCUUUGUGAUAGUUUUUGCAACUUUACUUCCCAUCUUAAGGCAAGCCCCAUUUUUACUGUUCUUUGUUAGCAGAGCUGCUUGUUUCUAAGAACUUUGAUACUAUUUGGAUCAAAGUUAAAUGAGCACAUAGAUGACAAAAAAAAGUUCAGAUUGUAAAAUGUUCAUUUUGCUGCUAGUGCCCAUUUUGAGUAAUUGCUUAGAGGGAUGAUCCUGUGUGAGCUGGUGGAGUGAUUUGUUUUCUACAUAAAGCUCUUUAGUCAGGCUGGUUUUCGUGAAAUACACAUGAAGCUUCACCAGCUCCUGUGGGUGUGGGAUCCAUGUGACAUGUGACAUUGCAUCCAUGUCCACCUGGGAUAAUGAUUUUGCAUGUACCCCGAGAGGCCCUUAAGUUUGCCGGAAUGUCGAUUAACUUCCGUUCCGGCAAAUUCGGGUACUCCAUAUGUCCUAUUUUCAGCAAAGGUCAUGCUGAAAUUUUCCGUGAAUUUUAGCAUGACUUUGCAAAAAAUAGGACAUAUGGGGUACUUGUGACUAAUGCAUGGGCCGGGGUAUCAUAGUAGUUAAUUAAGUAGGAUCAAGUGCCCCGGCGUACUUGUGACUGAUGCAUGGCUUUUAGGGUGCCUCGGUGUUGAUAAAAACCGAAAUGAUGAAAGCUUAGGCUUUUAGGGUGCCUCGGCGUCGAAAAACCCUCAAUGAUAAAAGCUUAGGUCUUAGGAUGCCUCGGUGUCGACAAACCCUAAAUGAUGAGACCAUGUCUUGUUCCUUGACAAUAACCAACUUUUUGACCAAACUUUGUUUCUAUUUAGAGAGAAACAUGGCCCACAACGAUGAGGCCGGGGGUUCGGGCGGCAAGGCAUUCUGGGAGCUGUCCCAGGAGAUGGAGGAACAACCUCACUUGUAUGAGGCCGCCGCCUUCCCCACCGAUCCUGAGACCACUGAUGGUGCCGCCGAGGAUGACCACACUGAUGCCACCACUGAUGGUGCCGCCGAGGAUGCCACCACUGAUGAUGGCAGCGCCCGCACAGAUGGCAGCCAACCGAAGAGGCAACGGAAGGACCGACGCCCGAUCGUGCUCCUCACCCUCAAGGAGGAAGUUACUGAAGUGGACUCCAACGGGUAUCCAACGGCGCCCGAACGAAUAGUCAAGGGGUACUCGCUUCAGCUCGGGUGCAUUGUCCGGAGCACCGUCUCGAUCAACACCGAGAACCUGAGGCAUCCUGACCGAGGGAAUUUGUGCCACCUCCUCUUCACGAAGCUGCACGAAUGAUACAAGUUCCCCGCUGAAUUUGCAAACAGAAGCCUCAAAGGGAAUAAAGUGAACAAUGCUGCCCUCACGAAGAUGAGCAAGGCCCUGUCUACUUGGAAAAGCAAUGUGAAGAAAAUGAUCGAUAAAGGUGAGAGUUAUCAGAAGAUCAAGGAGAAAAAUCCUUCGAUCACCAAAGAUGACUACAAUGACUUCAAGAUCAAUUGCUCGAGCACCGCAAGCUCCCAAUCAAGUGAGUGGGGGAAACAAAUGCGGGAGCUGAACAUAGGGGAACACACACUCGGUCCCGACGGUUACAGAGUGGCGGAGCCUAUAUGGGACAAGGAGGAGGCGGACCGUGCCGAGCAAGGCCUACCGCCCCUCUUCGAGAAAUACAGCGGUAACAAGCAGACCAGGAACUUUGUCAGGGCCCGGUACAAGAAGGACCCGAAAACAAAGGAGCUUACCACGGAUCCGAAGACCAGGCAGCUUGAGCUUGUUCUGGUAAGGAAUACACCCCCGCGUAAUUAGCUCCAUAUGGUUGCAUUCUAAUUAAUGAAGCCAAAUUUCUAAAUGGUUCACAUUCCUUCCGCAGGCGACUGAAAGCAGUAGCGCGGGGUCGACUAAGAGCAACCCUUGGGACACCACUCUAAAUAGGGCGAUGAAUGUAAUGAAGAAGAAGGAUAAGCUCAGUAAGCCGACGUCAGCUGGUCGUGUGGCCGGCAAAGGCUUGUCGACAAAAUGGGGGUCAUACUAUACCGCUGGUGUGCGGAAGGAGAAAAAGACCAGCUCGGAAAGCCAGGCGCGAGAGGAUCAAGAACUCAAGGAACAGGUGACGCGGAUUCCGGAGAUUGUCCAAGAGCAAGUGGAACAAUGACUCGGAGCGACGAUCACCGCCAUUGUGCCUACCUUGAUCUCGGGGUUGAGUGCGUGGAUUGCGGGCGGCCAACAGGGGCCGCCCCCGAUUCCUAGCUUCACGGCCAGCAACUCGCAUAAUGCGAUGGCGGGGCCAUUGGUGCCUCCGGCGGAGGCGGCAUUGGUGUCUCCGACGCCGGCACGGGAGCUUAAUGCACCCGGGUGUACGCCGGCCGGCACCUCUGCAGCAAGCGGCCCCUCCGUCAACUGCACGCCCGCCGUUGGCGGUGCGUCGACAUUAGCCGAGCUCGACGCCAUCAACACGGUAACUAAUUAAGCCUCUCUCGGCCGAGGACUUCAUCUCCUUGCCUUUGACUAGGCAUCCCUGACGCCCUACAUGUUUUCGCAGGGCGCCGCCGACGUUCCGUGCACUCUCCUCCACUUCGUGAACAACGAGUUGGUCGAUGUCGCCAAGGGCAAAAUCGUUCAACCGGCAACCCCUUGUUCCACGGUACCCAGAUGCCACCCAACUUGUUUAGGGUUCAACUGGUUCGGGUGUUGCCAGGCUGCGACGACUUGUUACCUCUGAUUCGACCCGUUGGGGCCGACGAUGAAGACGUGAUGACCCUCAGCGCCUGCCUGAGCUGGCCCCUAGUUUGGCCGAAGAGCCAGAUUCGUUUGGGGGCGGGGGACACCACCCCAAAGACAACACCGCCAGUCGUGCUGGUGCCAAGUCGGCCCCAUGGCAAGACCGCCGUAACGGUGCCGGACAUCCCUAUGCCACUGGAUCCAAACAUGCAUAUGGCACAGGAUCAGAAUGACGACGACAACGACGAUGAUACAUUUGGCAACGUCGAUCAGUACUUUGCCGAUCAUGGGUACGAUGGCGACUUCAUGGGGCCUCCUUCUCAAGAACCAAACCCAACAAAAGACGUGUGCGAUCUAGCUGGUACCGCAGAGAAGCCAAGUUGCAACAGGCGCCGUCUGGCGUUCAGCUCUCAGGAGACGCCUCCAGCUGCCGACUUCACCGAUCCUCAGAUAGGCGAGGUGCGAAAUAUUAUCAGCCCCAACACACUCAAGAAGGCGGUCUGUGAGCAGAACUCGGUCCCAUUACAGGAGAAGAAGAAGGCACGCAAAAGAAAGACUAAGAAGGGUGCGAGCCAGCCGGCACCGAGUACGAUCCGUGCUCAGGACGGGCCACCUUCACCGCAGGAUAUCUCGAGGAGGGUGCAUGUGGCGGGUAGGGCGAUGCUACCGACAAAUAUGCUCAAUGCUGCAACCGGUGCUAUGCGGAGUCUGCAUGACAGUGUUCUUGCUUUGGAGAAGCGGCGUCUCAGAGAGAAGGAUGUGGCAUACCCGGUUUUCGCGGCCAAGGUGCCAAAGGGCAAGGGCUUUGUGGAUAACUCCAUCGGGCGUACGAUCGUCCUGCGUUUUGAUGACAUCCACGCUAUGUUGAACCUUCAUCCGCUGCACUACACCUUCGUUCGGCUAUUUUCGCUGAGUAUGGAGAUGCGGAUCAUUCGCGACAAGACCCCGGACAUCGUGAUAGUCGACCCCUUCUACAUGCGUGCCAAGAUCUUGGGCAGCGCUGGGGACCGGCAAGUCGCGAGUUCUUACCUCGAAGGCAUCAUUCUGGCAAACCAAGAUAAGGAUAACUUCCUCGUGCCUUACUUUCCCGAGUAAGUCCUCCCCUCAACCGGCCCGUAACAUAUGAAUUCUUACAUUUCGAUCGUUUUUCUUUUAACAUUCCGUGUUUUUUGCAGUGACACACGUUGCACGCUCAUCCUCCUAAGCCCCAAAUAUUCCAUGGCCACAUAUUUCGACCCGGACUGUUAGUCGAACGUAGACUACACAAAUGUCAAGAAGGUUCUUGAUGAUGUUCUCCCCGGCUAUGCCAAAUCUGGAGGCACCUUCACCAGGCCUAAUCGUAAGUACGGCAAGCAUGUUUUCUCCCACAAUACGAUGUUCUACUGCGUCAAGCAGCCGCCUGGUGGUCAGAAGGGUGCCUACUACGCCAUCCAUCACAUGCGGGCGAUCGUACGGGACCAUCAUCAACUUCUGCUACCGAGUAAACUCAAAGAUUGGGCAAAGAGCGUGUCGGCAAUCGAGGACGCGGACCUCCGACAAGAAUUCUUUCGCAUCCAGUCGGAGUUUGCGGAAAUCAUCCAUCAAGAUGUCCUUCGUACCUCGGGGCAGUUCUACCUCAACAAUCAACCGUCCAAUAGUGACAUCGACAUAAUGCUACAAAUGCAGGCUGACAACGACCGUUAUUUCAUGACUCCCACGAUAGACGGCGGCUUCAUCCACGCUCCGGUCCCUUGAGUCGAGUCGAAAGCAGUGAUGCUGUGUCUAGUUCUGAAACAUCGAUUGGCUCAUGUUGUAAUUAAACUUUAAUGAACUUGUAGUAUGUCUCUUUGGUUUCGAGAGUCGUUCAACUUAGAUGUAAUCGAUGCUAUUAAUGUCUUGCUUUUCUCUUCCGAUUGUUCUGUUGCAUACUUAUAUAUUGCUUAUGUAUUGUCUGUGAAUUGGUACUAACGUUUCGUUUGGCUAGUGCAUAGCGAUGCCGACGUAUGUCGUGUACAAGGGUAAGGUUCCCGUAGUCUACGAUGACUGGGAGGAGUGUCGGAGACAGGUUCACCGAUUCAGCGGUAACAGUUACAAAGGGUACACCACUAGGGCCGAGGCCGAAUCUAGAUACGCCCGCUAUCUAGCGGGAGAGGGGAGGGAGCGUUGGAGGAACCGGAUGAAGACGAGUUUCAUCGUGAUGAUGCUCAUCGUGAUGACCGCAGCUCUCUUCUAUGUGAUGGUAGUUUAGAUGAUCGAUAUCGACUUGUAAUGUGAAGACAAACUCGCUACUCGCGGUCUCGAGACUUGUAAUAUAAUGUUCUAUCUUUGUUCGGUCUUUUUAAUUCGGAGACUAAUAUGAUGAAUUGUAUUCGGAGACUAAUAUGAUGAAUUGUAUUCAAAGACUAAUCUUCUAUUGUAUUCGAUGAAUCUGUUGUUGAUGUGUGCUGUCUAUAUUUUGUCAAAUUAUACAUUUUGUAACCUGUGCAAAAAACAGAAAAUAAAAAAUAAAAAAAACCUAAUAUUCAUACUAAUGACGCAUCACAUGAUAGUGCGCCAUUAGUAUGACAGUGCAUACUAAUGGCGCAUCACUGGGCAGUGCGCCAUUAGUAUGCCGCGGUUACUAAUGGCGCAUCCAGCGGUGGUGCGCCAUUAGUAUGCCAAAGCACCUGGGUAUACAUGGCCCCUGGGAGGCAUACUAAUGGCGCACCCUUGCCUAUACUAAUGGCGCACGCGCGGUGCGCCAUUAGUAUACCAGAUACUAAUGGCGCACCAGGUGGUGCGCCAUUAGUAAAAAUUACUAAUGGCGUGCUAUUAAUGGCGCACCACAGAUGCGCCAUUAAUGGCCAUUUUAGGUGCGCCAUUAGUAGGGGUUUUUCUAGUAGUGUAAUAAGCGAGAUGACGCAGUUCCUGACCGCCCCGCUACCACUACUGGUUCCAGCGUGGCGUUUGAAUUAUGCCGCGCUAGAUGCCUUUUGUCCAGCGAGGAACAAGUGGGGUCAAGCGUGCUUUGGCAAUUCCCGCCGUCAGAAGACUUCCUUGUAGUCCGGUGUAGAGGUGAGGUUGUAGGGAGAUGCAUCGACUAGGAAGGAGUGGCCACAUGAACGAGCAUAUGUAUGAUGUGAUUAAGUCUCUCGAUCGGGUAUCUGGUGCCUUACGUACGGUGUCUUAUUUUUGUCAAGCUAUGACAUCUUUCAGUUUGAGUGUCUGAUAUUAGGGUUGCAUACGUUUUGUUAUUCAGUUGCCUGUUGUCAACUCUAUGGUUAUAUCACCUCGAUGUGUGAGUCAAUGUGUUUGAACCAAUGUAGAGUUUCAUGUGAAUGUUACAAGUGUGAUUGAUAUCUUCAUGUUAUAACCGCAGUUGCCUUGGUAAGAAAUUGAAAGAGCAAACCGUUAUCGUGUUAGGAAAAAAGUCAUCGCUCAAUAUAAGUUGCUUCUCUAGAACAACCACACCUUUCCCUCAAAAAAAAGAACAACCACACCUUGUGAAAGAAGAUGGCAAACACCCAAUUAUGUCUGGUUAGAUAUGGGCAUGGCUAUGGGUAGCUUAUAGCGACACGGAAGCUAGCAUCGCCUGAAGAAACACCCGGAUGGGCCGGCCUAGAGACAAAUUUCUUCAUUUCUACCCUUAGUUUUGUUUUUCUGCCCUUUUUUCUUUAUAUUUUAUAUUUUUCCCGACAUGUUCACUACUUGAUGCUCAACUGGGAUCUCAUCUGAUGCGGAGCAUCCUAUGGACAUCACCAUGUCAAGAGUCCGUUCGGCAAGUGACACGUGUGACAUCUACUUCUCAUACAUAAAGGUGAAUCUUCUCCUUUACACGUGUUUACUUGACCCCUUCGAGGAUGGUAUACUACUUGACACUUCUCCCGUGUGCAUGCAUAGGUAUUGUCGGAGCUUCAUGGAUGUCGAGGAGGAGUGCAAGCGCCAAGGAAUGACUACACCGUCCGCGAGGGAAGCAUGGAAGAGAAGGAGGAAGAGAACCUGGCUACUCCAGAACGAGCGGUACUACUGCCCACUCCAAGCGGUACUACCGCCGAGGCCACCCAAGCGGCACUACCGCCCAGCAUCCGCCCUUCUACUGCUCAACCCGACAAACUCCAGUGAUCGAGCGGUGUAAGUCCGGUACUACUGCCCCUCCAAGCGGUACUACCGCUCAAGCGGUACUACCACCCAUGAGUCCGGUACUACCGCCCUGCCUCUGCCCAGCCGUGGGCCUUUGGCCUUGUAUCCCUCUCCCACUUACCCCUUCGUGGCUUAGACUAUAAAUAGGCCACCUCCACCUCCUUUCUAGGGUUAGCACAGAUUUAGCUCAUUUUGAGAUAGAGCUUUGCUCAUCCAUACGGAUCUACUCCUCGUGAGAGACCGCGACCUCUUCGGAGAAGAUCCAUCUUGGAUUCAAGACCCCCUCGUGGGAAGAUCCGUCUAGGAUACCAACAAGACCUCCUCUUGGAGAUGAACCUUACCUUGUAUCUUUCCCUUUGUUGUUCAUGUACCCUUGUGGAUCUUGUGUGUUUGAUUGUCUAGUGGAUGUGUGAUUGGACUUGUACUUGAGUGUUUCCCCUUGUGAUUUCUCUCCGUUCUUCCACGUGUUCUUCAUAGGGAUCCGCUCCAAACGUGAAAGAUCGGCCUCUAGGGUUCUAGCCUACAUCAUCUUGGAUCAGAGCAAGGUUGAUCACGGAUUUGGAGCCCCUACCCCUCUUUUUCUAGCCUUCUUUUGCUUGCUUUCGUCCUAAAAUCCCCACAAAAAAUAGCCCCAAUUUUUUUGUGAUUUGUUCGUUUGAUGAUUUUUUGUUGAUUUUGAUCCAUGGAUUUGCUUGGUUUUGAGUGGAUCUAGCAUCUCUCCAAGUUUCCCCACCUUCCAUCCACGAAAUCCAUCCAAUUUUGCCCCUGAAAUCAUCCUUUUCCGCCCCAAAUUCGCCCCGAUUUCGAUCUGUGAAUUUUCCCGACACGAGCGGUACUACCGCCCUCGAAGCGGUACUACCGCCCUCGAAGCGGUACUACCGCUGAGCACCACAAGCGGUACUACCACCCUCCCAAGCUAUGACGCCCGGAUAAUUAAGCUACAGUAAUCCCCUUCUAAUGGUGCCAUGUCAUCACAUUACUGUUGCUAAUCCUCGCUUGAUCCAAAUCUUAGUUCAAACUCAAAUUCAAAUUAAAGACCAAAAUUCAAAUUUCUCAAGCAUGCAAAAUAAAAUGUUCAAAGUGUGGCAAAUAAUCGCUGGAUAUUUGUCAUGUUGCAAACAACCUCUUUUGAAUUCUCAAAAUGCCCCUGGGAAUUAAUUUUUGGUCCAGUAGUAAAUUAAAUGGCAUUUGCAAAAUAAAGAAUUGUUUAUUUAACUCCAAUUGCCUCCAAACUUUAUGUGCCACUCCAAAAUAUUUGUGGCUCUGUCUAAGAUCGCCAAGGAAUUAAAAGGGCACUUCCCAUAUUUUCCCUAAGUAAAUAGUGUGCCCAAAAUAUUCUCUUAACCAUCUCUAUUUUUUUAAAUAAAAAAAGGCGAAGAAGAACUCCCCCGGGCCUCGGGCCACUCCCACUUACCAGCCCACCUAAGCCGGCCCACUCCCCCGCUCCCCUAGCCUAUAGGCCACGGCCGACCGAACCCUAACCCCGCAUGAUCCCCCCACUCCCCACUCCUCUCCCCUCUCGAUCCGAUCUGGAUCGGACCGAAACCGGCGCAAUUGGUCGAUCCAUGUAUAAAGUAAAAAUAACUAGGCCCAAUUGGUCGAUCCAUGACAGUUUUCGUGACGGUACUUCCACGUCUGUCAUGAGGGGGCUACCCUACUUGGCCCCAAAUGGAUCUUGCUAAUUGGUGACGGUUUCCGUGAUAGAUUUCUGGAACGUCACCAGAAAUCCGUCAUUGAUUAACAGAUUUCCGCACAAUCCCCCCACUCCCCACUCCUCUUCCCUCCUGAUCCGAUCUGGAUCGGACCGAAAUCGGCGCCGCGACGCCAACCGCCGUCGCUGGAGGCGUCCCCGACUCCACGCCGGGCCGCCCCGUCACUGGACCUCCUCCCCGUCGCCACUCGUCACUCGCUGGACCGCCUCGUCCCCACCAAUGCCGCCCCCACCCCAACGUCCCCGACGCCUUCGCCGUCGGCACCGCCCCAAUGUCGCCGCCACCCGACGCCGGCGCCCUCGACAUCGCCACCCCGAGCCCACUGCCACCCCUACGCUCCGCUAUGAGCCCCUCGCUGAUUCCCCCUCCUUCCCGUCGUCGUAGGUGGCUGCGCGCGUCGUUGGCCAUCGUGGCCGCGCUCCGGCCGUUCCCCAUCCGUGCGCUGGCCUCGCCUUCCUCGGAUUGCAAACAUUGAACUUUUCCCCUCGGGUUCAUCUAUCUGACAGACGUUCGGGACCAGAAAAACUUUCCCGGAUGUUUCCCCCUUCGCCAGUAUCACCUAGCACCGCGUUAGAACACUUCUAGCCCCGCUUAUUGUCUUGUUAUGCAUAUGUUUGCGUGUAUUUACUGUUUCUUCCCCCUCUUCUUCUCCGGUAGACCUCGAGACCGUUGCUGAUGCCCCUGUGGUCGACUACGUCGACGGCGACCCUCCUUGUCUGAGCAACGAGGCAAGCCCCCCCUUUGAUCAUCCCGAUAUCGCCCAUUCCAUUCUCUAAUGCUUGCACUAGAUUUUCUACUGUAUUUGAUUGCUCCUAUUCUGAUGCAUAGCAUGCUUUUCUACCUGCUGUUGUACCUUACCUGCUUAUCCUAAACUGCUUAGUAUAGGUUGGCUAGUGAUCCAUCAGUGACCCCCACCUUGUCUUUGUUGCCCCUGCUUCAUCAUUGACGACUCGAUCAACGUGAUCGACGACCGGAGCCUGACACCUCACAUCACAUCACGCCCCUUUUUGUUGCUCGACUCUGCAGAGUUACCAUCGAGUGCCGAGGGUGGAACCUCAUACAUCACUCCUUAUGAGAUCUCUGUAGUGUAGCUAUUCGGUCGUGGUCAUCGAGGGUGGUUCCUCCUUCACCAUUCCUAAUACGGCUCUGUCGUGCAACACCUCAAGUGUGAACCUCGAGGGUGGUUCCUCUUACGUUCACCUUGAUGAUUACAUCGAGUGGAAUCCACCGGGGGUGAUUCCUCGGAUUUUCCCCUUUAUGUCUGGACACACAGUUACCUUGACUUCACUUGAGACCGUUUUGAAAGCCGGGCAGGCCCGGAGAGCACCCGUGCGGUGUGACGGUGGCGGCUGGCUGUUUAGCGGUAUCACCCGGGAGGGGGUGAUAGCUCCGGACUUGUCCCGACAGCCGUCACUUCUUUUAAUAAUGCACUAACAGGUUUGGGUAUUUUUUCUAAGUUCACUAACCACGACGCUAGAAUAGUUAUGGGUCUCGAUGUUGCAGUAUCAGCCGAAGCUUUCUCAGACGUCCAGUUCAGCAUUGUGGCCGGGCCGAAUCAUGCCAUCCACUUCACGGGUGGUGCUGGUAUCCCCUUGCGCACAACGACCCAGAGUGCAACGGGCGAUGGGCCCAGACCCCGGAGUGCUUAGGAUGUAGACCGGCAGGGACCUCUCUGCUGAGCCUAGGUAGGGCAGCUACGUGUUGAUCUUCCGAGGCCGGGCAUUGACCCCAGAAAGGUGUGUCCUUCCAGAGUGAUCGAGCGUGUUGGGUAACGUGGUGCCCCCCUGCAGGGAAGAUUAUCUAUUAAUAGCCGUGUCCACGGUAACGGACGUUCAAACUUAUAUCUUGAUCUUAUACAACUACAAAUGGAUACUUGAGAUAUGUGGCUCCGGGAUUGCUUUCUCGCAGGGAGUCGAGGAAGGAUCUCUGGGCGUUGUUGUCACAACAUGCUUGUUAAUUAAACUGCUAUUCUUUACUCUUCUACAUGCUGCAAGAUGCUUGGAGCUACUUGAAGAUGCUAGUCUUCAUGAGGCUAGGCCUUCCCCUCUAUUCUGGCAUUCUGCAGUUCAGUCCACAGAUACAACCCUUCCAUUUGAUACCAAUGCAUACUUAGUAUAGAUCUGAUGCUUGCGAGUACUUUGGAUGAGUACUCACGGUUGCUUUGCUACCCCAUUUCCCCCUUCUUUCUUCUUUCCGGUUGACGCAACCAAAUGGUGGAUCCCUGGAGCCAGAUGCCAGCGCUGAUAGAUGCUACUAUGUGAAGAUCGCCGACGACCAGGAGUAGUUAGGAGGUCCCAAGCAGGAGGCCUUGCCUCUUCGAUCAUUGUUGCUUUUGUGCUAGCCUUCUUAAGGCAUCUUUGUUUAACUUAUGUCUGUACUCAGAUAUUGUUGCUUCCGCUGACUCUUGUGUAUCGAGCUAUGUAUUCAAGCCCUCGAGGCCCCUGGCUUGUAAUAUAAAGCUUGUAUUAUUUUGAUUUGUGUCUAUAGUUGUGUUGUGAUAUCUUCCCGUGAGUCCCUGAUCUUGAUCAUACACAUUUGCGUGCAUGAUUAGUGUACGAUUGAAUCGGGGACGUCACAAGUUGGUAUCAGAGCCGACUGUUUGUAGGAUCCCCCUUUCCAACUCCUUGGCUGAAGUUGAGUCUAGUCUUUGAAAAAAAUUGUUUUACUAACAUGGUUGUGUGGCUUACGGGCCCAUGUCGCCAUUGGGUGGUAUUAGGAUCUUUUACUCCUCGACCUUUACUCUGGGACUCUAAUCGCUCUUCUAUUCGGGUUAAAUGGUCUCGCAAACUAUAACUCUAGGUUCUCGUAAAUACUUUCUCCCGGAGAGCCCCUUCAUUCCAGAUGAUGGCCUGCUUCACCAGAUGAUUUCGAAGAUACCCUUCUGUAAUUUCCUGAGACUUUUGUACUCAUUGCUUUUGCAGUUCCCUACCUCUGAUAUAUCCUUACGGAUAACUUCAUACACUUGUCAUUCAUACAAUCAUUCCUAGUUGCUCUUGUUUUUACAAGAUACAUUGAAUUAUUCUCCGACUUUUAAGAAUCCCUUGCUUACUGCCCUGCAGUUCCUUGCCGCAUGAAUACCCCUACGGAUAAUUACUCGCACUUGCCGAGUAUCCGUUCGUCCAUAGUUGUUCAUGUGUUUCACAACAUUCUUUGGAAAGCUAUUUGAUCUUUUCAAAAAUCCUCAGUAGCCUAUUACUCUUGUUCCUCCUUACCUACUUACAGUAUGGUUACUUCCAUUUGUCUAGCAAUAUUCUUUAAAAUCCUUUGCGAUUGACAUCCUUACCCUAUUGUUUCAACAUGUGUGUGAAUGCACGCAAUCAUCAAUUGUUCCCUGGAAUUGUCCUUCUGGCUCAGACGUUACCCCGGACACGAGCUGGUGUUCGACAAAACAAACCUUGAUUGAUUUUGAAUCUAUGUCUAUACAACUUAAUUGUCUUUGAUCAGAGCCUCUGCUUUUGAUCCCCCAUUUUGAAAAUCAUAAUCCCCUUUGCAUUCGAGCAUAGAAUUAGUCAGUUGUUUCUAUAACCUGACCUCCUUGAAUUCUUUCUUCUUCUGGUUGAGUAUCGAUACUCACAUCAGAUCCAUUGUGGACCUCCAGGUCCUUUGUUGGUUUUUAUCCGACAGCAUCCUUCAUAUUCAGUAACCUUGUGAGCCUUUCCUCGAAUACACAAUGCCUUUGGUAAAUUGUAUCCCCCACUCUCGUCAACCAUACUCUGCUUCCGGGCUUGAGUUAUUUACUCGUGAAGUUUGUGGUAUAUGUUCCUAAUAUGUCCCUAUGGGUUGAAUCUAUGUCUUCCCUAAAUCUGUGUGAACCCUACGACUCAUACUCUACUGGUGUUAUGCCAGAUAAAAUCUCAACAGUACGGCUUCGUUGAAAAUGAGAAGUGAAUGAAAGGUUAUGCAUCGAAGAAGUGGGAGUCGACCUUGAGCCUUGUGUUCAUGCCCAUGGACACGAUGUGGAACUUAACAUGGAAGCUUCUUUUUAUAAUAAUAGCCCCCUAGCGAUAAGUACAUCUUGUAUCCAUGUGUGGUCCAUUGCAAUCGUGGUUCCGACCAUAUUGUUCUUGUUUGAUCCAUUUAUCGGACAAGUUAAAGUACUUGUCUUCUUCAAAUUGUUUCACAUGUUCAACCUCUACAUUGAUAUACCUUCGAGCAUUAUCCUCUGGUAUCUCGAGAAUAUCACGGAACUACAUAACUUCUUAUGAGUUCUUGAUCAACUAUUAUUUCUCACUGAUUCAAAUUUUUCACUAGUUGGGAGUUGUUAGACACUCGAGAAUACAGUUAACUGAUUCAAGUCUACGCUUUCCUUUCCAUUGUUCUGUUUAAUCUUUCUGGUAACCUAUCUUAUCUGAGAACUGAUAAUUCCCUGCUUAUGUAAACACCUCGGUGUACAAGCUCUGUCUGUAAGACCUUGUUACUAUUGUUGAGGACAUUCCGAUAGCUACCGAUGGACGAGAACUUUGCCUAUUGGUCCGCCUCAUCUUAACGAGCAGGAAAAUGGUUCUCUUUGUCCCUCUCCCUUGGUACCAACGUUGUUGCCAACAUAACUGACAAGUUGUCCUCUGACCUGCCUUGCUAUCAUGACCAUGCAAAAUGCUAGCGCCCUUCCUGCUUUUAACCCACAAGGUGGGCCUGAGGGAGUCCUGGACUAGGCGGUGUCCGGACAGCCGGACUAUCAUCGUCCGCCGGACUCCAAGACUACGAAGAUACAAGAUUGAAGACUCCGUCCCGUGUCUGGAUGGGACUUUCCUUGGCGUGGAAGGCAAGCUUGGAAAUACGGAUAUGUAGAUCUCCUACCAUUGUAACCGACUCUGUGUAACCCUAGCCUCCUCCGGUGUCUAUAUAAACCGGAGGGCUUUAGUCCGUAGGACACAACAUACAUUACAACAAUCAUACCAUAGGCUAGCUUUAGGGUUUAGCCUCCUUGAUCUCGUGGUAGAUCCACUCUUGUACUACCCAUAUCAUCAAUAUUAAUCAAGCAGGAUGUAGGGUUUUACCUCCAUCGAGAGGGCCCGAACCUGGGUAAAACAUCGUGUCCCUCGUCUCCGGUUACCAUCCGCCUAGACGCACAGUUCGGGACCCCCUACCUGAGAUCCGCCGAUUUUGACACCGACAUUGGUGCUUUUAUUGAGAGUUCCUCUGUGUCGUCACCAAUAGGCUCGAUGGCAUCUUCAACCAACAACGCUGUCCAGGGUGAGACUUUUCUCCCCGGACAGAUCUUUGUAUUCGGCGGCUUCGCACUGCGGGCUAAUUCGUUUGGCCAUCGGAGCAGAUCGAAAGCUACGCCCCUGGCCGUCAGGUCAGAUUCGGAAGUCUCAACUUCACGGCCGACGUCCGCGGAGACUUGAUCUUCGACGGGCUCGAGCCACAGCCAAGCGCGCCGCACUGUUACGAUGGGCAUGAUCUAGCUCUGUCGCCGAACAGUGCCUUGGUGGCCGCCCACGAAUCCGCUUCGGCCUUUAGUCCGGGGCCGAUCGCCCAGACCGAGGAACGGUGGAUGGACACCGCCUCGGGGGCUUCAACUUCCACGGCGAUGGAGCCGAACACUAAUCUUGUCCCUCGCAAAACUCGUGAUUCCGAGGUGCCGGACUCCUUGCCGGACUCCGAAGCUCCCACGCCCCUACCAACCGAAUCGGAUUGGGCGCCGGUUAUGGAAUUCACCGCCGCGGACAUCUUCCAAUACUCGCCUUUUGGCGACAUCCUGAAUUCGCUAAAGCAUCUCUCGUUAUCAGGAGAGCCCUGGCCGGACUAUGGCCAGGAUGGUUGGGAUACGGACGACGAAGAAAUUCAGAGCCCACCCACCACCCACUUUGUAGCCACUGUCGACGAUCUAACCGACAUGCUAGACUACGACUCCGAAGACAUCAACGCUAUGGACGACAAUGCCAGAGACGAACAGGAACCAGCGCCUACAGGGCACUGGAAGACCACCUCGUCAUAUGACAUAUACAUGGUGGAUACCCCAAAAGACGGGGACGGCGAAGAAACAGCGGAGGCAUAUUCUUUAAAGAAACAGCCCAAGCGCCGGCAUCAGCGGCGCUGCUCUAAAUCCCGCCACGGCAAGAAUGGAGAUUCCAGCACAGGAGAUAAUAAUACCCCAGAAAGUGCCGAAGAUAACCCCCUCCAGCAAGACUCAGCGCAGGAGGAUGCAGAAGCAAGCCCUCACGAGAAGGCGGCAGACAAAGAGGUUGAGGAUUACAACUAUAUGCCUCCCUCCGAAGACGAGGCAAGCCUCAACGAUGACGAAUUCGUCGUGCCCGAGGAUCCCGUCGAACAAGAGCGUUUUAAACGCAGGCUUAUGACCACGGCAAAUAGCCUAAAGAAAAAGCAGCAGCAGCUUCAAGCUGAUCAGGACCUGCUGGCCGAUCGAUGGACCGAGGUCCUCGCGGCCGAAGAGUAUAAACUCGAAUGCCCCUCCAAAAGCUAUCCAGGACGCAAGCUGCUCCCCCGAUUAGAGGAGGAAGCAUACAUACCUCCAUCACCAGCGCACGAUACGGCUGACCGACCACCCCGUGGUCGUGACAGAGAGGCAUCCAGGCCCCCAACCAAGACCGUACCCCGGCAUCGCUCGAAAAGUAUGAAGCCAAGAGGGAACGCGCCGGACUUGCGAGAUAUAUUGGAGGACAAAGCAAGGCAAUCCAGAUCCAUCUACGGAUCACGGGGGUGCCCCACGACCCAUGACGAAUACCGUCGCGCCGGAUACAAUAACCCCGGCCGGGCCGAACACAGCAGACAACGCUCUCUCGAGUUGCAUCGUGAUAUUGCUCAAUAUAGAGGCGCCGCACACCCGCUAUGCUUCACAGACGAAGUAAUGGAUCAUCAAAUCCCUGAAGGGUUUAAACCCGUAAACAUCGAAUCCUACGAUGGCACAACAGACCCUGCGGUUUGGAUCGAAGAUUACCUUCUCCACAUCCAUAUGGCCCGCGGCGACGAUCUACAUACCAUCAAGUACCUCCCACUCAAGCUUAAAGGACCAGCUCGGCAUUGGCUCAACAGCUUGCUCGCAGAGUCAAUUGGGUGUUGGGAAGACCUAGAAGCCGCAUUCCUUGAUAACUUCCAGGGCACGUAUGUGCGACCACCAGACGCCGAUGACCUAAGUCACAUCAUUCAGCAGCCAGACGAAUCGGCCAGACAAUUCUGGACACGGUUCUUGACAAAGAAAAAUCAAAUCGUCGACUGUCCGGAUGCAGAGGCCCUUGCAGCCUUCAAACAUAACACCCGCGACGAAUGGCUAGCCCGGCACCUGGGGCGGGAAAAGCCGAAAUCCAUGGCAGCCCUCACAUCAUUAAUGACCCGCUUUUGCGUGGGAGAGGAUAGCUGGCUAGCUCGCAGCAACAAUCUCCGUAAAAAUUCUGGCAGUCCAGACACCAAGAACAAUAAUGGCAGGUCACGUCGAAACAAAAACAAACGCCGCAUCAACGGCAAUGAUAAGGAGGAUACGGCAGUCAACGCCGGAUUCCGAGGCUCUAAACCCGGUCAACGGAAGAAGCCAUUCAAAAGAACCACUCCGGGUCCGUCUAAUUUGGACCGAAUACUCGACCGCUUAUGCCAGAUACAUGGCACCCCUGAAAAGCCAGCUAAUCACACUAAUAGAGACUGCUGGGUGUUCAAGCAGGCAGGUAAGUUAAUUGCCGAAAACAAUGACAAGGGGCUAAACAGCGAGGACGAGGAGGAGACCCGACCGCCGAACAAUAGAGGACAAAAGGGUUUUCCCCCACAAGUGCGGACGGUGAACAUGAUCUACGCGACCCAUAUACCCAAUUGGGAGAGGAAGCGUGCACUAAGGGACGUCUAUGCGAUGGAGCCAGUCGCCCCGAAGUACAAUCCAUGGUCCUCUUGUCCGAUCACUUUCGAUCGAAGAGACCAUCCGACCAGCAUACGCCAUGGCGGAUUCGCCGCAUUGGUUCUAGACACAAUCGUCGAUGGAUUUCACCUCACGAGAGUCCUGAUGGACGGCGGUAGUAGCCUGAACCUGCUUUAUCAGGACACAGUGUGCAAAAUGGGCAUAGACCCCUCAAGGAUUAAACCUACAAAGACAACCUUUAACAGUGUCAUACCAGGUGUGGAAGCCAACUGUACAGGCUCAGUCACACUGGAAGUGGUCUUCGGAUCCCCGGACAAUUUCCGGAGCGAGGAGUUAAUCUUCGACAUAGUCCCGUUUCGCAGCGGCUAUCACGCUCUGCUCGGACGAAUCGCGUUCGCAAAAUUCAACGCGGUGCCGCAUUGUGCAUACCUCAAGCUCAAGAUGCCAGGCCCUCAUGGAGUCAUCACGGUCAAUGGGAAUACGGAACGCUCCCUCCGAACGGAGGAACAUACAGCGGCUCUCACGGCAGAAGUACAGAGCAGCCUUUUAAGGCAAUUCUCGAGUCCGGCCAUUAAACGGCCGGAUACAUCAAAGCGCGCCCGAAGCAAUACCAACCAAGACCACCUGGCGUGAUCAGAGCACGCGUAGCAAUGCGGCCCCAACCCCCGCCCGCGCGUGAUUGCAAGAAUAACCCUCCGCGUACAUCAUUACGCUUUGGAGAUACCAUGGGCGCAGGGGAAGGGGCACGAUCACAACGGACCCAGAGUGCAGUUCGACCGCACCAGGGGCUCGCAAGUGUGCCCCCUUUUUUUUAUUGUUAUUUUCCCUCUUUGUGUACACAGGACUCCGUUAGCCAGAGGCCCUAUCCGGCGGUGAACCUGCCGAACUCAUGAUGCAAUAACCAGGGAAGAAAGAACGCUGCGACGAACACUCAGGUGGUCUCAAUUACAAGCAUUAAAUUCGAUUAUAUACACCAAGUCCGCAGCUUACCCUUGGAGGGGGACAUGUUUAAUUAGUCCAAAUCCCUUGCUUACCACACUAUUUGUAUCAGUCCGCACUCAUAGCAGACUUUCUUUCAUAAAUAAUGCAGCACCUUUUUGACUGCAAUUACAUUACCUUUUAUAUAUAUAUGCUCAUUACAUGACAUCUUGCACCCGUAUAUUUUGGUACGGCCUAAUACACCAGGGGCUUAUGUUCCCCACAUUAUGGUGUGAUAAGUCCGAACACUUUCGUAAGUGCAGCACCCCGAACUUAUAGCACUAUAUGAAUCGGCUCCGAAUCAUGUCUUGGGUCAAUAGUUGGGUUUGCCCGGCUCCCACGUUUUGGUGCCUUACGUUCCGUUCUGUCGGCUAAGGUGGCACUGGGAGAACCACUGCGAUUGCGCCCCGGUUGAGCCGGGCGAGCACCUCAGUGGAGAAAGCUAAAACUGACCGGCAUGAUAAGGCGAGAGACUGGUCGCUGUUCGAGAGGUUUUUUCGGGUCCUUAAAGACUCACGCCACUUCGAGCGAAGUUCCGGACCAUGUCUGACGAAGGCGUGGAUAGCGCCCCGGAUUCGGCCUUUCGGAUACCAGGGGCUUCGCCGAAAUUUAAAAUUAUAGAAUUCUAUGGCUAAGUGAGAGUGUUCAAGCAUUAUAAGUCCGGUCGCCUUGUUCGUUGUGUUGAGCACCUCCCUAGAUGGACCCAAAAAUGGGAAUAAGAGUGCUCAAGUUUAUCCCGAACACCCCAGCACUCGUGGCUCGGGGGCUGAAGCCAAUGACUUUCCAUCUCUCAGAUUUUAUAAACGGCCGCACAGAAGGUAAUAUUUUAAAUUAAAACAAGCGUUGCUCAUGGCGCAUCUGAACGAAGUUUUCAGCGCACAGGAUAAUACAUAGCGAGUUCACUCAAAGAUUACAUUUCUAGGGCACUCAUCCGCAAUAUCGCGGGCUCCCUUCAGGACAGUUUUAUAAUACAUUUCAGGCGUGCGAUACUCCUUGCCCGGCGGCGGUGGGUCUGUGAGAAGCUUCUCCGCAUCCAACCUGCCCCAAUGCACCUUUGUGCGGGCAAGGGCCCGACGAGCACCUUCAAUACAGGCGGAGCGCUUGAUGACCUCCACCCAGGGGCAUGCAUCCACCAGCCGCCGCACGAGGCCGAAGUAGCUACCAAGCAUGACCUGUUCAGGCCACAGCCGGACUAUAAGGCCCUUCAUGGCCUCUUCAGCUACCUUGUGGAGUUCGACCAGCUGCUUCAGCUGGUCGCUUGGGGGCACCGGAUGGCCUGCCUCAGCGUACUAAGACCAGAAGACCUUCUCCGUUGAGCUCCCCUCCUCGCCACGAUAGAAUGCGGCGGCAUCGGAGGCACUACACGGCAGAUCUGCAAACACCCCUGGAGAGCUCCGAAUGCGGGUAAUUGUCAGGUAGUUUACAUUAACAUGCUUGCUUUGCAUGAAAAAUGCCUUACCCGCCGCUAUCUUCUUUACAUCUUCAACCUCCUGAAGGGCCUUACGGGCCUCGGCCUUGGCGGACUUGGCACUUUCGAGAGCCGAGGCAAGCUCGGACUCUCGAGUCUUGGAGCCUCCUGCUUUUCUCGCUCCGCCCGUUCCGCGACCGCACUGCGUUCAGCCGCGGACACAGCCUCCUUCAGGGCUGCCACCUCGUUCGUGGCCCCUGCAAUACCCAUAUUAUCCUUGUUAAUUUUAUUGCAACCAAAAUCCUUUUCCGUAAGGUGACUAUUCAAAGCGGUGUUACUCACCUUCUUUGUCCUCGAGCUGCUUCUUGGCAGUGCCGAGCUCUUGCUCGGACCGCUCGAGAUCCUGCUUCAACACAUCGACCUCCGCCGUCAGUGCGGCAGAGGUCAGUAGCGCAGCCUGCAAACCCAUAUUGACAUAUUUUAAGCAACCCUGCGUAUAUCUUGUUAGAUCCUCAGUCCGGCUUUUCUUUCCGAACACCGAACUGAGCAUCAAGGGCUACUGUCUAUGCGGUAUUACAUUACAUAAUUUUAACUUCUUACCUCAAAGCCUGUUAGAAGGCUGCUGCAGGCUUCGGUCAGCCCGCUCUUGGCGAGCUAAACCUUUUGAAUCACCGCACUCAUGUUAGUGCGAUGUUUUUCCUCGAUGGAAGCGCCUUCAAGCGCCUCCAACAAGUUAUCCGGCGCCUCCGGUUGGACGGAGGUCGCCGGUGUCAAGGUCUUGCCCUUCUUUCGAAGGGGCCGCCCGCCGGACUCUAGAACCACUGCGGGUUCCGAUGUAGAGUCCGGCACAAAGUCUGGGAGGCAGCCUGACGACGCCUCCGGAGCCUCCUCCUGAUGGGUCCCUCUCUGGGAUCCCACCUCGGCGUCCCCGUCGGCGCGGGGGGUAGAGGCGGUCGGAAGUGAAUCCACAUCUAACGGGGCCAACGACCCGCUCGAUGAAGCGGGGAGAUCAUCAUCGGCCGGACUACGGACAGAACGCGGCAUUAGAAGGACACUACGCGACACGAAAGAAAUUGCAUAUCAUGGAUCCGGAUACUUACGAUCUUGUCGGACGCCUGGCCCUUGGAGGCCACUCAUCCUCGCCAACGGUGGUGUUGGCGAAACUGUCCGGGGGGAUAGUCCUCCCCCUCUUGGACCCUUCGGCCUCCCCUAUUGGGAAAGCCUUCCACUUCUUCUCUCCCUCCUCCGAGAGAGAGUCCUCUUCCUCCUCCUCGUCUUUGGGGGAGGAGUCCGCCUCGUCGUCGGACGCCUAAUUGCGGGAACUCUUUCGAGUCCCCGCGGCCACCUUCUUGGCCUUCUUCUCCGGCACCACGUGCGGUGCCGGAACCAGCAGCCCUGCUAAACGGGCGUUCUCUGGGUCUUCAGGCAUGGGAGCCGGGCUGAUGAGCUGCUUGGCCUUCUCCAUCCAUUCCUAUCAAAGGAAAAGAGAGAUUGAAACCCUCUUAGAAUCAGUUUAAUUACCACAAGUGUCCCGUAACGUGGUUGAAUCACUUACCUCGUCAGCCGGAUGCUGCGAGCGAAAUCCGUGAUCUUCCGUCGCGGAUGCGGGGGCUUCGGCGCCCUUAAACAGCACCCUCCAGGCGCCUUCGUAUGUCGUAUCGAAGAGCCCGCUCAGCGCCUGGUGCUGUUCCGGAUUGAACUCCCACAGAUUGAAUACCCGUUCUUGGCAUGGGAGAAUCCGGCGGAUGAGCAUGACUUGGACCACGUCGACGAGCCUGAGCUUAUUGCUCACCAGCUUCUGGAUGCAGGCUCGGAGUCCCGUCACCUCCUUCGGAUUUCCCCACAGCAAGCCCUUCUCUUUCCAGGAGGUGAACUGCGUGGGGACGCCAGAUCUAAACUCGGGGGCCGCCGCCCAUGUGGGCUUGCGCAGCUCGGUGAUGUAGAACCAACCCGAUUGCCACCCCUUGACGGAGUCCACGAAGGCCCCUUCGAGCCAAAGGACGUUGGGCAACUUACCCAACAUGGCGCCUCCGCAUUCCGCUUGCGUGCCCUUCACAACCUUCGGCCUCCCCUAUUGGGGAAGCCUUCCUCUUCUUCUCUCCCUCCUCCGGGAGAGAGUCCUCUUCCUCCUCCUCGUCUUCGGGGGAGGAGUCCGCCUCGUCGUCAGACGCCUGAUUGCGGGAACUCUUUCGAGUCCCCGCGGCCACCUUCUUGGACUUCUUCUCCGGCACCACGUGCGGUGCCGGAACCAGCAGCCCUGCUAAACGGGCGUUCUCUGGGUCUUCAGGCAUGGGAGCCGGGCUGAUGAGCUGCUUGGCCUUCUCCAUCCAUUCCUGUCAAAGGAAAAGAGAGAUUGAAACCCUCUUAGAAUCAGUUUAAUUACCACAAGUGUCCCAUAACGGGGUUGAAUCACUUACCUCGUCAACCGGAUGCUGCGAGCGAAAUCCGUGAUCUUCCGUCGCGGAUGCGGGUGCUUCGGCGCCCUUAAACAGCACCCUCCAGGCGCCUUCGUAUGUCGUAUCGAAGAGCCCGCUCAGCGCCUGGUGCUGUUCCGGAUUGAACUCCCACAGAUUGAAUGCCCGUUCUUGGCAUGGGAGAAUCCGGCGGAUGAGCAUGACUUGGACCACGUCGACGAGCCUGAGCUUAUUGCUCACCAGCUUCUGGAUGCAGGCUCGGAGUCCCGUCACCUCCUUCGGAUUGCCCCACAGCAAGCCCUUCUCUUUCCAGGAGGUGAACUGCGUGGGGACGCCAGAUCUAAACUCGGGGGCCGCCGCCCAUGUGGGCUUGCGCAGCUCGGUGAUGUAGAACCAACCCGAUUGCCACCCCUUGACGGAGUCCACGAAGGCCCCUUCGAGCCAAAGGACGUUGGGCAACUUACCCAACAUGGCGCCUCCGCAUUCCGCUUGCGUGCCCUUCACAACCUUCGGCUUGACGUUGAAGGUCUUGAGCCACAGGCCGAAGUGGGGCCGGAUGCAGAGGAAGGCCUUGCACACGACGAUAAACGCCGAGAUGUUGAGGAUGAAGUUCGGCGCCAGAUCGUGGAAAUCCAGGCCGUAGUAAAACAUGAUCCCCCGGACGAAUGGGUGGAGUGGAAAGCCCAGUCCGCGGAGGAAGUGGGGAAGGAAGACGACCCUCUCAUGGGGCCCAGGGGUAGGGAUGAGCUGCCCCUCGUCGGGCAGCCGAUGCGCGAUAUCGCCGGAAAGGUAUCCGGCGCUGCGAAGCUUGGUGAUAUGCUCCUCCUUAACGGUGGAGUCCAACCAUUUGCCUCCCGCUCCGGACAUAUUCGGAGAAGGUCGGGGCGAGAUGCGCGAGCUUGGGCGUUGGAGCUUGAGUGCACGGAGAUGGAUAAGCAAAGGAGGAAGAAGGCGUAGGUGAGAAGGUAAAUCCUUAUCCCUUAUAUAUAGGCGGACGAAAACUAUGCGUCCCCACCGGCCUGAUAAAACUCGCUUAUCUCCCAAGCGCCACCAUCAAUGGCGCGGUUGGGUUACCCACGUCCGUAUUGAUGGGAAUCCCGGAAUAAGGGGAACACAAUCUCUGCUUCGACAAGACGUGCCAAGGAAACCGCUUCGCUAAACGUGCUGAGGUGGUAUAGUAAAAAACGAUUCAAACAAAGGCUUGGUAGCGGUGUGAUGUCACGCCGCAUAAUACGUCAGCAGAUUGGACUGGUGUACAUUUUAUUCUCUCUACGGUGGAAUGUGGAAUUUAUUUUGCAGAGCCGGACACUAUCCUGGUGUUCAUGAUCUUCUCUGGAUUAUUCAAGGGAGGAACCCGCCUUGCAAUGCCGAACAUUAUGCGCGCCGGACUUAUCGUCAUUGAAGCCUGGUUCAGGGGCUACUGAGGGAGUCCUGGACUAGGGGGUGUCCGGACAGCCGGACUAUCAUCGUCCGCCGGACUCCAAGACUACGAAGAUACAAGAUUGAAGACUCCGUCCCGUGUCCAGAUGAGAUUUUCCUUGGCGUGGAAGGCAAGCUUGGCAAUACGGAUAUGUAGAUCUCCUACCAUUGUAACCGACUCUGUGUAACCCUAGCCUCCUCCGGUGUCUAUAUAAACCGGAGGGCUUUAGUCCGUAGGACACAACAUACAUUACAACAAUCAUACCAUAGGCUAGCUUUAGGGUUUAGCCUCCUUGAUCUCGUGGUAGAUCCACUCUUGUACUACCCAUAUCAUCAAUAUUAAUCAAGCAGGACGUAGGGUUUUACCUCCAUCGAGAGGGCCCGAACCUAGGUAAAACAUCGUGUCCCUCGUCUCCUGUUACCAUCCGCCUAGAUGCACAGUUCGGGACCCCCUACCCGAGAUCCGCCGGUUUUGACACCGACAGGGCCCAUAACCCACAGUUCCACAGGAUCGAAACCUGACUCAUGUACAUCCCUGUUUUUCAAAGUUGUUCCUCGCGCUUGGAUUCGUAUGUAAUUCACGAGCCACCUUCCUUGUGAUCUGUUCUGGUAUCAGAUGCAAUACUUAUUCCCAUUGCUCUAAACCCCUUUCACCUUCUUACCUUGCUCUCGAUGACUAUCCUGAAUUCCAACUCAAGAGAUGCCUCUAUGCCAUGUUGAGGUACCUAUCUUGUGUUGAGCUCCAUCCCUCCCGAGUCUUUCCCCCUUACUCACCCCUUAAAUCUCGAGACGAUAUUUCUUGUAGUGGAGGAGAAUUGUGACGCCCAAAUAAUUAAGCUACAGUAAUCCCCUUUUAAUGGUUCCAUGUCAUCACAUUACUAUUGCUAAUCCUCGCUUGAUCCAAAUCUUAGUUCAAACUAAUAUUCAAAUUAAAGACCAAAAUUCAAAUUUCUCAAGCAUGCAUAAUAAAAUGUUCAAAGUGUGGCAAAUAAUCCCUGGAUAUUUGUCAUGUUGGAAACAACCUCCUUAGAAUUUUCAAAAUGCCCCUGGGAGUUAAUUUUUGGUCAAGUAGUAAAUUAAAUGGCAUUUGCAAAACAAAUAAUUAUUUAUUUAACUCCAAUUGCCUCCUGUCGUGGGAAACGAACACCUAUGGGGCAGGGCCCCUUUUCGGUCUGGCAAGGGAGCGGAGGGCACACGAAGAGCAGAUCGAGGCGAAGCACGCGGGGGAAUUUUACCCAGCUUCGGAGCUCUCCGGAGAGAUAAAACUCCUACUGCUGCUUUGUGUUUCUAUUCUGUUCUUGCUCAAGAGUGUGGGUGUGUUGUAGUUUCGAAUGAGUCGAACCCCUUCUACGUGCGCAUGGGCCUCCUUUUUAUAGUCUAAAGGGGUCACCGACAGGUGGCAGCAUAGAGAGAGGGGUAAAAAAGUAAAAACGCGGGUUGGUACAACCGCUAUCAACAGUGCCCCCUACCUAACUCUGACAGCAGGGGACAAGGGCAUUUAAUGCCCAUCCGGUCGCCCAAACAGUGCAGGAAGUGACCGUUAGGGGCGCCACCAAUCGCCACGAUGGCCUCCUAGUCAUCUUCACUUGCCACCUCGCACCGCUUGGCUGCACAGCUACCCGCCACGUGCACCGGGAGCGAUCCUGCGGCGACACGUCAUCGGAUGCGCUGGAGCAUGGGCGCAGAGUUGUGGCUUUGCCGCGGCAAGCGCCUUGCCGCGGUCACUAUCUUGUUGCACCCGCAAGCUUGCCGCUCGCCGGGUCUUGGUUGGCCUUCCCGGCAAGAUCCUCCUGCCGGGGUCUUGUCCUUCCCGGCAAGCUUCUCUUGCCGGGGCUUCGUCUUCACAGUUAACACUUUGUUCUUGAAUGGCAGUAAAUAGGAAUGACGAAGGAUCUUGGCGGACGCCCGGCAAGCCUUGCCGCAGGACGCUGCGCCUGCCCGUGCACAAGUUCGGGGUACUAAGGUACCCCUACUUUAGUACACCGACUGGAGCCCCCGGGCCUGGGCCAUACACGGUGCUGAGCGCUGUUGGGCCAGGCCCAAAACAGGACACGGGCACGCGCGGCCUGGGUCCUAACUAAAUCCACUCCGUAUCCACCGCGUCCUCCCGUAACGGCACGCGUCAAUCGCGGCGUCGUGGGAGAGAUCGUGGGUGGAAGACGUUCGCGCGUAUCCACAGCCUGAUGGAGGGGUUUACCCUCCAUUUUAAGUUAAUGGAGGGCGAUCUCCUCUCCGUCAAGGUCUUCGGGUGCUUCGACACUCGGGCGAAGUGCUGCGUGGACAGCUCCUCCGAUAGCAAAGGCUCCCCCUCGAGCGAGAGCGACAAGGAGGAGAGCAACAGCGAUGAUGAGGGUAGCGGGCGGCGGGAUGGCGGGCCCGACUAGGUGUCGGGCGCCGCUUCGUGCGUCACCGGUGACCCCAUCAUCCGUGUCGCCGGCUCCUUGAACUCCCCGGGGUCGUCUCCUUGGGCGGCUGGCGUAGGGAGGCUGCGGAAGGGGAAGAGGGCUGGCGACAAGGCCGUCAAAUCGGAGUACGAGGGCGUAGUGCCCUCGACAGCGUGCUGACGUCCUGCCGCCCCAUCUUCGAGCCCCGCUUCCAGCGCCGCCAUCACCGUCCGGCCUUCGGACGGCCCCCGGGAUGUUCUCUUGGUGUCUUCGCCUAGGCGCCUCUUUUGCCCUUUUCGCCUCCUUGACCUACAUCCUGAAGAGAGGGACAGGAAAGGGAUUACGGGCAUCUUAUCUUUUUAAUUUGUAAGCCUUCGGGCCCUAGUCGCAUCUAAAACUUGUAACCCUCUCUUUCAUGUUUUUCAUCCUCUAUGGACUGUACCUGAGUGUGAUGUUUUUUUAAUGAAAAAGGGAUGCUUGCCGGGUUAUUUGUCUCAUGGGUUGAACCCACGCCAAGGAGCAAAUCCUUGGUAUCCCUCGGACAGGCAUUUCAUCUCCCGCCAACAGGCCCUGCCGCCUUCCCACGUCGCUCGACCUUUCUCACGCCUUUGACGGAGGCGGGAACGAGGUGGGUGCGGCCUCCUCAUUUCAUCCCUUUGCUGCUGUGACUACGACCAAACUUGGCCCCGGGAACGAGCCCCAGGGCCUAGAGUUGAGGGAGCACGGCAGUUUUCGGGAAGAAACGCGGUUUCGCAUUCCCCAGUCCAUAAGAGGAUGCAUGAUGAGGGACGAAAGACUUAUCUGAUAUCGCAGCCCCCGGCAACUCUGGCUUGCCGUGGAUGAAUCUUGGUACUCGCAGCCCCCAGCAACACUGGCUUGCCGGGGCCCAGGUGCCGGCGCGCCCUUCUUCUCCUUUCCUUGUCGCUGUUAUUUCAGUUAUGAGAACAAUUUAGUCAGUGCCGCAAUAAGUUACUCUUGUAAUAUAACUUUAUUCUGGGCAAUGCUUGUUAUGUUACAUCCUUUAUUUGAUUCCAUUCCUUGUAUGUUUGUACCCUUACGCUUUUACGGAACUUGCCGGUGCAAACACGCUUGCCACGAGCGCUGAGUGCAAAACAUCAGCAGCCUUCUAGCGGUGUUGCCUCCGGCAAGAAACCUUGUCGGGGCUAGUCGCAGCACACUUUCAUUGUUGAGCGGACUCAAAACAAAGUAAGGGUGCAACUUAACCACGAGCCGGUUCCUCUGCGCACAGGUUUUCCAUACAAGGCAUGGUCGUUCAAGGAAUAUAACUUAAAAAUUUAAAACUGACUGUGCUUAAACUUCGGCAACUUAGCUUUUUUGUUGUUUGUGUCCNNNNNNNNNNNNNNNNNNNNNNNNNNNNNNNNNNNNNNNNNNNNNNNNNNNNNNNNNNNNNNNNNNNNNNNNNNNNNNNNNNNNNNNNNNNNNNNNNNNNNNNNNNNNNNNNNNNNNNNNNNNNNNNNNNNNNNNNNNNNNNNNNNNNNNNNNNNNNNNNNNNNNNNNNNNNNNNNNNNNNNNNNNNNNNNNNNNNNNNNNNNNNNNNNNNNNNNNNNNNNNNNNNNNNNNNNNNNNNNNNNNNNNNNNNNNNNNNNNNNNNNNNNNNNNNNNNNNNNNNNNNNNNNNNNNNNNNNNNNUGUGGGCGCAGGAAUCUUCUCUUUGAGAAAAAGGAAGAAGAGAAAAUAAAGUUAUGGAGCCUUAAGGCUUGUUAUUGCUUACCGGGGGCAAGUUCUGCACAAAGUGUCAGUGUAUACAUGCUAAAAAGAAAAAGGCAUGAAUUUUGACAAUAUGUACUAAACAUAUGAUCUUUAUUUAUGCACGGGAUCUGCGCCCGGCUUUGUACAAAGGGUUACAUGCAACAACGGCAAGGCUUGUACAAAAGGUGGUUGCCAGGACAGCAGGUUCCGGCAACCGCGCCUUAUGGGUAAAACUUACGAAGAUGAUCUAUGUUCUAGGAGUUGCUCACCGGAAUGCCAUCUUCGGUCUCAAGGCGGACAGCGCCAGGCCUAGUGACUCGCUUUACCCGAUAAGGGCCUUCCCACUUCGGCGUCAACUUGUUGGAAUUCUUGGCAGAUUGAACGCGCCGAAGAACAAGGUCACCUUCCUCGAAGCUUCUGGCAUUAACUUCGCGGCUAUGGUAGCGGCGCAAAGCUUGCUGGUAGCGAGCAGCUCGUACAGCAGCCUGAAGACGAUCCUCCUCGAGGAGCAGCGCGUCAUCUUGCCGCAGCUGCUCUUGCUCAAGCUCAUCAUAAGCGAGCACUCGAGGCGAUCCGUAUACGAGUUCUGUGGGGAGAACUGCCUCUGCUCCAUAGACAAGAGCAAAAGGUGUCUGGCCAGUGGCUCGAUUUGGCGUCGUCCUGAUCGACCAAAGAACCACCUGUAGCUCCUCGAUCCAAUUUCUUCCGCACUUGUGCAGCCUGUCGAAAGUUCUGGUCUUGAGCCCACGCAGCACUUCAGCGUUUGCCCUCUCCGCUUGACCGUUGCUUCUCGGGUGAGCAACAGAAGCGAAGCAGAUCUUGGCGCCAAGAUCUUGGACGUACUGCAUGAAGGUGCAGCUCGUGAAUUGUGUGUUGUUGUCGGUGAUGAUCCUAUUAGGGACUCCGGAACGGCAAACAAUUGACCUGAAGAACUUGACUGUUGACUGUGCUGUCACCUUCCUCACUGGCUCCACCUCCGGCCACUUCGUGAACUUGUCGAUGGCCACGUACAAGUACUCGAAGCCCCCGACAGCUCGGGGAAAAGGGCCAAGGAUAUCAAGCCCCCAGACUGAAAAUGGCCAGGAUAAAGGGAUUGUUUGGAGAGCUUGAGCUGGUUGAUGAAUCUGUUUGGAGUGGAACUGGCACGCUUCACACUUGGUUACUUGUGCAGUCGCAUCCUGGAGGGCUGUUGGCCAAAAGCAACCUUGCCGGAAGGCUUUACUGGCAAGUGCUCUUGCGCCAAUGUGGUGGCCACAUAUGCCUCCAUGUAUCUCCGCCAACAGCUCUUGUCCUUCUUCCCGGGAAAUGCACUUCAAUUUCACUCCGUUGAAUCUUCUUCUGUACAGUAUGUCAUCGACAAACUGAUACAUACUUGAUUGUCGGGCUACUUUCUCUGCUUCUUCUUGCUCUUCGGGAAGUUCUCCUGUUUGAAGGAAAUGGACGAUCUGCUGUGCCCAUGCCGGAGCUUGUGGCUCGACGACAAGGACUAAAGGCGCAAAUGCUGCUGCGGGAACAUCCGCUUCUACGGCAAGAAUAUGAGAUCCUGCCGGAGCGUGAUGCUCCCCGGCAAGCGUGCCGGGGCACAGCUUGUCGGGAGCGUCUGCUUCAACGAAACAAACCCUAGGGCUUGUCGGAGCAGACUGCUCCUCAGCACUUUCUAUGUUGAUCCUGGGGACCUUCUUGGCGGCGGCUUCGGGGAGCUCUGCCGGAAAGUAGUCGCCAGUAACCAACUUUCUCUUCUUGCUCUGUCCAGUUGAUGGUGUUACAGAUGGCUGAGUCAGCUUGAGCACAAAAAUACCUGGUUCCACAGGUAACUUGAGUGCGGUGCACUUUGACAGGCCGUCUGCAAUGUCAUUCUGAGCUCUUGGAACAUGUUCCAUCUGCAGGCCGUCAAAAUGCUCUUCCAGCUUCCUCACUUCAUCAAUGUAGGCCUCCAUCAGCGGACUCUGAUAAUCUGUGUUAACUUGGCGGACGACAAGCUGUGAGUCACCCCUGACAAUAAGCUUCUUGAUCCCAAGUUCUGUCGUGAUCCUGAGUCCGGCAAGCAGGCCCUCAUAUUCUGCAGUAUUGUUUGUUGCUUGCUCCUUGGGAAAGUGCAUUUGGAUCAUGUACUUGAGGUGCUCUCCGGUGGGUGCGACAAGUAACACACCCGCACCGGCGCCUUGCAGCGAGAAAGCACCAUCAAAGUACAUGAUCCAUUCCCUGUUUGCUUCCUUGACGGGGAUCCUCGUCUCCGGAGUUUCUUCAUCUGGUGUUGGCGUCCACUCCACUAUGAAUUCUGCCAAUGCUCGGCUCUGGAUAGUUGAAGUACUUUCAAACUUGAGGCCAAAGCUUGACAGUUCCAGUGCCCACUCGACAAUCCUGCCUGUUGCUUCUGGAUUUUGCAAUAUCCUCUUCAACGGAAAGCGAGUGACAACUGUGAUCUGAUGUGCUUGAAAAUAAUGGCGCAGCUUCCUCGAGGCCAUGAGAAGGCCGAAAAGCAACUUUUGCACUCCAGAGUAUCUUGAUCUAGCCACCUGCAGAAGGGAGCUGACAAAAUAAACUGGGUGCUGCACCAUCUUCUUUUGUUUCUCUGCCUGCGGCUGCACAGACUCAUCCUUGUCGGGACCAGAGCUUGACGGAGAAGCCCCCUGCUUGUCGCUGGACUCGCUUGCCGCGGCCGCUGGCUCAUCAUCUGCCUCCCUCUCUGCUACUAACGCAGCACUAACCACUUGAUUGGUUGCUGCUAGAUACAGCAGCAACUUCUCUUGCGGCUUAGGUGCGACAAGUACUGGAGUGGAGGAUAGGUAUCUCUUCAAGUCCUGUAGCGCAGCCUCCGCUUCUGGAGUCCAUUUCAUUGGACCUGCCUUUUUCAAAAUUUUGAAAAACGGCAGGGCGCGCUCAGCAGACUUAGAGAUGAACCUACUGAGAGCAGCAACGCAGCCGGCAAGCCUUCGCACAUCCUUGAGGCGCUUCGGGGCUUCAAUCUGCUCGAUGGCCUUGAUCUUGUCGGGGUUGGCUUCGAUCCCCCUCUGGGACACGAAGAACCCGAGAAGCUUGCCGGAAGGAACUCCAAACACGCACUUCUCAGGGUUCAACUUGAGAUUGAUCUUGCGCAGAUUUGCAAAAGUCUCAUCCAAAUCUUGGAUCAAAGUUUCUCUAUCUUUGCUCUUGACCACUAUAUCAUCCAUGUAUGCUUCUACAUUCCUGUGCAGCUGUGGCUCAAAAGCAUGACUGACUAGUCUUGCAAACGUUGAACCAGCAUUCUUUAGUCUGAAAGGCAUUCAUACAAAGCAGUACGUGCCACAUGGAGUAAUGAAUGCGGUGUUCUCUUCAUCCUCUUUUGCCAUGAAAAUCUGAUGGUAUCCUGAGUAUGCAUCAAGAAAUGAAAGCAGAUCACAUCCUGCCGUGGAGUCGACAAUCCGGUCAAUGCGCGGCAAGGGAAAUGGAUCUUUGGGACAAGCUUUAUUAACAUCCGUGAAGUCAAUACAAAGCCUCCACUUCCCAUUCACCUUGCGCACAAUUACUGGAUUGGCUAACCACGUUGGAUGGAGUACUCCUCGGACGAGGCCUGUUGCUUCCAACUUCUUGAUCUCUUCUGCUAUGAACUCUUGGCGUUCCGCCGCUUGCUUCUUGACUCUCUACUUGACGGGCCGCGCGUGAGGACAGACGGCAAGGUGGUGCUCAAUUACUUUCCUGGGAACACCGGGGAUGUCAGAUGGUUGCCAUGCAAACACAUUGACAUUCGCCCGCAGGAAAGCAACGAGCGCGCUUUCCUAUUUAGGGUCAAGCGUGGCACUGAUGGUGAAGGUACCACUAGUGCCGUCCUCCUUGGCGGCCACUUUCUUGGUAUCAGGUGUCGCUAUCUUUGCCCUCUUGCACUUGCCGGUGGAGCUCGAUGGUGCGUCCUCGACGGUAGCACAGCACUCCGAAGAGGUGCGCUUGCCGGAGUGGGCAUCAGAGCUACUCUUGCCGGACUUGGUCUUCUUCUUCUUCCCCCCGGGAGCUUCAGCGGCAAGUGGUUUGUGCUCUGCUGCGGCUGCUGCUUCCUGGUAGAUCUUGUCGGUGCAGAUAAGCGCAUCCUUCUUGUCGCCUUGGACAGAAAUGACGCUUAUCGGACCGGGCAUCUUGACCACGUUGUAAGCAUAAUGAGAGGCUGCCAUGAACUUGGAAAGCGCUGGACGGCCGAGUAUCCCAUUGUAGGGCAACGGGAAAUCAGCAACAUCAAAUGUGACUCUCUCUGUCCUGAAGUUCAGUUUGCUGCCAAAUGUCACUGGUAGUGUAAUCUUCCCCUUGGGCUUGCUCCUUCCCGGGUUGAUUCCUUGAAAGGUACCAGUUUCUUCGAGCUCGCUGUCGGGGAUCUGGAGCUUGUUGAGCACCGCGGAAGAGAUCAGAUUUAGGCCGGCCCCACCGUCAACCAACAUCUUCGUGACCUUGAGGUUGCGGAUGGUUGGCGAAACCAACAUCGGCAAGCACCCGACCGCAGUGAUGCGAUCAGGGUGAUCCUCAACAUCAAAGACGAUGGGCGUACUGGACCACUUCAGGGGCUUGCGCGAUUCGACUGAUGGUUCAGCUGCAUUUACCUCCCGCACCCACUGCUUGAGUUGGCGGUGCGAGGUGUGCAGAGAAGCACCGCCGUCAACGCACAAAACCUCUGUUGCCUUCUGAAACUCUUGCUCGUCGGUCUCAUCCUCGUCCAUCUCAUCAUCCUCAUCUUCAUCUUCGUCCUUGUCACGGCCACGGGGAGGUCUGUCUCCUUGCCGCUGCUUGGCCUUGCCGCGGCGCCCUCCCCGGGCGGGACGCUUCUUGCCGGAUCCUCCGCCACCUUCCUGGGCCUUCUCCUUGUCGCGACGCUCGUAUUCAGCUUUCUGUAGUUCUGCCAUUUGCUCAACCUUCUUGCAUGCUUGGAGGUCAUGGCCCUUGGUGCGAUGGAUCUUGCAGUACUGCUUGCCGGAACAAUCCUGCUUGUCGGCGGCCACCACAGCCUCGCCGGAGUCACCAGCUUUGGCCUUGUCGGCGCCGCCUCCGUUGCCGGACUGCUCAACAACUAGCACAUCCUUAGCCUUUCUCUUUCUAUUAUUCCGCCUCCGGUUCUUCUUUGCCGGAGGGACGUCCUCAUUGUCCGAUCCUUCUGCUCCUGCAUUCUCUCCGGGAAGUUUCCUCCCCUCUUCAGCUCGUGCACACUUGUCAGCCAGAGCAUAUAGCUCGCUGACAUCUCUAAUCUUGCACAUCGCCAUCUCCUCCCUCAUCCUGCGGUUACGCACGUUCUGAUGGAAUGCGCUGAUAACCGCGGCAGGGUGGACGUCUGGGAUGUUGCGCUGCACCUGGCUGAAUCUCUGUAUGUACUUGCGCAGGGGUUCUCCUUCUUUCUGGGCGAGCAGAUGAAGAUUGCUCUCCUGACCAUGGGGUUUGUGGCCGCCUGUGAAGGCGCCGACAAACUGAUGGCACAGGUCCGCCCACGAAGAGAUGGAGUUGUCCGGCAAGUGCAUGAGCCAAGAUCUGACGUUGGGCUUGAGCACCAGCGGGAAGUAGUUGGCGAGGAUCUUCUCGUCGCGCCCCCCGGCAGCCUGCACCGCGAUGGUGUAGACGCUGAGGAACUCUGAUGGAUGUAUCCUGCCAUCGUACUUCUCGGGUAUGUCCGGCUUGAAGUUCUUGGUACUGGGCCACUGGACUUGCCGCAGCUCACGGGUGAACGCAGGGUAACCUGCCGCGUACGGCAAGUCGCCUGGUUCCCCUGGCGCAUGCAUAUCGACAGUGGGCCCAGCGCACUGGUCAGAUUAAUGUCGCGCUUCUCUUCUGCGCUCGAUGCGAGUACGAGCGUCUCUGUGUCGUCGUUCUUGGAGAACUUGGCGUUGAUCGCGGCGAGCUCGCGGGUCCGACGACGCGGUGGAGUCGGUGUCGAGGUUGGAACGGCGAGUUGGCGAUCAUGGCCUUCGGGGCGGGGAGUGCACGGUGGUGGCACCCCCAGCGGUCUUGUCGGUGUCGGCUUGCGCCCGGGCGUCUUGCCGGGGCUUUCGAUGUGCUCGGUUGCCGGGGCUUGUCGCCGUUGGCGAAGCCGAUGAGGCUUUGGAUGGUGAUCCUCCAGUCGUCGAUCUUGUCUGGCGCUGGAGGGUAAUCUAGAAGCAGCUGGGCUCGGGCCAGCGCUUCCUCUGGAGUCUUGGGCGGCGGUGGCGAGCGACGCGAGGUGCGGGAUAUGCUCAAACUUCUAACAGUGUUAGAAGGAGCAACAUCUCGCCCAGGCGACCGUACUUCGCUCGUGCCAGCGUGUUGACGUGUAUGUUGGCCUUGAGCGUCCCGCGAUCCGCCGGCUUGGCCUUGUUCCAACACGAGCACGGUGCUAGGAGUACCGUGGCAUUGCCGAUCUUGCACCUCCUGGGAGGGGUACGGUGGAUGUACAGACGCUGAAGCUUGCGGGGCCUUGUCCUCGGACCUGGUGACGAUGUGAGUCCCCCCGUCGGCGCCCGCUCCUCCGCCGGCGUCCACCCCACCACCCGUUUGCUCCGGUGGCGGUAGGAUAGUCGCAAACGGAGUGGCCACCUCCGAAGCCUUCUUCUUCGGUGGCAUGUCGAUGAAGAUGUUGAUGUAGCGCGCAGAUGCCGGAUCAGGUACGCACAACCUCGACGCCCACCUACCUGGCGCGCCAAAGAUGUCGUGGGAAACGAACACCUAUGGGGCAGGGCCCCUUUUCGGUCCAGCAAGGGAGCGGAGGGCGCACGAAGAGCAGAUCGAGGCGGAGCACGCGGGGGAAUUUUACCCAGCUUCGGAGCUCUCCGGAGAGAUAAAACUCCUACUGCUGCUUUGUGUUUCUAUUCUGUUCUUGCUCAAGAGCGUGGGUGUGUUGUAGUUUUGAAUGUGUCGAACCCCUUCUACGUGUGCAUGGGCCUCCUUUUUAUAGUCUAAAGGGGUCAGCGACAGGUGGCAGCGUAGAGAGAGGGGUAAAAAAGUAAAAACGCGGGUUGGUACAACCGCUAUCAACAGUGGCCCCUACCUAACUCUGACGGCAGGGGACAAGGGCAUUUAAUGCCCGUCCGGUCGCCCAAACAGUGCAGGAAGCGACCGUUAGGGGCGCCACCGAUCGCCAUGAUGGCCUCCUAGUCAUCUUCACUUGCCACCUCGCACCGCUUGGCUGCACAGCUACCCGCCACGUGCACCGGGAGCGAUCCUGCGGCGACACGUCGUCGGAUGCGCUGGAGCGUGGGCGCAGAGUUGUGGCUUCGCUGUAGCAAGCGCCUUGCCGCGGUCACUAUCUUGUCGCACCCGCAAGCUUGCCGCUCGCCGGGUCUUGGUUGGCCUUCCCGGCAAGCUCCUCUUGCCGGGGUCUUGUCCUUCCCGGCAAGCUUCUCUUGUCGGGGCUUCGUCUUCACAGUUAACACUUUGUUCUUGAAUGGCAGUAAAUAGGAAUGACGAAGGAUCUUGGCGGACGCCCGGCAAGCCUUGCCGCAGGACGCUGCGACUGCCCGUGCACAAGUUCGGGGUACUAAGGUACCCCUACUUUAGUACACCGACACCUCCAAACUUUAUGUGGCACUGCAAAAUAUUUGUGGCUCUGUCUAAGAUUGCCAAGGAAUUAAAAGGGGAACUUAACAUAUUUUUCCUAAGUAAAUAGUGUGCCCAAAAUAUUCUCUUAACCAUCUCUGUUUUUUUUAAUAAAAAAAGGCGAAUAAGAACUCGCCCGGGCCUCGGCCUACUCCCACUUACCAGCCCACCUAAGCCGGCCCACUCCCCCGCUCCCAUGGCCUAUAGGCCAUGCUCAACCGAACCCUAACCCCGCACGAUCCCCCCACUCCCCACUUCUCUCCCCUCCCGAUCCAAUCUGGAUCGGACCGAAACUGGCGCCCCGACGCCAACCGCCGUCGCUGGAGGCAUCCCCGACUCCACGCUGGGCCACCCCAUCACCUGACCUCCUCCCCGUCGUCGCUCGUCACUCGCUGGACCGCCUCGUCCCCACCAACGCCGCCCCGAGCCCAACGUCCCUGUCGUCGUCGCCGUCGGCAUCGCCCCGAUGUCGCCACCACCCGACGCCGGCGCCCUCGACAUCGCCACCCCGAGCCCACUGCCACCCCUACGCUCCACUGUGAGCCCCUCGCCGAUUCCCCCUCCUUCCUGUCAUCGUAGGUGGCCGCAUGCGCUGUUGGCCACCGUGGCCGCGCUCCGGCCGUUCCCCAUCCGUGUGCUAGCCUCGCCUUCCCCGGCUGCGGCCACCAGCCUCCUCGUCGCGCUCCCGCCUUCGCCCACACCUGCCCCUGUACGCCCAGCCGCUGCUGCUCGCCGGAUCCGCAUGUUCGCCCCCUAGCUUCGUCUCCGGCCGUCGAGUCCGCACCCGAUGCCGGCGCCCCAGCGCGUCCAUGCGCCCGUACGGGCGGGCGCCCACGCCCAUGCCCCUCCGCCCGUUAGCCCGCCCCGCUAAGGCCUGGGCACCUAACCAAGGGGCCCCACGCCCCUGUGUAAUAAAAAAGAUUUAAAAAAAAUAAAUAUAAAUAUAAUUAGUUAAUUAGUUAAUUAAUUGUAUAGUUAAUUAACUAACUUAAUUAACCUUGCUUAGUUAGCCUAAUGAACUAGUUUAGUUAAUUUAAAUCUGUUAGAUAGGUCUAUGAGAGAACGACCCCACAUGUCAGUUUAACCAGUCAACACUCUUUUGACUGCUGACAUCAUGAUGACGUCAGGCUGACAUCAUAAUUCCAAUUUUGAAUUAAUAAUAAUUUCAGAAUAUUAUUAAAACUUUGAAAAAUCAUAGAAAAUAAACCGUAUCUCGGAUGGAAGUUGCUUGGAACGACGAGACAAAUCCGAAUGCGCAGUUCGUUCAUCUGUCACGCGUCCCUAGCAUAGCAAACGUUGAACUUUUCCCCUCCGGUUCAUCUGUCUGAUAGACGUCCGGAACCGGGAAAACUUUCCCGGAUGUUUCCCCCUUCGCCAGUAUCACCUAGCACCUCGUUAGAACACUUCUAGCCCCGCUUAUUGUCUUGUUAUGCAUAUGUUUGCGUGUAUUUACUGUUUCUUCCCCCUCUUCUUCUCCGGUAGACCUCGAGACCGCUGAUGAUGCCCCUGUGAUCGACUACGUCGACGACGACCCUCCUUGUUUGAGCAACCAGGCAAGCCCACCCUUUGAUCAUCCCGAUAUCGCCCAUUCCAUUCUCUCAUGCUUGCACUAGAUUUUGCUACUGUAUUUGACUGCUCCUAUUCUGAUGCAUAGCCUGCUUUUGUACCUGCUAUUGUAACUUACCUGCUUAUCCUAAAUUUCUUAGUACAGGUUGGCUAGUGAUCCAUCAGUGACCCCCACCUUGUCUUUGUUGCCCCUGCUUCAUCAUCGACGACUCGAUCAACGUGAUCGACGACCGGAGCCUGACACCUCACAUCACAUCACGCCCCUUUUUCUUGCUCGACUCUGCAGAGUUACCAUCGAGUGCCGAGGGUGGAACCUCAUACAUCGCUCCUGAUGAGAUCUCUGUAGUGUAGCUAUUCGGUCGUGGUCAUCGAGGGUGGUUCCUCCUUCACCAUUCCUAAUACGGCUCUGUCGUGCAACACCUCAAGUGUGAACCUCGAGGGUGGUUCCUCUUACGUUCACCUUGAUGAUUACAUCAACUGGAAUCCACCGGGGGUGAUUCCUCGGAUUUUCCCCUUGAUGUCUGGACACAUAGUUACCUUGAUACUUGAGACCGUUGUGAAAGCCGGGCGAGCCCGGAGAGCACCCGUGCGAUGUGACGGUGGCGGCUGGCUGUUUAGCGGUAUCACCCGGGAGGGGUGAUAGCUCCGGACUUGUCCCGACAUCCGUCACUUCUUUUAAUAAUGCACUAACACGUUUGUGUAUUUGUUCUGAGUUGGCCUCUGGCCUUUACGCACUAACCACCACGCGAGAAUAGUUAUGGGCCUCGACGUUGCAGUAUCUUUCGAAGCUUUGUCAGACGUCCAGUUCAGCAUUGUGGCCGGGCCGGAUCGUGCCAUCCACUUCACCGGUGGUGCUGGUAUCCCCUUGUGCACAACGACCCGGAGUGCAAUGGGCGAUGGGCCCAGACCCCGGAGUGCUUAGGAUGUAGACCGGCGGGGACCUCUCUACUGAGCCUAGGUAGGGCUGCGACGUGUUGAUCUUCCGAGGCUGGGCAUUGACCCCAGAAAGGUGUGUCCGGCCAGAGUGAUCGAGCGUGUUGGGUAACGUGGUGCGCCCCUGCAGGGAAGAUUAUCUAUUAAUAGCCGUGUCCAUGGUAACGUACCUUCAGACUUAUAUCUUGAUCUUAUACAACUACAAAUGGAUACUUGAGAUAUGUGGCUCCGGGAUUGCUUUCUCGCAGGGAGUCGAGGAAGGAUCUCUGGGCGUUGUUGUUAAAACAUGCUUGUUAAUUAAACUGCUAUUCUUUACUCUUCUACAUGCUGCAAGAUGCUUGGAGCUGCUUGAAGAUGCUAGUCUUUGUUUGGCUAGGCCUUCCCCUCUAUUCUGGCAUUCUGCAAUUCAGUCCACAGAUACAACCCUUCCAUUUGAUACCAAUGCAUACUUAGUAUAGAUCUGAUGCUUGCGAGUACUUUGGAUGUGUACUCGCGGUUGCUUUGCUACCCCUUUUCCCCCUUCUUUCUUCUUUCCGGUUGACGCAACCAUAUGGUGGAUCCUUGGAGCCAGAUGCCACCGCCGAUGGAUGCUAGUACGUGAAGAUCGCCGACGACCAGGAGUAGUUAGGAGGUCCUAGGCAGGAGGCCUUGCCUCUUCGAUCGUUGUUGCUUUUGUGCUAGCCUUCUUAAGGCAUCCUUAUUUAACUUAUGUCUGUACUCAGCUAUUGUUGCUUCCGCUAACUCUUGUGUAUCGAGCUAUGUAUUCGAGCUCUCGAGGCCCCUGGCUUGUAAUAUAAAGCUUGUAUUAUUUUGAUUUGUGUCUAGAGUUGUGUUGUGAUAUCUUCCCGUGAGUCCCUGAUCUUGAUCGUACAUAUUGGCGUGCAUGAUUAGUGUACGAUUGAAUCAGGGGCGUCACACAAGCGGUACUACUGCCCCACCCAGUUUCAGCAUUUCGAGUUUCACCGUUUUGCCCAUAACUUCCACAUCCGGAGUCCGAUUUUUGCAUUUUUUAGCUCGUUGAGUAGCUAUUGACAUCCCCCAUCCAUCUAUAUAGGUUCCAACACCAUUUGACUCCAUCAAAUUUUCCAAAAUUUGGAAAGUUUGCCUAGGCCGUCCACCAUAUCAUCUGCAUAGCCACCACCGACCACCGCAACCUAACCCAUUUUGUUCCCCUUAGCAUUUGAGGUUGUUUGAGUUGUGGCUUGUGUCUCCUAAGGUGUUUCGGCUACUUAGGGAUGGUAACUUCAACUCCAACACGUGUAUAGCCCAUCAUUCCACUUCCGCAUUGCCGAGUGCAAACCACCACCUCUUUCCACUACCACCAUUUGACAUUUACCUUUGUAGAUUUUGAGUUUGCGAUUUUUCCGUUUCCUAGGGUGUUUUGGCUAACUAGGAAUGGGUCGACAUCAGCAACAUCGCCUCUCAUCAUCGCCAAGGACGGUAACCUCGAUGACACCAUUGUAUAUUCCCUUGCCAUUGCAUUGAUAACCCCUAGCCCAUUUUGCGUCACUUGCCUAUCGAGACUAGCCGUUUGAGUAUUGCCGGCAACGUGACUUGUGCACAUUAGUGAUCAUACUUCCCAUAGCAUCAUACCAUAUCAUCGUGGUGCAUAUAUUGGUAGCAUAUCUUGCGUCACAAGUUUGUUGCCGCAUAUACACAAUUGCUAUCUUGGUUUGUGCAUUAUGCAGAAGUGGCCAUACAAAAAAGAGAAAUAAAGCUUUUAAGCAAAAGAAAGAGAGAAAAGAAGCUUGUAAGCAAGUGCCAUAGCAUCAUACCAUAUUGCACAUAAGAUUGUCAUAUCCGAUCAUCUUGGAUCAUCUUGAGAGAACAUCGGGAACCAUACAUACAUAGCAUACUUGGGAUAGAAAGUAUAUCCAUUUGGCAUCUUGUAGGUUGUGCACAAGUGUCCUAUCCGCCUAUUGAGCAAUCGUGCUAGCGUCUCUCUUGAGUUGUGCAACACGAGCGUUUUCUGUGGAUUCCACAUUUUGUGCUCAUUGCUUGGUUGCACGACCCCAUUUAUCUAUCCGUGUGUGUGUUUCCGUGUGUCAUUCUUUGCUAUUGGUCUACUUGUUUCACUUGCAAAUUUGUGAAUCUCUUUCAACAUUAUUGACUCUUGCUAACAUUUUGCAUCAAAUUUUUGUGCCACUAUCCUCACCGAGCUCCACCAUAAGCUUUACUUGAUAGGUGUGAGUGAACAAGUCCGGUACCAAUUCCACUAUUCUUUCAUUUCACAUUGAGUUAAACGGGAUACAUCCUCAACUUUGGGAAAGGUAACUUCCUAUUGUUUAUCUCAUUUCCUACUGGCAUUUCACCUUCGGUCUACAACAACAACGACGAGUUCGAUGCCACGAACAACUCCAACGACGCCAAGAUGCAAGCUCAAAUGGAGGAGAUCAAAGCCCUCAUCAAGUCCUACAAGCAAUCUUCCUCAUCUUCGAGAAGACACUCACGUGCACAUGUUUCCGAGCUACCAUCUCCGGUAAGAUCACAUCAGCAUCGACACCAUCACCAACAAGAACGUGAAGGUCAAGAGCUCAACACCAACUACCGCUCAACGACUUCACCAUCUCCCUUGGCAUCUUCGCCAAGCGACUUCAAGGCAUCUUUGAGUACGGAUAUACGGCAUCUUCGCCAACAAGAACCUCAAGGCUACGCUCAAGAGAAGCUCCCCAAGCUCAAGUCCACGACUUCCAUGAGCUACUACGACCUCGACACCGACCACAAGAUUCCUUUCUAUGGAACUCAAGAACCCGAGGAGUACCUCGAGUGGGAGCGUUUGAUGGACGACUACCUCAAGCUACAUCAAGUCCCUUCCGAAGAUCAAGUGAAGUGCGCCACAAGAAACUUCCACGACUACGCCUCGACAUGGUGGCUUCACACACCUUCGGAGAGCUACGAGAUGAGUUAGCCCAAGACGAAGAGAGCUUUGCAGCGAGAGCUCGUGCCUCCAACCUACAUGGAACAACUUCGACGCCAAUUGGAGAACACCAUCCAAGGAUCCAAGUCCAUCGACGCGUACUUCAAGGAGAUGAAGAAUGCCUUGCGACGAGACGGCGUGGAUGACCCCAUUUCGAUGAAGUUCCACUUCAUGAUGCGAUUGAACAACGACAUCUCCAAGACUAUCUUCCUCGAGAACUACAAGUCCCUGGACAACUACUACAUUGGUGCUCUCAAGGCGGAACAAGAACUCAUGAAAGCCAAGGCUUCUCCACCCCAAGCACACUUCGCGGCGACCAAGCUGUACGACAAGCAUGAGGCUAGUACCACCAUGAUGUCCAAGCCCGACGAGCUCCAAGACAAUGCUCCCAAGUUCGACUUCACCGCCAUCCCUCUUUGUGGCAUUGAUGACGCCGAGUCUACCUUGACUCUUUUUCAAGACGGUGCGGCGACGAGUACGACUACGGAGACCUUCAAGGACCAAGCUUUGGAGGCGAGCGACAAGGUGGCGAGCAAGGAUGGUGUUUCCAUCUUUGGAGGCGAGAGUGAUGAUGUGCCAUCUUCGUCCUUCAUCCACGGCGACGAUGACGAGAUGAUCGAGCAUGGGAUUUUCCCUUCGGUCAUGGAGGAGAGUGAUGAUGUGCCAUCUUCGGCCUUCAUCCACGGAGACGACGACGAGAUGGUUGAGCAUGGGAUUCUCCCUUCGACCACGGUGACGUAUGAUGACUUGAGUGACUUUUGCCACCAUAUUGAGAGUGAGAGUGACUUCACCACUAGCCCCAUAUAUGACGAGUUGCCCCAAUUCCUAUGUGAGGAGAGCCACAACCCCCACCACUUGAGUGAGAUGAGUGACUCCACCAUAUGCGACUUUGAGUGCACCUAUUUUGAGGGAGUGAGUGAACCACCACAUAGAGAGAGUGUGAUAGUUGAUAGGUCUCGUGAGGCCAUUUGCAUUUCUAACAACUUGACCUCUACCUCUAUUGUGUCUUCUCAUUUGGUGCUAGGUCCCAUUUAUGAUGACGCGCCGAUCCUCGACGACUUCGUCCUCCCUUUGGACAAGACGAUGGCCAUGGUGGAAUAUGAUGCACCCCCCACAUGGUUCCAUCAAGAUGAAGAUGACCACCAUUUGGUCUUUCCCACCUCACCUACACCACUUGAGUGGAAUGAAAAAGGUAACAUAGGUGAAGGUGAUGCUCUAGUCCCACUAGUGGACAUUCUUGACAUUGAUUGCUUGCAUGAUGUUGAUCCACCUAGUACCAUGCUUCAUGCUAGUAUGAUUUCCCCAUGUGAUGAUUUGGCCAUUUAUGAUGAGUAUGAUGAUUCUCAUGUGGAGUCUCUUAGUUGUGAUGUCAUGUUACAUAGGAUUUCUUGUGACAAUUCUUUAGGUCACAUCAUGUUUGAUAAUCCGCUUGACUUGUCGUAUGCUAUGCAUGACAUUCACCAUAUGUCAUAUUUGCAAUCUCAUUGUAGUGACUAUGCAUAUGCCAUUCAAAUUAACCCAAUUUGCACUUAUGGCAUAGAUGACAAGCCCAUGGUUAUUGGGAUUUGUUUUUCUUGUGAUGAUAUUGAUAUGGUCCCUUUGCAUCAUUUAUCUCAUAUGCCAUGUCAUGCCCACCUAGCUUCGGAUAUGCAUUGUUUUGGAUGUUGUCCAUUUUCUCCAUAUGAUGUUUCCAAUCUUGCUCAUGAGGAGACCCCCAUAGUUCCCUCAUACAUGUUAGGAGAUUUUGAUCCAUCCCAUCCAUUGCAUGAUCCCAACAAUUGUGUGCACCAUAUGCUCCCCAUGAAUAAACAUGCUAUUGAUGUGCCAUAUACUUGCAUUCUCAAUUUGUGUCCCCAUCGUGUCAUACAUAAUAACUAUUCUUUCAUGAUGGAUGACAUGUUCUUAUACCAUGCAUCAAAUUUCGUUGAGCGAUGCUUAUCUUGUGCUAACUCACACGUGCACAUACACAUCAUGAUGGAUGAUGUGUACAUUUACCACACACACAAUUUAUUUGGUUUGUGUCUCUUUUGUGUAGGUACCCAGGAAUACUUGUCAACCUCGCAAUCCCACGAGUUGACAAAACGAGCUCUAGAGAGCAACGAUGAUUUGGGAUCCCAUGGAUUGUCUUUCCCACCGCUCUCUUCGCGCAAAGACUUAGCGCAUUUCUUCUACAUGGCCCUCACUUGGCUAUGGGUUGUUUUCCAUUACAUAUUAUAUGCCCAUCUUGCCAUGUUCACUUUGCAUGAUAUGCCCAUUCCCAUGCAUUUGUGACCCAUACUUUGCUUUACACAUGAUGAUUGACUCUCAUACUUUUAUGUGUAUUUGCAAGCUUGGUGGAGAUAUUGCUUGUUGUUUCCCUAUUCCAUUUUUGACCCACCCCUAUGAUGAUACUAUGAUCUUGCUUUGUGUUCGUGCUUGUGAUAUGUCAUGUGCAUUGUCUAUCCCUAUUAUUUGCUCACAUGACAUGAUUGCCAUGAUUUACUCUGGUGUGUUGCAUCUUCGCUCCACUAGUUUGCACCACAUGAUUGAUAUGCUUGCUUGUAUUGCAUCCCCCAUGAUUCAUACUUGCUCAUUUCAUGCGAUUGAUGACAACCAUUUCCAUACUUUGCACGUGAUUGCUAUAGCUUCUUGUCACAUAUCUACAUAUGUUGCCUCUCUCAUGCUAGAUCACUUGCCAUGUAUUUAGUGCAACAAUGCUCUUAUUCUUGCUCAUGAGAUUGCCCCCAUAGCAUUCUCACAUAUGAUUGGAGUUGACAUAAUUCUUGUGAAGCAUGCUUGCCUUCCUUCUUUGCACCAUAUGCCUAGUGCCAUGAAUAUUGCCAUUGUUGCAUCAUAUUGUUCAUGCACUUGUGCUACUAAAGGUUAUGUGCAAGAGAUGAGAACCAUCAUGAUGGAUGAUGUGUUUCUCUACCAUGCGCAUAUACUCUUUGUUUUGUUGUGUGCAUGUGUAGGAUACUUGGACUUCGUCUCGACUUCCACUUCAUGUGAGUUGACCAUUCAAGCUCUUAAGAGCGAGCCUCACACAUUCUACCACUACUCGCUUCUACACCGCAUUUGCUUGCGCUUCGGCAUUGUGAAGAAUGCACAAGGACAUGCCUUCAAGGUGACAUCUUUCUUGAGCAUGGAUAUUGCGGAUCAUACUACUUGUGUAGCUUGCACUGUGAGACUUAUUGGUCAUCUUGGACCACUUGAUUGCGCACUUGCUAGAGAUCUUGCUUUGACUUGCCAUUUUCACAUUCCCAUGCAUCAUGAUAUAUAUGCCUUGUGUGUUGCAUCCAAUUCUUGGAUUACUAUCACAACCUAGCUAGUCCAUGCAUUAGAGUGUUGCAUCAUGUCUACCUUUUAUCAGAAACUUGAAUUGGGGAAGACAGAACCCCCCAGAACCCCUCUGAAUUCAACUAGUGCUUACUAAAAAUAUUUUCAAUGAACCUGAAAUGCCCUUCUAAAAAGUUCACCCUCUUUGUCUUGGGUUAGAACCUCUGGCAAAAUUGGUGCACAAUUUUCUAGGUCAACAAAAGGCCAUUGAAUUAAAUCAUAUCUACUUUGAGUUUGGGCAUUUAAACUAUAUAAAAUAUUUCAAAUGCUCAAAUAACUCCAAACUAAAAUGUUCCAUACUGGAUAUAUUCCAACUAGGGACCAUGUGCAGUUUGGUGAUUUUUGGAGUUGCCUAAGUAUUUUUAGAAAUGCAACAAACUUACAGAAACAAUUAAAAACAGAAACAAAUGGGAAAAACCCUUACCUGGCCGAACCAAGCCCCAGCCCAGCUGGCCGGCCCAGCACUGUGCUGGCCCAUGCCAGCCAGCUGCUUCGCCGUCGCCACGCAGGCACAGAGCUGACGCCGGCAAGCGUGAGCUCGCAACGGCGCCAGCUGCUUGCCGCCCGCGCCCCCGAGCACCUGGGUGAGCUCCACGUCGCCGCCCCGACCCCGUGGACACCUCAUUCGCCCCCUGCCUCUCUCCCUCGCUCUCCCGCACCAUGGCCGACGCACCCGCCGCCGCACCCCCGACGUAGUCGCGCCCUCCGUCGUCCUCGUGCUGCACCACCGUGUCCCUUCGCUCCGCCGUCAUCGACUACAUCGAGUAGGCCGAGCCCCGAGCGCUCGCUGGCCCUGUUUCAUCUUCUUCGAGCUCGUCUUCACCGAGCACCGCCACAGAUCCCCUUCGCCGUCGCCGCCGUACCAGCUCGUCCCCGACCUUGCCGACCACUCCGUUGUGACCGCCGUGAGCUCAGCCACCUCCCCAUCCUCCCCGUUUGCCUUCUCGUGCACCGUAGCAACCGCAUGGAGCUUCAUCGCACGCACCACCGACGAGCUCGUCGCCGACGUGCCUCCGGCCAUCCACCGUCCACACCACGGUGUCUAACAUGCUCACCGCAUCGUGUAGAGUCUAACGCCCCACUCCACGCGCCUCGCCGUGCCCCGUAGCCAUGGGUCCAUUUUCAUCCGACUCCGGCGACCGCCGUGGUCGUCGCCGGCGACGUUCCUGGCCACCUCGACCUCAACCACCACCACCAAACGCCGCGACUUGUUCCCGGCUACACGUAGAUGGUCUCCGUCGUCCAUUUGGUCGCCAGAACAUGCUAACCCACUUCCUCCGCCGCGUCUGGCCUCGCCGGCGGCUAGACACCGGCAUGUUUGACCCGUUGACAUUCACUGGGUGGGCCAGGUUGACUCCCCUGAGUCUAUGACAAGUGCCCCCCCCUCUGCUAAUUAACCUAGUUUAGCUCUUACUAAAAUCAGUUAGUUUAAAUAAGUGCUGACAUGCGGGACCCACUGGUCAGUUUGACCUGAACGACCCCUUUGACCACUGACGUCACCCUGAUGCACUGCUGACGCAAUAACCAAUUUCUGGAUUUAUUGUUAUAUAGGAAAUUCCAGAAAUUGUUGCAAACUUCAAAAAUUCAUAGAAAUUAAUCUGUAACUCCAAAUGCAAAGAUUUAUAUAUGAAUUUUGAUCAGAAAAAUUCAAUCUAUCCAUUGGUAAUGGUUUCAUGCAUGUCAGAACAAGUUAACCUUGCUGUUUAAUCAAAACAAGUUAAUGCACUAAUAUGACUAUGUUAAAUGAACUACCAUUUGCAUCUUUGAUUCAAAUGAGUUCAUACCUUUCUGUUCUAGCUUGCAUUAGGCCAGGACACAUUCAUGUUGCCAUGUCAUAGCAUGCAUCAUAUUGUUGUAUAUCGUCAUGUGUUGUUCAUGUUCGGUGUGUUUUCGUGAUAGGUUCUGCCUCCGAGGAUAACCCCGAAUAUCCGUCUGAAGGGCUGUAUCCUACUACCACUACAUCAGGCAAGCAACCCAUUGAUCAUUCCGAUACAAACCCAUGUUCUUGCCUCUGCUCUUGUUUACUGCAUUAAGACAAUGCGAUUCAAACUUUUGUGUGUUGUGGUAGUUGAACCCACUUCCUUUGCAUGACCUGUCAUUGCCACAGUAACUAGAUGAAACUCAGUAGCAUGUGUAGGAGUUGAUUGAGCCAUAUCUGUGUUACCUACCAUGCUAUGCUUGCUAUGCUUAGAGUUGUGUCAGGUCUGGCUCAUUGGGAUGAUGAACUAGAGUGAAAGGUUGUGUCGGUAAUGAAGUGUUGAACACGAUUUGGUAAAGGUAUCGAUGAGAGGCCAUGUAGGAGUACAUGGUGGGUUGUUUCAUUGAGGCCGUCCUUAAGCACUGAGAUCUGUGUGUGUGAUUUAAGAUUCAGCUACUACCACGCAUUGGGCCCGAAACCAAUGGACCCUCUCGACUUAUUAACCACUCUUGUCCUCUGUCCGGGAGUUGCAAGUAGUUUUUGGUGUUUGUAGCAUGAUGGGGGCCGCACGCAGUGCUGACCUUAGGGGUGGGUUGGGUUGCGGUAGGCAUGUGGCACGGUGUAUCGAUUCGCCCGUUUGGUGUCUCGGGAACCAUGUUCACAUCAUUCGGGGCCGUUAGUGGAAACCUCGGCCGGACUCCCUGCGGAUGGAACCCGAAUAGGCGAUAAACCUGGACUAGGGACUCGUGUGUUUAGUCAGGCCGUGGCCGACACCCUCGCUGGGCUUCCGCUUGAGGCUUGCCGAGUACACGUCAUGUAGCGGUGAUAAGUGGUGAGAGCGUGUGUGAAGAAGUACACCCCUGCAGGGUAUAAAACUAUUCGAAUAGCCGCGUCCGCGGUAAAGGACUACUUGGUCACCUAUGCAGUUCAUAGACAAGUAAAUGGAUACUUCUAAAAGCCUCAAGUUAAGUGUGAGUACCGAGGAUGGCCCUCUCGUAGGUUGACAAGAGAGGAUCCUCGGUGGAGUAUUGUGUUGGUGAGUAGUGGACUCGUGUGCGACAAAUGUUUUGCAAGUUGUGUCUAUCGUAGAAUAGCUUAGCCAAGAGUCAAAGCUGGCUUGCUGCAAUAACUCCACUACCUUCUUGAGAAUGUGCAUGUAUGAUAGGAUUCUGUUGUAAGACUUGCUGAGUACCUCUGUACUCAUGUUUGCUUAAAUGUUUUCAGACGACAACACCAACCCCUCCGAUGGGUUCUACGUAGACCUCGACGUUGACGAGUGACUAACCACCCAAGUGGUGAUCCGAGACUUGUGAAGGGCCGAUGUAGAUAGAAAGGCUUCGUCAAGCCCUCUUUCUUUCUAGUGUCUGUACUCAGACUAGUUGCUUCCGCAUGUGCUUGUAUGCUUGUAUGACUUGAGUCUCAGGUCAUGUGACCCCUAUCUGUAUGAACAUGUUAUGUAUGGCUCCUUGGAGCCACUUAAAUAAAGUACUUUGAGUUGUAGAGUUUUGUUGUGAUGCCAUGUUGUAUGUACUCAUAUCGGGCAUAUUGUGUGUAUGUUUGAAAUGCUUGGUAUGAGUGGGAUCCGACAAUCUAGUUGUUUAUCCUUGGCAGCCUCUCAUAUGGGGAAAUGUAGUCUAGUGCUUCCUGAGCGAUAGUAGUCCGCUACAGCCCGGUUCACCGGAGUCCUGCUAGCCCAGUACUACAGCUCUGGACACUUGACUGGACAGCAUGUGUUUCACUUCGUUCCUGUGUCUGUCCCUUUGCGGAAAUGUCACGCGGUGGCAUUCGGAGUCCUGCCUAGCCUGCUACAGCCCGGGUUACUGUUGGGAAACGUAGUAAUUUCAAAAUUUUCCUACGCACACACAAGAUCAUGGUGAUGGCAUAGCAACGAGAGGGGAGAGUGUUCGUCCACGUACCCUCGUAGACCGUAAGCGGAAGCGUUAGCACAACGCGGUUGAUGUAGUCGUACGUCUUCACGAUCCGACUAAUCCAAGCACUGAACGUACGUGGCCUCCGAGUUCAGCACACGUUCAGCUCGAUGAUGAUCUCCGGCCUCCAAUCCAGCGAAGCUCCGGAGAUGAGUUCCGUCAGCACGACAGCAUGGUGACGAUGAUGAUGUUCUACCUGCGCAGGGCUUCGCCUAAAAUCCGCGACGAUAUGACUGAGGUGGAAUAUGGUGGAGGGGGGCACCGCACACGGCUAAGGAACGAUCCAUAGAUCAACUUGUGUGUCUAUGGGGUGCCCCCCCCCCCCCGCCCCUGUAUAUAAAGGAGAAAGGGGGAGGCCGGCCGGCCCCUUGGGCGCGCCAAGGGAGGAGGAAUNNNNNNNNNNNNNNNNNNNNNNNNNNNNNNNNNNNNNNNNNNNNNNNNNNNNNNNNNNNNNNNNNNNNNNNNNNNNNNNNNNNNNNNNNNNNNNNNNNNNNNNNNNNNNNNNNNNNNNNNNNNNNNNNNNNNNNNNNNNNNNNNNNNNNNNNNNNNNNNNNNNNNNNNNNNNNNNNNNNNNNNNNNNNNNNNNNNNNNNNNNNNNNNNNNNNNNNNNNNNNNNNNNNNNNNNNNNNNNNNNNNNNNNNNNNNNNNNNNNNNNNNNNNNNNNNNNNNNNNNNNNNNNNNNNNNNNNNNNNNNNNNNNNNNNNNNNNNNNNNNNNNNNNNNNNNNNNNNNNNNNNNNNNNNNNNNNNNNNUCCGGUUUUCUCCGAAAUCACCCGGAACAAUUUCGGUGUCCGAAUAUAGUCGUCCAAUAUAUCAAUCUUUAUGACUCGACCAUUUCGAGAUUCCUCGUCAUGUCCGUGAUGACAUCCGGGACUCCGAACAAACUUCGGUACAUCAAAACUUAUAAACUCAUAAUAAAACUGUCAUCGUAACGUUAAGCGUGCGGACCCUACGGGUUCGAGAACUAUGUAGACAUGACCUAGAACCAUUCUUGGUCAAUAACCAAUAGCGGGACCUAGAUGCCCAUAUUGGUUCCUACAUAUUCUACGAAGAUCUUUAUCGGUCAAACCGCAUAACAACAUACGUUGUUCCCUUUGUCAUCGAUAUGUUACUUGCCCGAGAUUUGAUCGUCGGUAUCCAAUACCUAGUGCAAUCUCGUUACUGGCAAGUCUCUUUACUCGUUCCGUAAUACAUCAUCUCAUAACUAACUUAUUAGUUACAAUGCUUGCAAGGCUUAGGUGAUGAGUAUUACCAAGAGGACCCAGAGAUACCUCUCCGACAAUCGGAGUGACAAAACCUAAUCCCGAAUUAUGCCAACUCAACAUGUACCUUCGGAAACACCUAUAGAGCACCUUUAUAAUCACCCAGUUACGUUGUGACGUUUGGUAGCACACAAAGUGUUCUUCCGGUAAACGGGAGUUGCACAAUCUCAUAGUUGCAGGAACUUGUAUAAGUCAUGAAGAAAGCAAUAGCAGUAUACUAAACGAUCAAGUGCUAGGCUAACGGAAUGGGUCAUGUCAAUCACAUCAUUCUCCUAAUGAUGUGAUCCCGUCAAUCAAAUGACAACUCUUUUGUCCAUGGUUAGGAAACAUAACCAUCUUUGAUAAACGAGCUAGUCAAGUAGAGGCAUACUAGUGACACUAUGUUUGUCUAUGUAUUCACACAUGUAUCAUGUUUCCGGUUAAUAUAAUUCUAGCAUGAAUAAUAAACAUUUAUCAUGAUAUGAGGAAAUAAAUAAUAACUUUAUUAUUGCCUCUAUGGCAUAUUUCCUUCAGUCUCCCACUUGCACUAGAGUCAAUAAUCUAGAUUACAUGGUAAUGAUUUUGACACCCAUGGAGUCUUGGUGCUGAUCAUGUUUUGCUCGUGAGAGAGGCUUAGUCAACGGGUCUGCAACAUUCAGAUCCGUAUGUAUCUUGCAAAUCUCUAUGUCUCCCACUUGGACUUGGUCCCGAAUGGAAUUGAAGCGUCUCUUGAUGUGUUUGGUCCUCUUGUGAAAUUUGGAUUCCUUUGCCAAGGCAAUUGCACCAGUAUUGUCACAGAAGAUGUUCAUUGGUCCCGAUGCACUAGGUAUGACACCUAGAUCGGAAAUGAGAUCCUUCAUCCAGACUCCUUCAUUUGCUGCUUCUGAAGCAGCUAUGUACUCCGCUUCACAUGUAGAUCCCGCCACGAUGCUUUGUUUAGAACUGCACCAACUUACAGCUCCACCGUUUAAUAAAAACACGUAUCUGGUUUGCGAUUUAGAAUCGUCCGGAUCAGUGUCAAAGCUUGCAUCGACGUAACCGUUUACGACUAGCUCUUUGUCACCUCCAUAUAUGAGAAACAUAUCCUUAGUCCUUUUCAGGUAUUUCAGGAUGUUCUUGACCGCUGUCCAGUGAUCCACUCCUGGAUUACUUUGGUACCUUCCUGCCAAGCUUAUUGCUAAGCAUACGUCAGGCCUGGUACACAGCAUUGCAUACAUGAUAGAGCCUAUGGCUGAAGCAUAGGGAACAUUUUUCAUUUUCUCUCUAUCUUCUGCUGUGGUCGGGCAUUGAGUUUGACUCAACUUCACACCUUGUAGCACAGGUAAGAAUCCUUUCUUUGCCUGAUCCAUUUUGAACUUUUUCAAAAAAAAUUCAAGGUAUGUGCUUUGUGAAAGUCCUAUUAAGCGUCUUGAUCUAUCUCUAUAGAUCUUGAUGAGUAAUAUGUAAGCAGCUUCACCGAGGUCUUUCAUUGAAAAACUUUUAUUCAAGUAUCCCUUUAUGCUAUGCAGAAAUUCUAUAUCAUUUCCAAUUAAUAAUAUGGCAUCUACAUAUAAAAUUAGAAAUGCUACAGAGCUCCCACUCACUUUCUUGUAAAUACAGGCUUCUCCAAAUGUCUGUAUAAAACCAUAUGCUUUGAUCACACUAUCAAAGCGUUUAUUCCAACUCCGAAAUGCUUGCACCAGUCCAUAAAUGGAACGCUGGAGCUUGCAUACUUUGUCAGCACCUUUUGGAUCAACAAAACCUUCCGGCUGCAUCAUAUACAACUCUUCUUCUAGAAAUCCAUUCAAGAAUGCAGUCUUGACAUCCAUAUGCCAAAUUUCAUAAUCAUGAAAUGCAGCAAUAGCUAACAUGAUUCGGACAGACUUAAGCAUCGCUACGGGUGAGAAAGUCUCAUCGUAGUCAACCCCUUGAACUUGUCGAAAACCUUUUGCAACAAGUCGAGCUUUAUAGACAGUUACAUUACCAUCAGCGUCAGUCUUCUUCUUAAAGAUCCAUUUAUUCUCAAUGGCUUGCCAAUCAUCGGGCAAGUCAACCAAAGUCCAUACUUUGUUUUCAUACAUGGAUCCCAUCUCAGAUUUCAUGGCUUCUAGCCAUUUUGCGGAAUCUGGGCUCAUCAUCGCUUCCUCAUAGUUCGUAGGUUCACCAUGGUCAAGUAACAUGACUUCCAGAAUAGGAUUACCAUACAACUCUAGUGCGGAUCUUACUCUGGUAGACCUACGAGGUUCAGUAGAAACUUGAACUCCUCACUAAUUGGUGUAGUUGUCACAGGAACCGGUUCUCGUGAUGAACUACUUUCCAAUAAGGGAGUAGAUACAGUUAUCUCAUCAAGUUCUACUUUCCUCCCACUCACUUCUUUCGAGAGAAACUCCUUCUCUAGAAAGGAUCCAUUCUUAGCAACGAAUGUCUUGCCUUCAGAUCUGUGAUAGAAGGUGUACCCAACAGUCUCUUUUGGGUAUCCUAUGAAAACACAUUUCUCCGAUUUGGGUUCGAGCUUAUCUGGUUGAAGUUUCUUCACAUAAGCAUCGCAGCCCCAAACUUUAAGAAACGACAACUUUGGUUUCUUGCCAAACCACAGUUCAUAAGGCGUCGUCUCAACGGAUUUUGAUGGUGCCCUAUUUAACGUGAAUGCGGCCGUCUCUAAAGCAUAACCCCAAAACGAUAGCAGUAAAUCAGUAAGAGACAUCAUAGAUCGCACCAUAUCAAGUAAAGUACGAUUAUGACGUUCGGACACACCAUUUCGUUGUGGUGUUCCGGGUGGCGUGAGUUGCGAAACUAUUCCACAUUGUUUCAAGUGUAGGCCAAACUCGUAACUCAAAUAUUCUCCUCCACGAUCAGAUCGUAGAAACUUUAUUUUCUUGUUACGAUGAUUUUCCACUUCACUCUGAAAUUCUUUGAACUUUUCAAAUGUUUCAGACUUGUGUUUCAUCAAGUAGAUAUACCCAUAUCUGCUCAAAUCAUCUGUGAAGGUGAGAAAAUAACGAUACCCGCCGCGAGCCUCAACAUUCAUUGGGCCACAAACAUCAGUAUGUAUGAUUUCCAACAAAUUAGUUGCUCGCUCCAUAGUUCCGGAGAAUGGCGUUUUAGUCAUCUUGCCCAUAAGGCACAGUUCGCAAGUACCAAGUGAUUCAUAAUCAAGUGAUUCCAAAAGUCCAUCAGUAUGGAGUUUCUUCAUGCGUUUUACACCGAUAUGACCCAAAAGGCAGUGCCACAAGUAAGUUGCACUAUCGUUAUCAACUCUGCAUCUUUUGGUUUCAACACUAUGAACAUGUGUAUCACUACUAUCGAGAUUUAAUAAAAAUAAACCACUCUUCAAGGGUGCAUGACCAUAAAAGAUAUUACUCAUAUAAAUAGAACAACCAUUAUUCUUUGAUUUAAAUGAAUAACCGUCUCGCAUCAAACAAGAUCCAGAUAUAAUGUUCAUGCUUAACGCUGGCACCAAAUAACAAUUAUUCAGGUCUAAAACUAAUCCCGAAGGUAGAUGUAGAGGUAGCGUGCCGACCGCGAUCACAUCGACUUUGGAACCGUUUCCCACGCGCAUCGUCACCUCGUCCUUGGCCAGUGCUCGCUUAUUCCGUAGUCCCUAUUUCGAGUUGCAAAUAUUAGCAACAGAACCAGUAUCAAAUUCCCAGGUGCUACUACGAGCUCUAGUUAGGUACACAUCAAUAACAUGUAUAUCACAUGUAGCUUUGUUUACUUUGCCAUCCUUCUUAUCCGCCAAAUACUUGGGGCAGUUCCGCUUCCAGUGACCAGUCUGCUUGCAGUAGAAGCACUCAGUUUCAGGCUUAGGUCCAGACUUGGGUUUCUUCUCUUGAGCAGCAACUUGCUUGCUGUUCUUCUUGAAGUUCCCCUUCUUCUUCCCUUUGCCCUUUUUCUUGAAACUAGUGGUCUUGUUGACCAUCAACACUUGAUGCUCCUUCUUGAUUUCUACCUCCGCAGCUUUUAGCAUUGCGAAGAGCUCGGGAAUAGUCUUGUUCAUCCCUUGCAUAUUAUAGUUCAUCACAAAGCUCUUGUAUCUUGGUGGCAGUGAUUGGAGAACUCUGUCAAUGACGCUAUCAUCCGGAAGAUUAACUCCCAGUUGAAUCAAGUGAUUAUUAUACCCAGACAUUUUGAGUAUAUGCUCACUGACAGAACUAUUCUCCUCCAUCUUGCAGCUGUAGAACUUAUUGGAGACUUCAUAUCUCUCAAUCCGGGCAUUUGCUUGAAAUAUUAACUUCAACUCCUGGAACAUCUCAUAUGCUCCAUGACGUUCAAAACGUCGUUGAAGGCCCGGUUCUAAGCCGUAAAGCAUGGCACACUGAACUAUAGAGUAGUCAUCAGCUUUGCUCUGCCAGACGUUCUUAACGUCGUCAGUUGCAUCAGCAGCAAGCCUGGCACCCAGCGGUGCUUCCAGGACGUAACUUUUCUGUGCAGCAAUGAGGAUAAUCCUCAGGUUACGGACCCAGUCCGUGUAAUUGCUACCAUCAUCUUUCAACUUUUCUUUCUCAAGGAACGCAUUAAAAUUCAACGGAACAACAGCACGAGCCAUCUAUCUACAAACAAACAUAGACAAGCAAAAUACUAUCAGGUACUAAGUUCAUGAUAAAUUUUAAGUUCAAUUAAUCAUAUUACUUAAGAACUCCCACUUAGACAGACAUCUCUCUAGUCAUCUAAGUGAUUACGUGAUCCAAAUCAACUAAACCAUAACCGAUCAUCAUGUGAGAUGGAGUAGUUUUCACUGGUGAACAUCACUAUGUUGAUCAUAUCUACUAUAUGAUUCAUGCUCGACCUUUCGGUCUCCGUGUUCCGAGGCCAUAUCUGCAUAUGCUAGGCUCGUCAAGUUUAACCUGAGUAUUCUGCGUGUGCAAAACUGGCUUGUACCCGUUGUAGAUGGACGUAGAGCUUAUCACACCCUAUCAUCACGUGGUGUCUGGGCACGACAAACUUUGGCAAUGGUGCAUACUCAGGGAGAACACUUCUUGAUAAUUUUUGUGAGAGAUCAUCUUAAAAUGCUACCGUCAAUCAAAGCAAGAUAAGAUGCAUAAAGGAUAAACAUCACAUGCAAUCAAUAUAAGUGAUAUGAUAUGGCCCUCAUCAUCUUGUGCUUGUGAUCUCCAUCUUUGAAGCACCAUCGUGAUCACCAUCGUCACCGGCGCGACACCUUGAUCUCCAUCGUAGCAUCGUUGUCGUUACGCCAUCUAUUGCUUCUACGACUAUCUAUACCGCUUAGUGAUAAAGUAAAGCAAUUACAGGGUGUUUGCAUUUCAUACAAUAAAGCGACAACCAUAUGGCUCCUGCCAGUUGCCGAUAACUUCGGUUACAAAACAUGAUCAUCUCAUACAAUAAAAUAUAUCAUCACGUCUUGACCAUAUCACAUCACAACAUGCCCUGAAAAACAAGUUAGACGUCCUCUACUUUGUUGUUGCAAGUUUUACGUGGCUGCUAUGGGCUUAGCAAGAACUGUUCUUACCUACGCAUCAAAACCACAACGAUAGUUCGUCAAGUUGGUGCUGUUUUAACCUUCGCAAGGACCGGGCGUAGCCACACUCGAUUCAGCUAAAGUGAGAGAGACAGACACCCGCCAGCCACCUUUAAGCACGAGUGCUCGUAACGGUGAAACCAGUCUCACGUAAGCGUACGCGUAAUGUCGGUCCGGGCCGCUUCAUCUCACAAUACCGCCGAACCAAAGUAUGAAAUGCUGGUAAGCAGUAUGACUUGUAUCGCCCACAACUCACUUGUGUUCUACUCGUGCAUAUAACAUCAACGCAUAAAACCUAGGCUCGGAUGCCACUGUUGGGAAACGUAGUAAUUUCAAAAUUUUCCUACGCACACGCAAGAUCAUGGUGAUGGCAUAGCAACGAGAGAGGAGAGUGUUCGUCCAUGUACCCUCGUAGACCGUAAGCGGAAGCGUUAGCACAACGCGGUUGAUGUAGUUGUACGUCUUCACGAUCCGACCGAUCCAAGCACCGAACGUACGGGGCCUCCGAGUUCAGCACACGUUCAGCUCGAUGACGAUCUCCGGCCUCCGAUCCAGUGAAGCUCCGGAGAUGAGUUCCGUCAGCACGACGGCGUGGUGACGAUGAUGAUGUUCUACCGGCACAGGGCUUCGCCUAAACUCCGCGACAAUAUGACCGAGGUGGAAUAUGGUGGAGGGGGGGCACCGCACACGGCUAAGGAACGAUCCGUAGAUCAACUUGUGUGUCUAUGGGGUGCCCCCCGCCCCUGUAUAUAAAGGAGCAAGGGGGAGAGGCCGGCCGGCCCCUUGGGCGCGCCAAGGGAGGAGGAAUCCUCCUCCUAGUAGGAGUAGGACUCCUCCUUUCCUACUCCUACUAGGAGGGGGAAGGAAGGAGGAGAGGGGGAAGGAAAGGGGGGGCGCCGCCCCCCUCGUAGUCCAAUUCGGACCAGAGGGGGGGAGGGGGCGUGCGGCCCAUGCUGGCCGCCCCUCUCUCCUUUCCCCUAAGGCCCAUAAGGCCCAAUACUCUCCCGGGGGGUUCCGGUAACCCCCGGCACUCCGGUUUUCUCCGAAAUCACCCGGAACAAUUCCGGUGUCCGAAUAUAGUCGUCCAAUAUAUCAAUCUUUAUGUCUCGACCAUUUCGAGAUUCCUCGUCAUGUCCGUGAUGACAUCCGGGACUCCGAACAAACUUCGGUACAUCAAAAGAUAUAAACUCAUAAUAAAACUGUCAUCGUAACGUUAAGCGUGCGGACCCUACAGGUUCGAGAACUAUGUAGACAUGACCUAGAACCAUUCUCGGUCAAUAACCAAUAGCGGGACCUGGAUGCCCAUAUUGGUUCCUACAUAUUCUACGAAGAUCUUUAUCGGUCAAACCGCAUAACAACAUACGUUGUUCCCUUUGUCAUGGGUACGUUACUUGCCCGAGAUUUGAUCGUCGGUAUCCAAUACCUAGUUCAAUCUCGUUACUGGCAAGUCUCUUUACUCGUUCCGUAAUAUAUCAUCUCAUAACUAACUUAUUAGUUACAAUGCUUGCAAGGCUUAGGUGAUGAGUAUUACCGAGAGGGCCCAGAGAUACCUCUCCGACAAUCGGAGUGACAAAACCUAAUCUCGAAUUAUGCCAACUCAACAUGUACCUUCGGAAACACCUGUAGAGCACCUUUAUAAUCACCCAGUUACGUUGUGACGUUUGGUAGCACACAAAGUGUUCUUCCGGUAAACGGGAGUUGCACAAUCUCAUAGUUGCAGGAACUUGUAUAAGUCAUGAAGAAAGCAAUAGCAGUAUACUAAACGAUCAAGUGCUAGGCUAACGGAAUGGGUCAUGUCAAUCACAUCAUUCUCCUAAUGAUGUGAUCCCGUCAAUCAAAUGACAACUCUUUUGUCCAUGGUUAGGAAACAUAACCAUCUUUGAUAAACGAGCUAGUCAAGUAGAGGCAUACUACUGACACUAUGUUUGUCUAUGUAUUCACACAUGUAUCAUGUUUCCGGUUAAUAUAAUUCUAGCAUGAAUAAUAAACAUUUAUCAUGAUAUGAGGAAAUAAAUAAUAACUUUAUUAUUGCCUCUAGGGCAUAUUUCCUUCAGUUACCGGAGUCCUGUUAGCCCAGUGUUACAGCCCGGAUGUAUACGUUGAUGACCGACAUGCUCGAUGUGACUCAUGUAUGCCUGUCCCCAUAGGUUAGCGCCGCUUUGGGUUCAUGACUAGCCAUGUCAGCCCGGGUUCUCUGUCAUAUGGAUGCUAGCGACACUAUCAUAUACGUGAGCCAAAAGGCGCAAACAGUCCCGGCCAUGGUAAGGCGACACCCGUGGGAUUACCGUGCGUGAGGCCGCAAAGUGAUAUGAGGUGUUACCGGCUAGAUCAAUGUGACUUGGAAUCAUGGUCCAGACAGCAUUGGCAUCAGAGCCGGACUGCCUGUAGGUUCCUAAGCCAAACUGGUCGAUGUCGAGUCUAGAAAUGCUUUAGUUAUAUGUAGGGGAAUUUAUUGUGGGAGGAAACGUAAGGCUCUUUUUACCCCUUUACCUUAUGCCCUCUGAUCUGUGUCAUCCUCUUCUCAUUCUACGUGGGUUAAGGACUAGGCUCUCUUCUCUCUAUCAGGUUCACGUGUUACUAAUCCGUAGUAACUUAUAGGAUUGUUGGUUACCAGUCUCAGUACAGUUCCUACUACUUUAGUAUGUUAUCAGUUGAACCUGAACCUUGAUAUGAUGUUGUUGAGUGGUUUUGCAAUCCGUUGUGAAUGUCUCAAAUCUGCUCCUGAGCAUUUACAGCUGUUAUGUUGUCCAAUUUUCCCUAGGAAUUCUAAUGUCUUUGCAUUGUGGUUGUGCUUUCAGAUGGCCACUCGCGCUCAGAACCAAGUGGUUCGCCUGACGCGGUGCCUCAAUGUGCCCGGUCAUACUGCUAUGUUAGUCCGGGUCAUGAUCGAGACAGGUUACCGUUGGUAUCCCGAAUACAUUGCCGAAGAGCAAUUCCAAGACUUUAAUCAAAGCCAAUACUUCUGCACUGUCAGGAUAUUUCCUUCAUAUCCUGGAUCCACCGAGCCCCUUCACUGCUCCUAUGGACUCGGGGUCACCAUUGAGAUGGCUGUACAGGAUGCGGCCUAUUCUAUGAUGACCAUCAUGCGAGUCAGGACUGGUCUGCUUCGGAACACCGACUUCCGUUAUAUGCCAGCAUCGCUCCCAGGAGCGCAAGGGUAUCUCCAGGCUAUCUAUGCUGAUUCCACCCAUGAGGACUCACUAACUCGCACCAUUGCGGAGAUGCUCGAGGAUAAGGACCGAGAGAAUCAGGCCUUGAGGUUGGAGCUUUUCAACACCUGCGCCGAUCAUUGGGCCACUUUGACUCGGUUUGCACCGGCUGUGCAAGCUGGAUGUAUGGAUAUGAGGGAUCUGUUUCCUGUGAGAUCUGCUCUGCCAGACAUGGUGGAUUGGCGUGAUGUGGGAGGCAUCAUCCCACCCCGUGGUCCCCGUAGGCCAUCGUUUGUUGGUCCAAGACCUCAUCCUAGCCCCUAUGGUCCACAGGCUCCUCAGGACCGUCUGUUCCCGGAUGAUCACGUUGAGCUUCCAAGCUAUGGAGGGGACUUCUAUGAGGACUACUACGGAGCUGUCUGAGUUAGUAGUAGUAUCUUUAGUAUUGUAAUAGUUGUAAUUCCAUCGUCCUGCGUGACCUGUGGAAUAUGACUUAGUGUGUAUCAGUUCCGGAGGUGUAGAAAAAUAAUGUAUCGGAGCUUGGAAUGCCUCCGAUGAGAUGUAACUUCUUCCACCGUAGUUGUACUAUAGUCGGGCUUGUACUAAACUAUGUAUGGUGUGUAUGACUGUUGGUGCAUAUAUGGCAGUUUCUGUAUUACCAUGUCAUACAGAUGAACAUCUCUGCAUUCCUUGUUAUCCAUUACAUUCUGCACUUCCUUGUCCAGAUUUGCCAUCCUUGUCUAAAGCGAUGUCUUGUUUUCCUAGGAUGGUCAACACCCGUAACAACCCUGCUACUCCGGAGCAGGGUGAAGCCAGUGCAGCUAGGAAUGAAAAUCUGCCUCAACCACCUUCUCUGGUCGAAGUUAUGCUGGAGGCAGAGCGAAAUAAGCGUGAGACCAAUCGCUUGCUGGAGCGGAUUGAGCAGAAUACCGCACGCCAGCCGAGGAACGACCUGGUGUCACUUAAUGACUUUGUCAAGCUGUAUCCACCGAAGUUUAAACAUUCCGUCGAGCCCCUUGAUGCGGAUGAAUGGCUUCGCAGCAUUACCCACAAGCUACGUUCUGUCAAUGUGGCCGAAGCUGAUAAGGUUAACUUUGCUACCUAUCACCUCGAAGGCCCUGCUAGCCUUUGGUGGGAAAACUUUGAGGCUAUGCGCCCGGUCGGCCAAAUUACUACUUGGGCUGAAUUCAGUAUGGAGCAUCACAUUCCGGAAGGUCUUAUGGAUCGCAAGCGUGAAGAGUUCUGCAACUUCACCCAGGGUAGACUGACUGUGGAUGCAUACAGUCGCGAGUUUGGAUAUCUAGCACGAUAUGCUCCUAAAGAGGUAUCCACCGACGCCAAGAAGCAGGCAAGGUUCCGCAAGGGACUUAGCCCCGAGCUUCGUCGUGAUCUUCGUCUGCACGAGUGCACCUCCUUCCAGAAGUUAGUCAACAAGGCCAUCAGUGCUGAGACAGGGCAGUCGGACUUUGAAGCUUCACGCAAGCACUCCCGUGACUUUGGACUUCAUCCGGCUGUGCAUCUCAGAAGCGCCGGGUCUGGAUUCCAAGCACUGCUCUGCCACCCAGGUUCACCCCGAGGCCAUCCUUUGACGCGCCUCGCCCCAACCAAUAGUAUACACCGCCCAAGGCCUAUGGUGGCCCCACUGCUAAUGCUACUCCAUGCCCCAAUGUGAUAACUUGUUUCAAGUGUGGGGAGACGGGUCACUACAUUCGUGAGUGUCCCCAAAACAACCCCAACCAGAUUGGAAAGUCUGUUGGCCGUGGCAAGCCAGCAGGAAAGGUGCUCUACGCCAAGCCAGCCACCACUGCCCGUGGCCAUGUCAACUAUGUCUCAGCAGAGGAGACUCAUGAGGAUCCCAACGUCGUUCUCGGUACGCUUCUUGUUAAUUGCCACCCGGCAACCAUUCUCUUUGAUACUGGAGCAUCUCAUUCAUUUAUAUCUGAAAGCUAUGCUCGAUUGCACAACACCACAUUUUGUGACAUGCCCACCUCCAUGGUAAUUCAAACCCCUGGUUCUAAGUGGCAAACCUCUAAAAUCAGCCAUGGAAAUGAAAUCCUUGUCGACAGAUUAGUCUUCCUUGCAUCACUAAUAGCUCUCAAGUCCUCGGACAUAAACAUCAUCUUGGGUAUGGACUGGAUGUCAGCCCAUUACGCUAAGAUCGAUUGCUCCACUAGAACUGUUCAACUCACCCACCCUUCGGGCAAGACAGCCAAUGUUUUGACCCGAGUGUCUAAGCGUCAGCUUUACUCUUUAAAUGCCAACCCCCUUCCAGACCUUGAAGAUAUUCCGGUAGUCCGUGACUUCCCGGAUGUCUUUCCAGAGGAACUGUCAGGUGUUCCACCUAACAGAGAUGUCAAGUUCGUGAUAGACCUUGUUCCAGGAACCAUGCCAACAUCUAGGAGACCUUAUAAGAUGGCACCCCUAGAACUAGCUGAGCUUAAGAAACAACUCGAUGAGUCCUUGCAAAAGGGUUUCAUCCAUCCUAGCUCUUCUCCAUGGGCUUGCCCCGUCCUUUUCGUCAAGAAGAAGGAUGGAACGGAUCGGAUGGUUGUAGAUUACCGGCCAGUCAACUUGGUCACUAUCAAGAACAAGUAUCCGCUCCCCAAGAUCAACGACCUGUAUGAUCAGCUCGCUGGAUCCUCAGUCUUUUCUAAAAUGGAUUUGAGGUUGGGCUACCAUCAAAUCAAAAUUAAGAACGGGGACAUUCCUAAAACGGCCUUUGUUACUCGAUAUGGCCAAUACGAGUACACCGUCAUGUCCUUCGGUCUAACCAAUGCCCCAGCCACCUUCUCUCGGUUAUUGAACUCGAUCUUCAUGGAGUAUUUUGAUAAAUUCGUCGUGGUUUACCUUGAUGAUAUACUCAUCUACUCCAAGAAUGAAGAAGAACAUGCCGAACAUCUAAGGCUAGUGUUGAUGAAACUUUGAGAGCAUUGUCUUUAUGCCAAAUUCUCUAGGUGUGAGUUUUGGUUGCCAGAAGUAACCUAUCUAGGACAUGUAAUCUCUGGUAAGGGCAUUGCUGUCAAUCCCAAGCGAGUUCAAGCCAUCCUUGACUGGACUCCACCUGAAACGGUCAAGCAAGUUCAGAGUUUUGUUGGUUUAGCGAGCUAUUGCCGCUGCUUCAUCGAGAAUUUCUCCAAGGUUGCUAAGCCUCUAACCGAACUCCUCAAGAAAGAUAAAAAGUUCGAAUGGACGCCAUAGUGCGAGUUCAGUUUUCAGGAACUGAAAAGACGCCUGACAUCUGCUCCUGUACUUGUUCCACCAGAUUUCUCUAAGGACUUCGUUAUCUACUGCGACGCCUCGCGACAAGGACUAGGUUGCAUACUCAUGCAAGAUCGUCAUGUGAUUGCCUACGCUUCUCGACAGCUGCGUCCACAUGAGGAUAACUAUCCCACACAUGAUCUACAGCUUGCAGCAGUGGUCCAUGCACUCAAAACCUGGCGACAUUACCUUCUCGGUAAUCGUUGCGAGAUUUACACCGAUCACCAAAGUCUGAAAUACAUCUUCACCAAACCGGAUUUGAAUCUCAGACAAAGACGUUGGGUCGAGUUGAUUACGGAUUACGAUCUAGGAAUAACCUACACCCCAGGAAAAGCCAAUGUCAUGGCUGAUGCAUUAAGCCGUAAAUCUUAUUGUAACAACCUGAUGUUACAACAAAGCCAACCAUUUCUCCACGAGGAAUUUCGUAAGCUUAACCUUCACAUCGUUCCUCGAGGUUUUCUUUCCACCCUGGUGGCGAAACCUACCCUUACGGAUCAGAUCAUCAAGGCACAGAAGGUAGAUCCGGGAAUAUCCCGUAUCAAGAGAAACAUCAAAAGGGAGUUGGACUGUUUCUCCAUAGAUGAUCAAGGUGUUGUGUUCUUUGGAGGCCAUCUAGUGGUUCCCAAGGUAUGCAACCUGAGGCGAUUGAUCCUUAAGGAAGCUCAUGAAUCCCCUCUCACUAUUCAUCCCAGUAGUACUAAAAUGUAUCAAGACCUACGCCAGAGGUUUUGGUGGACUAGGAUGAAGAGAGAAAUCGCUCAAUACAUUACCAAUUGCGACGUCUGUCGUCGAGUUAAAGAAGAGCAUCAACGACCUGCUGGCACCCUGCAACCUUUGGAAAUUCCCGAAUGGAAAUGGGAUAAAAUCGGUAUGGAUUUCAUUACCGGGUUUCCCAGGACCAAGAGGGGGAAUAAUGCUAUCUUCGUUGUUGUCGAUCGUCUUUCCAAAGUAGCCCACUUCCUACACGUUCGUGAGAGUUUAACCGCUAGCCAGCUAGCUGACUUAUACAUCUCCCGAAUAGUGUCUCUUCAUGGUGUUCCAUUGGAGACUAACUCAGACCGUGGAAGUCUCUUCACCUCUCGAUUUCGGGAAAGUUUCCAAAAUGCGAUGGGAACUCGUCUUUCUUUUAGCACCGCUUUCCAUCCUCAAUCAAGUGGUCAAGUAGAACGAGUCAAUCAAAUUCUAGAGGAUAUGCUUCGAGCUUCUGUCAUCUCUUUUGGUAUGAAUUGGGAGAAGUGCCUUCCAUUCGCUGAGUUCGCUUAUAACAAUAGUUAUCAAGCUAGCUUGGACAAAGCUCCUUUCAAAGUUCUCUAUGGAUGAAAAUGUCGAACACCUCUUAACUGGUCAGAAACCGGGUAAAGACAACUCUUUGGCCCGGAUAUGAUCCAGGAAGCAGAGGAGCAGGUUCACGUUAUUCGUGAGAAAUUGAAAACAGCCCAAUCUCAUCAAAAGAGCCAAUAUGACCGCAAACAUACACUAGUAGAAAAGGGGCCAAUGGUCCAGGCCGGUCCAGCCCAUUAGUCCCGGUUCAAUCCAGAACCGGGACCAAUGGGGGCAUUGGACCCGGUUCGUGAGCCCUGGGGGCCGGCCGGGCCACGUGGGCCAUUGGUCCCGGUUCGUCCUGACCUUUCGGUCCCGGUUGGUGGGACGAACCGGGACCAAUGGGCCUCGCUCCUGGCCCACCAACAUUGGUCCCGGUUGGUGGCUUGAACCGGGACCAAAGGCGUCCCUUUAGUCCCGGUUCAAGUCACCAACCGGGACCAAUUAGUUGCCUAUAUAUACCCCUCGCCUGCGAGCAGAGCACUCCCAGUGCUCUGUUUUUCGUGGCUGGCGAGGGGAGAGCUUUGUGGUGCUCUAGCUCACGUCCUAUGCACACAAGGUGUUCGAUGGAAUGCCCGAGCCACACUACUUAAGCUUUCUCCUCUCCAAGCUCGACCUCCAAGCUCCAUUUUCCUUCAUAUUUGUCUAGGUUUAGCGGUUCGUCACGUCCCGUCCCCAUCUUCACCACCGUUGAUCGCCCGCGCCGAUCUCGUCGCCGGCACCACCGUGGUGAGCCUCUUGUUCUUAUCUUCUUUCUGAAAGGAAAAAAAAUUCUUACUUGUAUGUUUAUAUAGAUACUUGUAUAAUUUUCUUACUUUUAUUAUUGCAUCUUAUAUAGUGCGAUGGUUUUGGUAUCCGCCCCCGUCGGCCCUCGUCCUGUCUAUGAUUCAGAUGUGGUAUAUAUAUAUUAUCUUUUCAUAACUAGUGGUUCAUUUAUUGUUUAUGACAAUUAUGCCGACCAACGUGACAUAGAUUUUAUUUAUCUAGGAGGUUGUUGAACCGGAAAUUCCAACCGACCCUAUUGUCGAGAGGUUAAAUUUAGUUGAAGAAAACAAUUUGUUGAAGGGAAAAAUUAGAAAAAUUGAGGAGGAGAAGAUGAUAUUGGAGUUGCAUGUUGCGGAUGUCAUCGAUGAUCACAAGAUCAAGAUGGAUGCAAUGCGCUUGAAGAUUAGAAAGAUUAGAAAAUAUGCCAUUCAUACCGAGGCUUGGUAUCAUUAUGUCGUUGGAUCAGUUGUUACAUUGGUUGCGAUUAUGAUCGUAUUUGUUUUCGCAUUGAAAUGUUUUACAUAGUUUCAGUGUAUGGUUUAAUUAAUUUAGAUGCCCUGCAGAGCUUUAUGUUGUUAGAUGAGAACUAUGUAUGUACUUUGGUUUUAAUGUGAUGAUGAACUUCUAUUAAUUUCGUCACUUAAUUAUCUAUUCAUGAUGUUCUGUAAUGAUUUUUGACACACUUAAUUAUAUAUAAUGCACGCAGAUGAACCGGCAAUGGAUGUACGGUUCAAGACACACCUCCGAGUACAUUAAGGGCGUGCAUGAUUUUCUCGAAGUGCCUGAGGCAACAAGAAGAAUGGUUUUAUGUGUUGUCCAUGCCCUAUAUGUGGGAAUACGAAGUCUUACUCUGACUGGAAAAUCCUCCACACCCACCUUCUUUACAAGGGUUUCAUGCCACACUAUAAUGUUUGGACGAGGCACGGAGAAAUAGGGGUUAUGAUGGAAGACGGCGAAGAAGAAGAGUACGAUGACAACUAUGUGCCCCCUGAAUACGGUGAUGCUACUGAAGAUCAAGAGGAACCAGACGAUGUGCCCGAUGAUGAUGAUCUCCGCCGGGUCAUUGUCGAUGCAAGGACGCAAUGCGAAAGUCAAAAGGAGAAGCUGAAGUUCGAUCGCAUGUUAGAGGACCACAAAAAAGGGUUGUACCCCAAUUGUGAAGAUGGCAACACAAAGCUCGGUACCGUACUGGAAUUGCUGCAGUGGAAGGCAGAGAAUGUUGUGCCUGACAAAGGAUUUGAGAAGCUACUGAAAAUAUUGAAGAAGAAGCUUCCAAAGGAUAACGAAUUGCCCGACAGUACAUACACAGCAAAGAAGUUCGUAUGCCCUCUAGGAUUGGAGGUGCAGAAGAUACAUGCAUGCCCUAAUGACUGCAUCCUCUACCGCGGUGCGUACAAGGAUCUGAACGCAUGCCCGGUAUGCGGUGCAUUACGGUAUAAGAUCAGACGAGAUGACCCUGGUGAUGUUGACGGCGAGCCCCCCAGGAAGAGGGUUCCUGCGAAGGUGAUGUGGUAUGCUCCCAUAAUACCACGGUUGAAACGUCUGUUCAGAAACGGAGAGCAUGCCAAGUUGAUGCGAUGGCACAGUGAGGACCGUAAGAAAGACGGGAAGUUGAGAGCACCCGCUGACGGGUCGCAGUGGAGAAAAAUCGAGGGAAAGUACUGGGAUGAGUUUGCAAGUGAGCCAAGGAACGUAUGGUUUGCUUUAAGCGCGGAUGGCAUUAAUCCUUUCGGGGAGCAGAGCAGCAAUCACAGCACCUGGCCCGUGACUCUAUGUAUGUAUAACCUUCCUCCUUUGAUGUGCAUGAAGCAGAAGUUCAUUAUGAUGCCAGUUCUCAUCCAAGGCCCUAAGCAACCCGGCGACGACAUUGAUGUGUACCUAAGGCCAUUAGUUGAAGAACUUUUAUAGCUGUGGAAUGGAAAUAGUGUACGUACGUGGGAUGAGCACAAACAGGAGGAAUUUAACCUAAAGGCGUUGCUGUUCGUGACCAUCAACAAUUGGCCCGCUCUCAGUAACCUUUCAGGACAGACAAACAAGGGAUACCACGCAUGCACGCACUGUUUACUUGACACCGAUAGUAUAUACCUAGCAAGUUGUAGGAAGAAUGUGUACCUGGGCCAUCAUCGAUUUCUUUCGACCAACCAUCAAUGUUGAAAGAAAGGCAAGCAUUUCAAAGGCGAGGCAGAUCACCGGAAGAAGCCCUCCAUGCGUACUGGUAUCACGUACUUGCUAUGGUAGUGAUUUACACGUAAUCUUUGGAAAGUGUCCCGGCGGACUAGCUGUUCCGAAUGACGCUGAGAAUCACGCACCCAUGUGGAAGAAGAAAUCUAUAUUUUGGGACCUACCCUACUAGAAAGACCUAGAGGUCCGCUCUUCGAUCGACGUGAUGCACGUGACGAAGAACCUUUGCGUGAACCUGCUAGGCUUCUUGGGCAUGUAUGGGAAGACAAAAGAUACAACUGAGGCACGGGAGGACCUGCAACGCUUGCACGAAAAAGUGGGCAUGCCUCCGAAGCAGUAUGAAGGUCCUGCCAGCUACGCUCUUACGAAAGAAGAGAAAUAAAUCUUCUUUGAAUGCCUGCUCAGUAUGAAGGUCCCGACUGGCUUCUCUUCGAAUAUAAAGGGAAUAAUAAAUAUGCCAGACAAAAAGUUCUAGAACCUAAAGUCUCAUGACUGCCACGUGAUUAUGACGCAACUGCUUCCGGUUGCAUUGAGGGGGCUUCUACCGGAAAACGUCCGAUUAGCCAUUGUGAACCUAUGUGCAUUCCUCAAUGCAAUCUCUCAGAAGGUGAUCGAUCCAGAAAUCAUACCAAGGCUAAGGACUGAUGUGGUGCAAUGUCUUGUCAGUUUCGAGCUGGUGUUCCCACCAUCCUUCUUCAAUAUCAUGACGCACGUCCUAGUUCAUCUAGUUGACGAGAUUGUCAUUCUGGGCCCCGUAUUUCUACACAAUAUGUACUUCUUUGAGAGGUUCAUGGGAGUCCUAAAGAAAUAUGUCUGUAACCGCGCUAGGCCAAAAGGAAGCAUCUCCAUGGGCUAUCAAACAGAGGAUGUCAUCGGGUUUUGUGUUGACUUCAUUCCUGGCCUUAAGAAUAUAGGUCUCCCUAAAUCGCGGUAUGAGGGGAGACUGACUGGAAAAGGCACGCUUGGAAGGGACUCAAUUAUAUGCAGGGACGGAUAUUCUUGGUCUCAAGCACACUACACAGUUCUACAGAACUCUACCUUGGUGACCCCGUAUGUCGAUGAACACAAGAACAGUCUGCGCUCCAAACACCCGGAGCAGUGCGACGACUAGAUUACAUGUGAACACAUCAGGACUUUCAGUAGUUGGUUGGAAGCACAUAUCAGAGGUGACAACACUGUUUGUGAUGAGUUGUACUUGUUGUCCAGGGGACCAUCUUUGACUGUAUUGAUUUGGAAAGGAUACGAGAUAAAUGGGAAUACAUUUUACACGAUUGACCAAGAUCAAAAGAGCACCAACCAAAACAGCGGUGUCCGCUUUGAUGAAACAACCGAGAGGGGAAAGGACACAUAUUGUGGUUACAUAGUGGACAUAUGGGAACUUGACUACGGACACGAUUUUAAGGUCCCUUUGUUUAAGUGCAAAUGGGUCAAUCUGUCAGGUGGCAGGGUACAGGUAGACCCACAGUACGGAAUGACAAUAGUGGAUCUGGAAAAUCUUGGAUACACUGACGAACUGUUCGUCCUAGCCAAUGAUGUGGCACAGGUUAUCUAUGUGAAGGACAUGUCUACCAGACCAAGAAAGAGAAAAGAUAAGGAAGCGAAUACAUCAUACGAUGAGCCAAAGUGCCACAUAGUUCUUUCAGGAAAAAGGGACAUCGUGGGAGUGGAGGACAAGACAGACAUGUCUGAAGAUUAUGAAAAGUUUCAUGAAAUUCCUCCCUUUAAUGUCAAGGCUGACCCCAGCAUCCUGAUAGACGAUGAAGAUUAUCCAUGGUUACGGCGCAAUAAGCAAAUGACACAAGCGAAGAAAAAGUGAAGACUUUCUCCCGCAACUAUUAUGAUGAUACCAUGCCAAAUUUGUAACUGACGAGUAUGAUACCAUUGUCCGUUUUGUACAUGCACAUGCUAUGUGGGUCAAUUUAUGAUACCAUGCCAACUUUCAACUUUUUCAGAGUUCAUUUGAAAUGCUUUAAUGUCUUAUGGUUCGGCCCUCGUAAUGAUUAAAAAUAGCAACAAUAAGUAUUUUGUUGUAAGUAGAAACAAAAUAAAAUAAAUAAAGCAAGAAAGAAAACAAAAAAAACAAAAAAAGUGUUUUCAAAUUUGAAAACUAAUGGUACUAACAGAAAGUUUAUAAUUUUCCUAAAACUAAAAGCAAAAAGAAUUGAAAAAUAAAGCAAAAAACAAAAGACAAUAAAUAAUGCAGAAAUCAAAACAAAAAACAACAAUAAGUAUUUUGUUGUAUGUAGAAACAAAACAAAAUAAAUAAAGCAAGAAAGAAAACAAAAAAACAAAAAAAGUGUUUUCAAAUUUGAAAACUAGGGCACUAACAGAAAGUUUAUAAUUUUCCUAAAACUAAAAGCAAAAAGAAUUAAAAAAUAAAGCAAAAAACAAAAGAAAAUAAAUAAUGCGGAAAACAAAACAAAAAAACUGGAAAAAAAAUAAAAUAGCAAAAAUAAGUAAAGAAAACAAAAAAAUGCCUCCUACUGGGCCCCCACGGCCUGAAUACGACUAGAAACCCUACUAUGGGCCAGGAUUCAGGCCCGCAGUAGGCCCAGAAGGCCCAUCAGGCAAAGCAAUAGCAAGUAGGCCCGAAAGCCUGCGGUGGAGAGGAGCUCGAGAGGGGUGCGGCAGUGGGGCUUAUAAACCACUGCACGCCCCUCUCAACUAGCGAGGUGGGACUAAACUUUGGCCCCGACGCGGGAAGCACAGGGGCCUUUGGUCCCGGUUGGUGGCACCAACCGGGACUAAAGGGGGGGGCAUUGGUACCGGUUCGUGGCACCAACCGGUACCAAAGGCCGCCGCUUCCCGCCCUUUGGGCUGCCGAAAAGGAGGCCUUUGGUCCUAGUUGGUGGCACUAACCGGGACUAAAGGGUGCAUUAGUCCCGGUUGAUUUCACGAACCGGGACCAAUGCCUUUGCUAUAUAAGCAAACACUUUGCAAAAUUUCAGAAUCCCAUCGCCAGUUGCCCCCGACGACGCCGACCCUCCUCGACGCUGCCAGGCUGCUCCACCUCGCCGUCGUCGCCGCCACCGCCAAGCCGUCGCCUCCCCGAGCCCGCGCCAUCCUCGUCGCCGGCCUCCCUGAGCCCGCGCCGUCCUCGUCGCCGGUCUCCUCGAGCCCGCUCCCCGUCCCGCCCCCGCGCGCCGCCGCCCCGAGCCCCUGCCCCGUCCUGCCCCCAUGCGCNNNNNNNNNNNNNNNNNNNNNNNNNNNNNNNNNNNNNNNNNNNNNNNNNNNNNNNNNNNNNNNNNNNNNNNNNNNNNNNNNNNNNNNNNNNNNNNNNNNNNNNNNNNNNNNNNNNNNNNNNNNNNNNNNNNNNNNNNNNNNNNNNNNNNNNNNNNNNNNNNNNNNNNNNNNNNNNNNNNNNNNNNNNNNNNNNNNNNNNNNNNNNNNNNNNNNNNNNNNNNNNNNNNNNNNNNNNNNNNNNNNNNNNNNNNNNNNNNNNNNNNNNNNNNNNNNNNNNNNNNNNNNNNNNNNNNNNNNNNNNNNNNNNNNNNNNNNNNNNNNNNNNNNNNNNNNNNNNNNNNNNNNNNNNNNNNNNNNNNNNNNNNNNNNNNNNNNNNNNNNNNNNNNNNNNNNNNNNNNNNNNNNNNNNNNNNNNNNNNNNNNNNNNNNNNNNNNNNNNNNNNNNNNNNNNNNNNNNNNNNNNNNNNNNNNNNNNNNNNNNNNNNNNNNNNNNNNNNNNNNNNNNNNNNNNNNNNNNNNNNNNNNNNNNNNNNNNNNNNNNNNNNNNNNNNNNNNNNNNNNNNNNNNNNNNNNNNNNNNNNNNNNNNNNNNNNNNNNNNNNNNNNNNNNNNNNNNNNNNNNNNNNNNNNNNNNNNNNNNNNNNNNNNNNNNNNNNNNNNNNNNNNNNNNNNNNNNNNNNNNNNNNNNNNNNNNNNNNNNNNNNNNNNNNNCGCUGCAUUGGCUCUGUUUUUUUUUCAUUUUUAUUAGUUUAAUUAUUUUUUUGUUCAUAUAUAUAUAUAUAUAUAUAAUGUAUAUGUGUAUGUAUGUGGCUAUAUAUGUGUAUGUAGAUGUUCAAAAAUUAUUCAGAGCACGUUUUUAUUCAUAUAUGUAUUUUUUGUUCAUAUGUGUAUUAAUGUUUUCAUAUAUGCAAAAGAUAGAUUUUUAGAAAAGUUAGGGUUUUUUUUUCUAUUCAUAGAUUUUUUUGGUGAUAUUAAUUAUUGUAGAAUAUGCAAAUGUUUGUAUAUUCAUAUGAACAAUGCAUUAGGCAAAACCUUUGUUUUUUUUGAAAUUUUUUAUUUGAACAUUUUUUAAAAACAAGCAAUACUAAAAGAAUGAGAGGAAAAAGGAAAAUAAGAAGAGGAAGAAAGGAGAAGAAGAGGAGAGGAAGAAGAGGAGAAAUAAAUAAGAAGAGGAAAAAAGAAGAGGGGAAGAAGAAAGGAAUAGAGGAGAAGAAGAAAAAUAGAAAUUUUCUAUUUUUCUUCUUCUCCUCUAUUCCUUUCUUCUUCUCCUCUUUAUUUUCUUCUUUUUUUUCUUCUUCCUUCUUCCUCUUUUCUUCCUUUUCCUUAUUUUCCUUUCUCGAGGGAGAAGAAGAAAAAGAAGAGUAAAAGAAGAAGAAAGGAAUAGAGGAGAAAGAAGAAACUUCAACACAAGGGGGGGUUACCGAUACCCCCUCCCCGAUAACAUUAUUUUCCCAUGUAUAUGUAUGUCGCGUCAUUGUCGAUAUAACCCCCUCGAGAUAACUUCGACAUGAGGGGCGGUCGAUAUAUAUACCCCCUCUCGACCGUGAUAACUUAUACAACGGCAGCACCCCCCUCGGCCCUCUCGCUCGACCAAAACUCUUGAGGACACCCAAACCCUAGAGAGAAAACGAUGUUGGUCUCCUACCCCCUCCCGCCGCGCCCCUACCCGACAUAUUAACUCUCUCGAGGCCACCCAAAUUUACCAAGUUAAAAGAGCGUUGUCGUCGAGGCCACCCCAAACCCUUGAAGCGUUGUGUCGAGGAGACCCCAAACCCUAGAGAAGCAGCGUCGAGGCCACUAACAUGGAUCGAUCCAUCUGUAAUAAUAAUUGACAUGGUGUAAAUAUUUGCAGAAACUAUGGAGCACUCCCGAGACGAAGAAACAGAAGCGAUGUUGGGGGACAUUAUCGCACAAGGAAGUGAUGAAGUUGCGUCAUUUCUCAACGACACCGAUGGUCAGGAACGACUGGGUGAAGAAGAGGGCUAUGUUCAUGAUGGCUUCGACCCAUUAAUGCCGGUACAAGAAGAGGACUAUGUUCAUGAUGGCUCUGGUGACACAAUGGAGGUACAAGAAGGAGACCGUGCUGACUGCUCCGGUGACCGAACCGAGUCCGGCCAGGUAUAUAUAUAUAUAUUAGUUAAGCCCGUGCUGACUAGUUAAUUGAUGCAUCCAUUGUUUUGGUAUAUGUACACAUAUUAAUUACUCUCGUCUUUCUUCCUUAUAAUUUCUAGCCCUCCGGAUCGAGCACAACUUCGGUAAGAAGACGAAGCCCGAAGAAAAAGUUGAGCUCGGAUGAAAAGUUUGAGAUCAUAGAAAUCGCGCCCGACGGCGAACCGAUUGAACCCAUCCGGACAAGGAAGGCAUUUUCUGCUCAGUGCGGGGUUCUUGUUAGGGACAAGAUCCCGAUCAGCAUCCAUCAAUGGUAUAAGCCUAAGGAGGAAGACCCCGAGGUGUCUUAUGUCAAUGAUAUGCAGAAAGAAGAUCUUUGGACUGAGCUAAAGGCAAAUUUCACCCUACCGCUAGAGGAGGAUCCGGAGAAGCCAGUUAUAGAGCAAUUAAUCAAUUCUUGUGCUCUUAAGAAGAUGGCAACCCUAAUGAGGAGGUGGAGGAAAGAGGUGAACCAGUUUGUCGAGAAAGAUAAGACACCAGAAUUCAUCGGCAAAUAUGAGAAGAUCAAAGAUCACUGGCCCGCAUUUGUGGCCCACAAGACAUCGGAAAAGAGUAAGAAGAUGUCGGCAACAAACAAGAAAAAUUCUGCAAAGAAGAAGCUUCACCAUCGCACGGGGUCAGGUGGCUACCUCAAAGCCCGGCCUAAGUGGUCCAAGGCUGAGCAUGAUCUGCUUGAAAAAGGGAUCGAACCAGAGACAAUGUACUGGCCAGACCGUUGUCGGACUUGGUUCUUCGGGGCUGGCGGAACCUUGGACCCUGUAACAGGGAAGUGCCAGUGGACGGAUGAGCAACUACAAAUACCAGUCAAGAAACUUCGACACUAUAUCGAUGCAGCGUAGCGAGGGACGCUCCUUCCAAACAGGGAGAAGGACGAGCUCACAAUGGCCCUUGGGAAUCCUGAGCACCCUGGAUGGACACGAGGCACGCCAGGCUCCAUUCCAUGGAAGGUUGGUCUUCCGCACACAGGGGGUUACAAAACCCACGAGAGGAGGAAGAAACUGGAGCAGGACCAAAUGCAGGCGCUGCACGAAAGGGUAAUGGGGCUAGAGGAACGAGAAGCAGCAGAUCGCAGCAAACGACAUGCCGAAGCUUCCCCCGAAGCUACCUCGCCAUCUCAGCGGAGAAGCAGCGUGGCUUCCACCGAGCUGCUUCAGCCGGAGCAUGUCUUGACGUCUCCUGCCAGCUAUCCCGUGGAUGGUAUCACGGAGUCUCAAAGUUGCCACAUUAUGACGCAAUGUAUGAAUUUGAAGGUCAAGGCGGCUGUUGGCCAAGUUUAUCCUAGUGGACCCGGCACAACUUAUCACUGCCAGCCGAUUCCAGAAGGAUUUGCUAAGGUGAUGGUGGAUGAAAUAACGGAGGGAUUUGAGGACCUCCUGCUUGAGCACCCUACCGGUGAAGGGGAGACUAGGCUGGGUUCUGCUCUGAAGACUCCAUGCCUAUGGCGGAAGGAGCUCAUCAACCUUCCGAACUGGACGCCUCCGCCUCCUCCUCCUCCUCCGGCGAGUCAGGGCACUCCGCCUCCUCCACCGCCUCCUCCUCCGGCGAGUGAUGAUCAGGGCACACGUGGCAGCACUCCGCCUCCUUCUCCGCCUGCGCCGGCGCGCCCGAGCAGCCAGCCUCCUCCUUCUCCGCCUCGUCAGCAAGGGCGAAAGAGACCCGCCGCUGCUCCGGCUGCUCCGGCGCGUCGUAAUCCUUCUCCUCCGCCUCACAAAAAGCAAGCAAAGAAGACAUCCACUCCGUCUGCUCUGUCGGUGUCUAGCAGUACAGCCAAAGGCGGGAAGAAAUACAGAUUUGGUCCUUCUCCGAAGACUCCAGAGAAGUUACCGUACGAGAGGACCGAGGAGGAAAACGCGGAGAUCACGCAGAACGAACUGGAUGGCUGGUUUGCAGGGUUGAAAGCAAAGAGACAUCCACCUCCGGAGGAGAAGGUAGAUCCGGUGAAAGUGAAGCGCACUCUGGCUGCCCUGAGGAAACCGGCAAAGUCUCCGCCGAGAACCAACUAUGAGCGCAUUACUGAACAGACAUAUCUCCAAGCGGAGCAGUCGGGAAGUACUGUCAGACAUCAAAGAGCAAAAGAACGAGCAGCUGCGAAAAAAGUUGACCAGCUCGGCGAACAACCAAACCAAUCGUGCCCCCCGCUCAAUGUGUCUAGCGGCAACAUCGUCGCUAAUGUUCCGGGGAUCAUGGACGGUUAUGGCAAUCCACAAUAUUACCUGCCUGACGAUGCACUUCCUGAAUUCAUGAUGGUGGAAGAACGCAGAUACGAGUACGGGAAGCCUCUCAUCAAAGAUGUAAAAUCUCUAACAACGAUGAUGCGAAGAUUCCAUACUUGGUACAUGAAAACCUGCAGAGAGUCUGGGGGGACGAAUAGUUUGUAUCUACACAUUAAAGAGGAGCACGACCUCGUUGGAACUGAUCUGUUGUGUGUUCCAUUUGAGGAGUUCUUCGCGUUCUUCAAUCAAAUAGCCCUCGAUAAAUUAACGGUCUUUUGCUACUGCCUGUAAGUACUAUUUCUGUCAUUAAGUCUCUAUAUAUAGCUUGGCUUUCAUUACAUGUAUUUAUAAUUAAUUAUCCUCAAUAUAUUAUGCAGAUUGAAGAUCGUCGAGUGCAAAAAAAUGAAAUCUAUGAUAUUGGGUUCAUUAACACAAAUAUCAUAGAUGUAUUUCUGGUUGAAAAGCACAUCGAAGAGGCCGAGGACAACUUGCUACGAUCAUUGAUCAAAAAUCAAAACAAAGAUACCAUACUCUUUCCUUACAACACCAAGUGAGUGUUACUGAUCAUUUGCAUAUUCGGUUUCCCUUAUUACUCGAGCGAGGUUAUAGUAAUGUAAUUGAUGAGUUAUGCAUGUGUGCGCAGGUACCACUAUAUUCUUCUGGAGAUUAAGCUUGAGCGUGGACUAGUAACCGUCUUAGACUCGAGACGGAAAGAUCCCAGCACCUAUGCGGACAUGACUGAAAUGCUCAGCAAGUAAGUUCAAUCGAUCAUUAUCGCACCAUAGCGGCAACUUUUUGUUCAUUUCCUGAUAUCUCAAGUAAUAAUAAUUAUUUUCUUUGUCUUGCAGGGUUUGGAAACAGUUCACCACAGUAGCUCGGGGACUGCCGAAGGAGCUGCGAUAUAUAUACCCGAAAGUAAGUACUACUGGCUAGCUAGUUGUGUGCAUCUCCUGUUGAUUCUAUAGCUAUACUUUCAUCACAUUUAUAAUGCUUCAUUAUCAGUUUGAUAGACCUCUAUUUCUCGUAAAGUGCUUGUGGUAGGAACAAGGGAAUGAUUUCUAUAGAUACUACGUGUGCGAGUUCAUCUACAACGCGACUUUGAAAAAUAAGCGGGGCUACUCUCAAAGACAAUAUGAAGUGCGUAAGCAAUUAAUAAUAUUCACAAUUUCUGUUGAGUUUCAUUCAUAUAUAUAUAUAUAUAUAUAUAUAUAUAUAUAUAUGUAUUAAUUAACCCCCUUCUUCAAAUUAGACGUGGCAGAUGCGGAAUGAACUCCUAGAACCAGAUCGCAUGAAAGGAAUUCAAGAGGAAUUGGCGGGAUUCUUUCUUGACCACGUCAUCAAUAAAGCCGGAGAAUACCAUGUGGAACUUGAUUUCAAAUGCUAGGGGACUGUAAUUGAGAGAUCUUAUAUAUUGUACAUGUUGUAUGUAGCCAGUAGCGUCGGACAUACAUGAUACAAAAACUUGUUGUUUGACCAAUCUCUCGGAGAAGGAGACGUCGAUCGAUCACUUCUCUCGGUAUGCAUGACGAACUUCUGUACUUAAUGGUUUCCUUCAUUUUCUUACUAGCUAGCGUGUCGAGAGCCUCUCUAUGUAUAGUACGUAGCGUCGACCAAGCACGGACAUAAGAGAGGACACUUCUCUCUAUUAAUUAGCUAGCUAACACAAUAUAUGAAACACCUAAAUUAACCCCCAAAACCNNNNNNNNNNNNNNNNNNNNNNNNNNNNNNNNNNNNNNNNNNNNNNNNNNNNNNNNNNNNNNNNNNNNNNNNNNNNNNNNNNNNNNNNNNNNNNNNNNNNNNNNNNNNNNNNNNNNNNNNNNNNNNNNNNNNNNNNNNNNNNNNNNNNNNNNNNNNNNNNNNNNNNNNNNNNNNNNNNNNNNNNNNNNNNNNNNNNNNNNNNNNNNNNNNNNNNNNNNNNNNNNNNNNNNNNNNNNNNNNNNNNNNNNNNNNNNNNNNNNNNNNNNNNNNNNNNNNNNNNNNNNNNNNNNNNNNNNNNNNNNNNNNNNNNNNNNNNNNNNNNNNNNNNNNNNNNNNNNNNNNNNNNNNNNNNNNNNNNNNNNNNNNNNNNNNNNNNNNNNNNNNNNNNNNNNNNNNNNNNNNNNCCCCCUGCCUGGGCUCGGCGCGUGGAUGCCUUUUGGUCCCGGUUGGUGCCACCAACCGGGACCAAAGGCCCCCCUGCCUGGGCUCGGCGCACAGGCCACGUGGAGGACCAUCUAUCCCGGUUCGUGUUACAACCGGGACUAAAGGGGGGAGGUAUUAGUAACGACCCAUUAGUCCCGGUUCAUGAACCGGGAGUAAAGGCCCUCACGAACCGGGACUAAUAGGUGUUUGUCUACUAGUGAUAAGCCUAUGACUUAUGAAGUUGGUGAGAAGGCUUACCUUCGGGUUACACCUUUAAAGGGAACCCAUCGAUUCGGUAUCAAGGGCAAGUUGGCCCCUUGUUACAUUGGACCCUUUUGCAUUCUUGCCAAACGAGGGGAAGUUGCCUACCAGUUGGAACUACCUCCACAUCUUUCUAGAGUUCAUGAUGUCUUCCACGUCUCUCAACUCAGGCAUUGCUUCUCGAAUCAUAUCCGCGAAGUAGACCAUGAAACGCGUGAUCUCCAAGAAAAUCUCACUUAUCGAGAAUAUCCAAUUCGCAUCCUUGAUCAAGCCGAGCGUACCACUCGACGCCAGAAUAUCAAGUUUCUCAAGGUUCAAUGGUCACACCACUCCGAUCAAGAAGCAACUUGGGAAAGGGAGGAUCAUCUACGACUUGAGUAUCCCACCUUCUUCCCGAUAGACCCUAAAUCUCGGGAUGAGAUUCUUUUGAGUGGGGGUGAGUUGUCACAACCUAGCUAGUCCAUGCAUUAGAGUGUUGCAUCAUGUCUACCUUUUAUCAGAAACUUGAAUUGGGGAAGACAGAACCCCCCCAGAACCCCUCUAAAUUCAACUAGUGCUUACUAAAAAUAUUUUCAAUGAACCUGAAAUGCCCUUCUAAAAAGUUCACCCUCUUUGUCUUGGGUUAGAACCUCUGGCAAAAUUGGUGCACAAUUUUCUAGGUCAACAGAAGGCCAUUGAAUUAAAUCAUAUCUACUUUGAGUUUGGGCAUUUAAACUAUAUAAAAUAUUUCAAAUGCUCAAAUAACUCCAAACUAAAAUGUUCCAUACUGGAUAUAUUCCAACUAGCGACCAUGUGCAGUUUGGUGAUUUUUGGAGUUGCCUAAGUAUUUUUAGAAAUGCAACAAACUUACAGAAACAAUUAAAAACAGAAACAAAUGGGGAAAAAACCCUUACCUGGCCGAACCAAGCCCCAGCCCAGCUGGCCGGCCCAGCACUGUGCUGGCCCAUGCCAGCCAGCUGCUUUGCCAUCGCCACGCAGGCACAGAGCUGACGCCAGCGAGUGUGAGCUCGCCACGGCGCCAACUGCUUGCCGCCCGCGCCACCGAGCACCUGGGUGAGCUCCACGUCGCCACCCCGACCCCGUGGACACCUCAUUCGCCCCCCUGCCUCUUCCCUCGCUCUCCCGCACCAUGGCCGACGCACCCGUCGCCGCACCGCCGACGUAGUCGCGCCCUCCAUCGUCCCCGUGCUGCACCACCGUGUCCCUUCGCUCCGUCGUCAUCAACUACAUCGAGCAGGCCGAGCCCCGAGCGCUCGUGGGCCUUGCUUCGUCUUCUUUGACCUCAUCUUCACCGAGCACCACCGCAGAUCCCCUUCGCCGUCGCCGCUGCACCAGCUCGUCCCCGACCUCGCCGACCACUCCGUUGUGACCGCCGUGAGCUCAGCCACCUCCCCAUCCUCCCCGUUUGCCUUCUCGUGCACCGUAGCAGCCGCAUGGAGCUUCAUCGCACGCACCACCGCCGAGCUCGUCGCCGACGUGCCUCCGGCCAUCCACCGUCCACACCACGGUAUCUAACAUGCUCAUUGCAUCGCGUAGAGUCUAACGCCCCACUCCACGCGCCUCGCCGUGCCCCGUAGCCACGGGUCAAUUUUCACCCGACUCCGGCGACCGUCGCGGUCGUCGCUGCCGACGUUCCUGGCCACCUCGACCUCAACCACCACCACCAAACGCCGCGGCUUGUUCCUGGCUACACGUAGAUGGUCUUCGCCGUCCAUUUGGUCGCCGGAACGUGCUAACCCACUUCCUCUGCCGCAUCUGGCCUCGCCAGCGGCUAGACGCCGGCGUGUUUGACCCGUUGACGUUGACUGGGUGGGCCAGGUUGACUCCCCUGAGUCUAUGACAAGUGGGCCCCCCCCUCUGCUAAUUAACCUAGUUUAGUUCUUACUAAAAUCAGUUAGUUUAAAUAAGUGCUGACAUGCGGGACCCACUGGUCAGUUUGACCUGAACGACCCCUUUGACCAUUGACGUCACCCUGAUGCACUGCUGACGCAAUAACCAAUUUCUGGAUUUAUUGUUAUAUAGGAAAUUCCAGAAAUUGUUGCAAACUUCAAAAAUUCAUAGAAAUUAAUCUGUAACUCCAAAUGCAAAGAUUUAUAUAUGAAUUUCGAUCAAAAAAAUUCAAUAUAUCCAUUGGUAAUGGUUUCAUGCAUGUCAGAACAAGUUAACCUUGUUGUUUAAUCAAAACAAGUUAAUGCACUAAUAUGACUAUGUUAAAUGAACUACCAUUUGCAUCUUUGAUUCAAAUGAGUUCAUACCUUUCUGUUCUAGCUUGCAUUAGGCCAGGACACAUUCAUGUUGCCAUGUCAUAGCAUGCAUCAUAUUGUUGCAUAUCGUCAUGUGUGGUUCAUGUUCGGUGUGUUUUCGUGAUAGGUUCUGCCUCCGAGGAUAACCCCGAAUAUCCGUCUGAAGGGCAGUAUCCUACUACCACUACAUCAGGCAAGCAACCCAUUGAUCAUUCUGAUACAAACCCAUGUUCUCGCCUCUGCUCUUGUUUACUGCAUUAAGAUAACGCGAUUCAAACUGUUGUGUGUUGUGGUAGUUGAACCCACUUCCUUUGCAUGACCUGUCAUUGCCACGGUAACUAGAUGAAACCCACUAGCAUGUGUAGGAGUUGAUUGAGCCAUAUCUGUGUUACCUACCAUGCUAUGCUUGCUAUGCUUAGAGUUGUGUCAGGUCUGGCUCAUCAGGAUGAUGAACUAGAGUGAAAGGUUGUGUCGGUAACGAGAGUGAAGUGUUGAACACGAUUUGGUAAAGGUAUCGAUGAGAGGCCAUGUAGGAGUACAUGGUGGGUUGUUUCAUUGAGGCCGUCCUUAAGCACUGAGAUCUGUGUGUGUGAUUUAAGAUUCAGCUACUACCACGCAUUGGGCCCAAAACCAAUGGACCCUCUCGACUUAUUAACCACUCUUGUCCUCAGUCCGGGAGUUGCAAGUAGUUUCUGGUGUUUGUAGCAUGCUGGGGGCCGCACGCAGCGCUGACCUUAGGGGUGGGUUGUGUUGCGGUAGGCACGUGGCACGGUGUAUCGAUUCGCCCGUUUGGUGUCUCGGGAACCCUGUUCACAUCGUUCGGGGCCGUUAGUGGAAACCUCGGCCGGACUCCCUGCGGAUGGAACCCAAAUAGGCGAUAAACCUGGACUAGGGACUCGUGUGUUUAGUCAGGCCAUGGCCGACACCCUUGCUGGGCUUCCGCUUGAAGGUUGCCGAGUACACGUCAUGUAGUGGCGAUAAGUGGUGAGAGCGUGUGUGAAGAAGUACACCCCUGCAGGGUACAAAACUAUUCGAAUAGCCGCGUCCACGGUAAAGGACUACUUGGUCACCUAUACAGUUCAUAGACAAGUAAAUGGAUACUUCUAAAAGCCUCAAGAUAAGUGUGAGUGCCGCGGAUGGCCCUGUCGUAGGUUGACGAGAGAGGAUCCACGGUGGAGUAUUGUGUUGGUGAGUAGUGGACUCGUGUGCGACAAAUGUUUUGCAAGUUGUGUCUAUCGUUGGAUAGCUUAGCCAAGAGUCAAAGCUGGCUUGCUGCAAUAACUCCACUACCUUCUUGAGAAUGUGCAUGUAUGAUAGGAUUCUGUUGUAAGACUUGCUGAGUACCUCUGUACUCAUGUUUGCUUAAUUAAUGUUUUCAGACGACAACACCAACCCCUCCGAUGGGUUCUACGUAGACCUCGACGUUGACGAGUGACUAGCCACCCAAGUGGUGAUCCAAGACUUGUGAAGGGCCGAUGUAGAUAGAAAGGCUUCAUCAAGCCCUCUUUCUUUCUAGUGUCUGUACUCAGACUAGUUGCUUCCGCAUGUGCUUGUAUGCUUGUAUGACUUGAGUGUCAGGUCAUGUGACCCCUAUCUGUAUGAACAUGUUAUGUAUGGCUCCUCGGAGCCACUUAAAUAAAGUACUUUGAGUUGUAGAGUUUUGUUGUGAUGCCAUGUUGUAUGUACUCAUAUCGGGCAUAUUGUGUGUAUGUUUGAAAUGCUUGGUAUGAGUGGGAUCCGACAAUCUAGUUGUUUAUCCUUGGCAGCCUCUCAUAUGGGGAAAUGUAGUCUAGUGCUUCUUGAGCGAUAGUAGUCCGCUACAGCCCGGUUCACCGGAGUCCUGCUAGCCCAGUACUACUGCUCUGGACACUUGACUGGCCGGCAUGUGUUUCACUUUGUUCCUGUGUCUGUCCCUUCGGGGAAAUGUCAAGCGGUGGCAUCCGGAGUCCUGCCUAGCCUGCUACAGCCCGGGUUACCGGAGUCCUGUUAGCCCAGCGUUACAUCCCGGAUGUAUACGUUGAUGACCAACAUGCUCGAUGUGAUUCAUGUAUGCAUGUCCCCAUAGGUUAGCGCCGCUUGGGUUCACGACUAGCCAUGUCGGCCCGGGUUCUCAGUCAUGUGGAUGCUAGCGACACUAUCAUAUACGUGAGCCAAAAGGCGCAAACGGUCUCGGGCCAUGGUAAGGCGCCACCCGUGGGAUUACCGUGCGUGAGGCCGCAAAGUGAUAUGAGGUGUUACCGGCUGGAUCAAUGUGACUUGGAAUCGGGGUCCUGACAAUUACUUGCUCCUAUCAUAUGUUUGGUUGCAACAAUGUCACUUCUUCACAUAUGCCAUGUCCCAUUGCUUGUCUCAUGCUUGACUUCAUUGCCUCACACAUGAUGAACAAUUGCUCUUUAUAUUGUGUUGAGUGUUACACUAUAUUCACUACAUCCUAUGCACGUUAUGUUUGGAUUGUCUUGCACUUGACCCAUGUGUUUAGACACUUCAUUUUAUUUGGUGUUGUGAAUCCUUCCUAUGCCUACCAUAGACCUUUCAUUGAGCAAUUUGUGAAUGCUUGCUAUGACCUCGAGGUAGAUGCUUAUGCUCUUGUCACACAUAUUUGCAUCUCUACCUCACAUUUACAUGCUUGUUCCCAUGAUAUUUUUGCUUGUGCUCGAUUGAUAUGCUUACAUGCCAUGUCACAAUCCUUUGUCACACCCUAUGCUAUGCUUGAUGACAACACUUGUUUGGUGAAUCACCUCUUGAAUGCUUGGUUUUGCACGAACGCAAACCACAUUUGUUUUUCCACGGGUUUGUUCUAUUUGCUCCUUUUGAAGGAAUCACAAGAUGGUGCGACACUGGAGAGUGCCCACUUCGAGCUACUAGACGAUGAGUGCUUGGUGAUCGACCACUUCGAUAUGGCACCGCCAUCUCUUUCCUAUGGUGAUUUGGUUUUCGAUCCGAGGUCGAAUCCUUCUCAAGGGGGAGGGGAUGAUGCGGAGCAUCCUAUGGACAUCACCAUGUCAAGAGUCCAUUCGGCAAGUGACACGUGCGACAUCUACUUCUCAUACAUAAAGGUGAAUCUUCUCCUUUACACGUGUUCACUUGACCCCUUCGAGGAUGGUAUACUACUUGACACUUCUCCCGUGUGCAUGCAUAGGUAUUGUCAGAGCUUUACGGAUGUCGAGGAGUGCAAGCGCCAAGGAACGACUACACCGUCCGCGAGGGAAGCAUGGAAGAGAAGGAGGAAGAGAACCUGGUGUUGGGGAACGUAGUAAUUUCAAAAUUUUCCUACGCACAUGCAAGAUCAUGGUGAUGAUAUAGCAACGAGGGGAGAGUGUUGUCUACGUACCCUCGUAGACCGAAGCGGAAGCGUUGACGCAGCGUAGAGGAAGUAGUCCUACGUCCUCCCGGUCCGACCGAUCCAAGCACCGUUACUCCGGCACCUCUGAGUUCUUGACACACGUACAGCUCGAUGACGCACCCUCGAUCUCCAAUCCAGUAGAGGCUCCAAGGGGGAGUUCCGUCAGCACGACGGCGUGGUGACUAUCUUGAUGUUCUCCUGUCGCAGGGCUUCGCCUAAGCACCGCUACAAUAUGACCGAGGUGUAAUAUCGUGGAGGGGGGCACCGCACACGGCUAAGGAACGAUCAAUGAUCAACUUGUGUGUUCUAGGGUGCCCCCUACCCCCGUAUAUAAAGGAGGGAGGGAGGAGGUGGCCGACCCAAGGAGGGGGCGCGCCAUGGGAGGAGGAAACCUACUCCAAGUAGGUUUCCCCUCUUUUUCCUUAUCUUAUUUGGAGGGGGAAGGAAGGAGUACUAGUAGUAGGAAGGAGUACUAGUAGUAGGAAAGGAAGAGGGGGAAGGAGAAAGGAAAGGGGGGGCCGGCCCCCCUCCCCAAUUCGGAUUGGGCUUGGGGGGGCGCGCCCCCCUCCCUUGCUCCUUCUCCCUUCCUCCUACAUGGGCCCAAUAAGGCCCAUAUACCUCCCGGGGGGGUUUCGGUAACCUCCCGGAGCUCCAAACUCUUCCGGAACCUUUCCGGUGUCCAAAUAUAUCCGUCCAAUAUAUCGAUCUUUAUGUAUCGACCAUUUCGAGACUCCUCGUCAUGUCCGUGAUCAUAUCCGGGACUCCGAACAAACUUCGGUACAUCAAAAUACAUAAACUCAUAAUAUAACUGUCAUCGAAACCUUAAGCGUGCGGACCCUACGGUUCGAGAACGAUGUAGACAUGACCGAGACAUGUCUCUGGUCAAUAACCAAUAGCGGGACCUGGAUGCCCAUAUUGGUUCCUACAUAUUCUACGAAGAUCUUUAUCGGUCAAACCGCAUAACAGCAUACGUUGUUCCCUUUGUCAUUGGUAUGUUACUUGUCCGAGAUUUGAUCGUCGGUAUCCAAUACCUAGUUCAAUCUCGUUACCGACAAGUCUCUUUACUCGUUCUGUAAUACUUCAUCUCAUAACUAACUCAUUAGUUAUAUGCUUGCAAGGCUUAUGUGAUGAGCAUUACCGAGAGGGCCCAGAGAUACCUCUCCGACAAUCGGAGUGACAAAACCUAAUCUCGAAUUAUGCUAACUCAACAUGUACCUUCGGAGACACCUGUAGUACUCCUUUAUAAUCACCCAGUUACGUUGUGACGUUUGGUAGUACCCAAAGUGUUCCUCCGAUAAACGGGAGUUACACAAUUCUCAUAGUUACAGGAACAUGUAUAAGUCAUGAAGGAAGCAAUAGCAGAAUACUAAACGAUCAAGUGCUAAGCUAACGGGAUGGGUCAUGUCAAUCACAUCAUUCUCCUAAUGAUGUGAUCCCAUUAAUCAAAUGACAACACAUGUCUAUGGUUAGGAAACAUAACCAUCUUUGACUAAUGAGCUAGUCAAGUAGAGGCAUACUAGUGACUAUAUGUUUGUCUAUGUAUUCACACAUGUAUCAUGUUUCCGGUUAAUACAAUUCUAGCAUGAAUAAUAAACAUUUAUCAUGAUAUGAGGAAAUAAAUAAUAACUUUAUUAUUGCCUCUAGGGCAUAUUUCCUUCAGUCUCCCACUUGCACUAGAGUCAAUAAUCUAGUUCACAUCGCCAUGUGAUUUAACACCAAUAUUCAUAUCUGUAUAUGAUUAACACCCAUAGUUCACAUCAUCAUGUGACCAACAUCCAAAGUGUUUACUAGAGUCAAUAAUCUAGUUCACAUCGCUAUGUGAUUAACACCCAAAGAGUACUAAGGUGUGAUCAUGUUUUGCUCGUGAGAGAAGCUCAGUCAACGGGUCUGUCACAUUCAGAGCCAUAUGUAUUUUGCAAAUAUUCUAUGUCUACAAUGCUCUGCACGGAGCUACUCUAGCUAAUCGCUCCCACUUUCAAUAUGUAUCCAGAUUGAGACUUAGAGUCAUCUGGAUCGGUGUGAAAACUUGCACCGAGAUAACUUUUACGACGGGCUCUUUUAUCACCUCCAUAAUCGAGAAAUAUUUCCUUAGUCCUCACUAAGGAUAUUCUUGACCAAUGUCCAGUGAUCUACUCCUAGAUCACUAUUGUACUCCCUUGUCAAAUACAGAGCAAGGUAUACAAUAGGUCUGGUACAUAGCAUGGCAUACUUUAUAGAACCUAUGACUGAGGCAUAGGGAAUGACUUUUCAUUCUCUUUCUAUUUUCUGCUGUGGUCGGGAUUUGAGUCUUACUCAAUUUCAUACCUUUGCAACACAGGCAAGAACUCUUUCUUUGACUGUUCCAUUUUGAACUACUUCAAAAUCUUGUCAAGGUAUGUACUCAUUGAAAAUCUUAUCAAGCGUCUUGAUCUAUCUCAAUAGAUCUUGAUGCUCAAUAUGUAUGUAGUUUUACUGAGGUCUUUCUUUGAAAAAACUCUUAUUCAAGUAUCCUUUAAUGCUUUGCAGAAUAAUUCUACAUUAUUUCCGAUCAGCAAUAUGUCAUUCACAUAUACUUAUCAGAAAUGCUGUAGUGCUCCCACUCACUUUCUUGUAAAUACAGGCUUCACCGCAAGUCUGUAUAAUACUAUAUGCUUUGAUCAACUUAUCAAAGCGUAUAUUCCAACUCUGAGAUGCUUGCACCAGUCCAUAGAUGGAUUGCUGGAGCUUGCACAUUUUGUUAGCACCUUUAGGAUUGACAAAACCUUCUGGUUGUAUCAUAUACAACUCUUCUUUAAUAAAUUCAUUAAGGAAUGUAGUUUUGACAUCCAUUUGCCAAAUUUCAUAAAAUGUGGCAAUUGCUAACAUGAUUCGGACAAACUUUUAAGCAUCGAUACGAGUAAGAAAAUCUCAUCGUAUUCAACACCUUGAACUUUGUCAAAAACCUUUUUUCGACAAGUCUAGCUUUGUAGAUAGUAACACUACUAUCAACGUCCGUCUUCCUCUUGAAGAUCCAUUUAUUCUUAAUGACUCACUGAUCAUCGGGCAAGUCAAUCAAAGUCUACACUUUGUUCUCAUACAUGGAUCAUAUCUCAGAUUUCAUGGCCCCAAGCCAUUUCGUGGAAUCUGGGCUCAUCAUCGCUUCCUCAUAGUUCGUAGGUUCAUCAUGGUCUAGUAACAUGACUUCCAGAACAUGAUUACCGUACCACUCUGGUGCGGAUCUUACUCUGGAAGACCUACGAGGUUUGGUAGCAACUUGAUCUGAAGUUUGAUGAUCAUCAUCAUUAACUUCCUCACUAAUUGGUGUAGGAAUCACUGGAACUGAUUUCUGUGAUGAACUACUUUCCAAUAAGGGAGAAGGUACAAUUACCUCAUCAAGUUUUACUCUCCUCCCACUCACUUCUUUCGAGAGAAACUCCUUCUCUGGAAAGGAUCCAUUUUAGCAACGAAUGUCUUGCCUUCGGAUCUGUGAUAGAAGGUGUACCCAACAAUUUCCUUUGGGUAUUCUAUGAAGACGCACUUCUCCGAUUUGGGUUCGAGCUUAUCAGGAUGAAACUUUUUCACAUAAGCAUCGCAGCCCCAAACUUUAAGAAACAACAGCUUAGGUUUACUGCUAAACCAUAGUUCAUACGGUGUCGUCUCAACGGAUUUAAAUGGUGCCCUAUUUUAAAACGUGAAUGCAGCUGUCUCUAAUGCAUAACCCCAAAACGAUAGUGGUAAAGAGACAUCAUAGAUCGCACCAUAUCAAAUAAAGUGCGGUUACGACGUUCGGACACACCAUAACGAUGUGGUGUUCCAGGUGGUGUGAGCUGUGAAACUAUUCCACAUUGUUUUAAUUGAAGACCAAACUCGUAACUCAAAUAUUUGUCUCCGCUAUCAGAUCGCAGAAACUUUAUUUUCUUGUUACGAUGAUUUUUCCACUUCACUCUGAAAUUCUUUGAACCUUUCAACUAUUUCAGACUUAUGUUUCAUCAAGUAGAUAUACCCAUAUCUGCUCAAAUCAUCUUGUGAAGGUCAGAAAAUAACGAUACUUGCCACGAGCCUCAACACUCAUUGGAUCGCAUACAUCGGUAUGUAUUAUUUCCAAUAAGUCAGUAGCUUGUUCCAUUAUUCCGGAGAACGGAGUUUUAGUCAUCUUGCCCAAAAGGCACGGUCCGCAAGCAUCAAAUGAUUCAUAACCAAGUGAUUCCGAAAAUCCAUCUUUAUGGAGUUUCUUCAUGCGCUUUACACCGAUAUGACCCAAACGGCAGUGCCACAAAUAAGUUGCACUAUCAUUAUUAACUUUGCAUCUUUUGGCUUCAAUAUUAUGAAUGUGUGUAUCACACGAUCGAGAUCCAACAAACCAUUUUCAUUGGGUGUAUAACCAUAGAAAGUUUUAUUCAUGAAAACAGAACAACAAUUAUUCUCUAACUUACAUGAAUAACCGUAUUGCAAUAAACAUGAUCAAAUCAUAUUCAUUCUCAACGCAAACACCAAAUAACACUUAUUUAGGUUUAACACUAAUCCCGGAAGUAUAGGGAGUGUGCGAUGAUGAUCAUAUCAAUCUUGGAACUAUUUCCAACACACAUCGUCACUACACUCUUAACUAGUCUCUGUUUAUUCUGCAACUCCCGUUUCGAGUUACUAAUCUUAGCAACCGAACAAGUAUCAAAUACUUAGGGGCUACUAUAAACACUAGUAUGGAACACAUCAAUAAUCUGUAUAUCAAAUAUACCCUUGUUCACUUUGCCAUCCUUCUUAUCAACCAAAUAUUCAGGGCAUUUCCGCUUCCAGUGACCAUUUCCUUUGCAGUGUAAACACUCAGUUUCAGGCUAUGGUCCAGCUUUGGGCUUGUCUUUCCACUUGAAGUUCCCUUUCUUUCCCUUUGCCCUUCUCUUGAAACUAGUGGUCUUGUCAAUCAUCAACACUUGAUGCUCUUUCUUGAUUUCUACCUUCGUCGAUUUCAACAUCACGAAGAGCUCGGGAAUCAUUUUUUCGUCAUCCCUUGCAUACUAUAGUUCAUCACGAAGUUCUAGUAACUUAGUGAUGGUGACUAGAGAAUUCUGUCAAUCACUAUCUUAUCUGGAAGAUUAACUCCCACUUGAUUCAAGCGAUUGAAGUACCCAGACAAUCUGAGCACAUGCUCACUAGUUGAGCGAUUCUCCUCCAUCUUUUAGCUAUAGAACUUGUUGGAGACUUCAUAUCUCUCAACUCGGGUAUUUGCUUGAAAUAUUAACUUCAAUUCCUGGAACAUCUCAUAUGGUCCAUGAUGUUCAAAACAUCUUUGAAGUCCCGAUUCUAAGCCGUUAAGCAUGGUGCACAAAACUAUCAAGUAGUCAUCAUAUUGAGCUAGCCAAACGUUCAUAACGUCUACAUUUGCUCCUGCAUUAGGUCUUUCACCUAGCGGUGCAUUAAGGACAUAAUUCUUCUGUGCAGCAAUGAGGAUAAACCUCAGAUCACGGAUCCAAUCCGCAUCAUUGCUACUAACAUCUUUCAACACAGUUUUCUCUAGGAACAUAUCAAAAUAAACAUAUGAAAGCAACAACGCGAGCUAUUGAUCUAUAACACAAUUUGCAAAAUACUACCAGGACUAAGUUCAUGAUAAAUUAAAGUUCAAUUAAUCAUAUUACUAAAGAACUCCCACUUAGACAGACAUCUCUCUAGUCAUCUAAGUGAUCACGUGAUCCAAAUCAACUAAACCAUGUCCGAUCAUCACGUGAGAUGGAGUAGUUUCAAUGGUGAACAUCGCUAUGUUGAUCAUAUCUACUAUAUGAUUCACGCUCGACCUUUCGGUCUCCGUGUUCCGAGGCCAUAUCUGUAUAUGCUAGGCUCGUCAAGUAUAACCUGAGUAUUCCGCAUGUGCAACUGUUUUGCACCCGUUGUAUUUGAACGUAGAGCCUAUCACACCCGAUCAUCACGUGGUGUCUCAGCACGAAGAACUUUCGCAACGGUGCAUACUCAGGGAGAACACUUCUUGAUAAUUAGUGAUAGAUCAUCUUAAAAUGCUACCGUCAAUCAAAGCAAGAUAAGAUGCAUAAAGGAUAAACAUCACAUGCAAUCAAUAUAAGUGAUAUGAUAUGGCCAUCAUCAUCUUGUGCUUGUGAUCUCCAUCUCCGAAGCACCGUCGUGAUCACCAUCGUCACCGGCGCGACACCUUGAUCUCCAUCGUAGCAUCGUUGUCGAUUACGCCAUCUAUUGCUUCUACGACUAUCGCUACCGCUUAGUGAUAAAGUAAAGCAAUUACAGGGCGUUUCCAUUUCAUACAAUAAAGUGACAACCAUAUGGCUCCUGCCAGUUGCCGAUAACUUCGGUUACAAAACAUGAUCAUCUCAUACAAUAAAAUAUAGCAUCACGUCUUGGCCAUAUCACAUCACAACAUGCCCUGCAAAAACAAGUUAGACGUCCUCUACUUUGUUGUUGCAAAUUUUACGUGGCUGCUACGGGCUUAGCAAGAACCGUUCUUACCUACGCAUCAAAACCACAACGAUAGUUUGUCAAAUAGACUCCGUUUUAACCUUCACAAGGACCGGGCGUAGCCACACUCGGUUCAACUAAAGUUGGAGAAACAGACACCCGCCAGUCACCUGUGUGCAAAGCAUGGCGGUAAAACCAGUCUCGCGUAAGCGUACGCGUAAUGUCGGUCCGGGCCGCUUCAUCCAACAAUACCGCUGAACCAAAGUAUAACAUGCUGGUAGGCAGUAUGACUUAUAUCGUCCACAACUCACUUGUGGUCUACUCGUGCAUAUAACAUCAACGAAUAAAACCUAGGCUCUGAUGCCACUGUUGGGGAACGUAGUAAUUUCAAAAUUUUCCUACGCACAUGCAAGAUCAUGGUGAUGAUAUAGCAACGAGGGGAGAGUGUUGUCUACGUACCCUCGUAGACCGAAGCGGAAGCGUUGACGCAACGUAGAGGAAGUAGUCGUACGUCCUCCCGGUUCGACCGAUCCAAGCACCGUUACUCCGGCACCUCCGAGUUCUUGACACACGUACAGCUCGAUGACGCACCCUCGAUCUCCAAUCCAGUAGAGGCUCCGAGGGGGAGUUCCGUCAGCACAACAGCGUGGUGACUAUAUUGAUGUUCUCCUGUCGCAGGGCUUCGCCUAAGCACCGCUACAAUAUGACCGAGGUGUAAUAUCGUGGAGGGGGGCACCGCACACGGCUAAGGAACGAUCAAUGAUCAACUUGUGUGUUCUAGGGUGCCCCCCUACCCCCGUAUAUAAAGGAGGGAGGGAGGAGGUGGCCGGCCCAAGGAGGGGGCGCGCCAUGGGAGGAGGAAACCUACUCCAAGUAGGUUUCCCCUCUUUUUCCUUAUCUUAUUUGGAGGGGGAAGGAAGGAGUACUAGUAGUAGGAAGGAGUACUAGUAGUAGGAAAGGAAGAGGGGGAAGGAGAAAGGAAAGGGGGGGCCGGCCCCCUCCCCAAUUCGGAUUGGGCUUGGGGGGGCGCGCCCCCCUCCCUUGCUCCUUCUCCCUUCCUCCUACAUGGGCCCAAUAAGGCCCAUAUACCUCCCGGGGGGUUCCGGUAACCUCCCGAAGCUCCAAACUCUUCCGGAACCUUUCCGGUGUCCAAAUAUAUCCGUCCAAUAUAUCAAUCUUUAUGUCUCGACCAUUUCGAGACUCCUCGUCAUGUCCGUGAUCACAUCCGGGACUCCGAACAAACUUUGGUACAUCAAAAUACAUAAACUCAUAAUAUAACUAUCAUCGAAAACUUAAGCGUGCGGACCCUACGGUUCGAGAACGAUGUAGACAUGACCGAGACAUGUCUCUGGUCAAUAACCAAUAGUGGGACCUGGAUGCCCAUAUUGGUUCCUACAUAUUCUACGAAGAUCUUUAUCGGUCAAACCGCAUAACAGCAUACGUUGUUCCCUUUGUCAUCGGUAUGUUACUUGUCCGAGAUUUGAUCGUCGGUAUCCAAUACCUAGUUCAAUCUCGUUACCGACAAGUCUCUUUACUCAUUCUGUAAUACUUCAUCUCAUAACUAACUCAUUAGUUAUAUGCUUGCAAGGCUUAUGUGAUGAGCAUUACCGAGAGGGCCCAGAGAUACCCCUCCGACAAUCGGAGUGACAAAACCUAAUCUCGAAUUAUGCUAACUCAACAUGUACCUUCGGAGACACCUGUAGUACUCCUUGAUAAUCACCCAGUUACGUUGUGACGUUUGGUAGUACCCAAAGUGUUCCUCCGGUAAACGGGAGUUACACAAUUCUCAUAGUUACAGGAACAUGUAUAAGUCAUGAAGGAAGCAAUAGCAGAAUACUAAACGAUCAAGUGCUAAGCUAACGGGAUGGGUCAUGUCAAUCACAUCAUUCUCCUAAUGAUGUGAUCCCAUUAAUCAAAUGACAACACAUGUCUAUGGUUAGGAAACAUAAUCAUCUUUGACUAAUGAGCUAGUCAAGUAGAGGCAUACUAGUGACUAUAUGUUUGUCUAUGUAUUCACACAUGUAUCAUGUUUCCGGUUAAUACAAUUCUAGCAUGAAUAAUAAACAUUUAUCAUGAUAUGAGGAAAUAAAUAAUAACUUUAUUAUUGCCUCUAGGGCAUAUUUCCUUCACCUGGCCGCUCCAGAACGAGCGGUACUACCGCCCACUCCAAGCGGUACUACCGCUGAGGCCACCCAAGAGGCACUACCGCCCAGCAUCCGCCCUACUACCGCUCAACCCGACAAACUCCAGUGAUCGAGCGGUAUAAGCCCGGUACUACCGCCCCUCCAAGCGGUACUACCGCUCAAGCGGUACUACCACCCAUGAGUCCGGUACUACCGCCCUGCUUGUGAGCAGCCGCGGGCCUUUGGCCUUGUAUCCCUCUCCCACUUACCCCUUCGUGGCUUAGACUAUAAAUAGACCACCUCCACCUCCUUUCUAGGGUUAGAACAGAUUGAGCUUAUUUUGAGAUAGAGCUUUACUCAUCCAUACGGAUCUACUCCUCGUGAGAGACUGCGGCCUCUUCGGAGAAGAUCGAUCUUGGAUUCAAGACCCCUCGUGGGAAGAUCCGUCUAGGAUCAUCAAGACCUCCUCUUGGAGAUGAACCUUACCUUGUAUCUUUCCCUUUGUUGUUCAUGUACCCUUGUGGAUCUUGUGUGUUUGAUUGUCUAGUGGAUGUGUGAUUGGACUUGUUCUUGAGUGUUUCCCCUUGUGAUUUCUCUCCGUUCUUCCCUGUGUUCUUCGUGUUCUUCGUGGGGAUCCACUCCAAACGUGAAAAAUCGGCCUCUAGGGUUCUACCCUACAUCAUCAUCCUUCAAAAAUAUGGAGGGCCAUUAUUGACGGAAGGGAUAUUAUAUGGCGCAAGGUAUAAUCAGACGCAUCGGGGAUGGAGCGACUACACACAUAUGGGAUCACAACUGGAUUAUGAUGGAAAGCUAUAAGAGGCCAAUAACUAAGUUAGUGCAGAACCCCCCUCAGAAACAUUUUAUGUAUACACGUUAACAUUUCCCAGAUAUAUGAUUAAUAUUUUUGGAAAACUUCUAUUUUUUAUGUGUACUUUUUUAUACAUUUUGUAAUAUCAGAAAUAGUUUUUAUAGAAGGUUUAACAUUUUUCAAAUACAUGAUUACCUUUUUGUAAACUUAUAUUGUUUGACGUUUACUUUUUUUCAUAGACAUAGUGAGGGGUUAUAUCUAAGGAAUAGGCCCAAGUACAUGUAUGGCACAACCAAAUGCCCAUGUUAAUCAAGGAUGUUCCACAAGACAAAUGGGGAAACACACCAAGGCCAAUGGAGCUACAAGGCCAAGGCAUCGGAUACAAGGGGAGAGUCAACUAUGUACAGUCGGAUUACACAGCCCUUAACAGACAAGACUCAUCAGUUGGUCCACUAUUGGAAUCAGGUCAUUUGCCGUCAGCCCAGAAUAGACGCGAAGACUUUGCCGUGAGCAAGUUGACGACAAACACAAUCAGCAAAGACUAUAUCGGCAGAGAGCUAAUUUGACGUCAACUUUUCAUCGCGCUGAUGACAAAGACUUUGCCGUCAAUUAAACUAUGUGUUUGUAGUCUGUAGAGAAAACACAAACGGCAAAGAAAUUAAAAAAAUGGUCAUUUUAAAAUAAUUUUUAGAAAUCUAUAUACUGUUUUUUAAAAUGUUUAAUAUGUACCAAGAAUUAUUUCGUAAGUAUACAAAAGAUGUAUAACGUGUAUGAAAAUUACGUAGACAUCAGAACAUAUUAUAGAAAUGUUAAUCUUGUAUUUAAAAAUUUUAAAUACACAUGCAUAAAAAUGUUUUUGAUGUACAUAAAAAAAUUGUACAUAGUGUGUGAACAAAGUAUGCAUUGAAAAAACAAAAAUCUUGUUGGAAAAAAAUCUCGUGUUGUAUACGAAAAUGUAAAAGGUGUAUGAAAAUAAUUAGAUAUAUGUUUAAUGAAAAAAGGAAAGAAGGCGCAAAAAAUCCGAUUAACACCAAGAUAGGAACAAGAAAACCUGAAGAAGACCAUUGAAAAAAAGAAAUGAAUACAAGAAAGAGGAAGAAAAACAAAAAAAAUGAAGAAGCUGAUGCAGAACAGGGAACUUAGUGAAAACGAAUAAAAAUUGAUGAAAACCGAGAAGAAAAACAAGAAAACUGAAGCAAAAAUUAAGAAAAAUAUGUAAAAAAAAUGAUGAAACAUUGCGAAACAGUGAAAUACUAUGAAAACCAAAGGAAAAAAAGACUCAAAAAUAAGAACGUACAGCAAGCGAAUGAACAACAACUGAGUGAACGAGCGAACAUGCGAGAAUACGUUAAUUGUCUGGCCCAUACUUGUGGAUUCCAGAGGCGAGCCAGAAUAGGCGAGAUAUAGCUAUGACGAUUUGAUACCCUUCAUAGCUUCACGAAUGCUAUAUCUCGCUCACAGCGAAAGUAUUUUUUGUCUGGCCUGAAGGUGAAAGAAUAGCAUCAGGUCGCUGUAAGUUUUGUGAUCCUACAAUCAGAGCUCGAUAAGAUUAAAAUUCAUGUUUCUGACAACCAGUCAUUCGCUCACUCAAUUCCACGUACUAGUUUGGUUAGGUUUUUUUUUCAUUUUUUUCUGUUUUUUAUUUCUUCACUGGCUUUCUUUGGUUUUUUUAUCGGUUUUCUUUGUUUCCUUCACGUUUUACUCUUUCUUUUCCUUUUUACUGGUUUAUCUAUUCCUUUUUUCUUUGUUUCUUUCUUGGUUUUCUUUGUUUUUUCUUUCUUUUGAUGUCAACCUUUUUACAUACACAUUCAACAAUUUUCGUAUACAUCAGAAACAUUUUAUGUAUACACGUUAACAAUUCCCAGGUACAUGAUUAAUAUUUUUGGAAAACUUCUAUUUUUUAUGUGUACUUUUUGAUACAUUUUGUAUAUAUCAGAAAUAUUUUUUAUAGAAGGUUUAACAUUUUUUAAAUACAUGAUUACCUUUUUGUAAACUUAUAUUGUUUGACGUUUACUUUUUUUCAUAGACAUAGUGAGGGGUUAUAUCUAAGGAAUAGGCCCAAGUACAUAUAUGGCCCAAGUACAUUUAAUCAAGGAUGUAGUCCACAAGACAAAUGGGGAAACAGACGGGGGCCAAUGGAGCUACAAGGCCAAAGCAUCGGAUACAAGGGGAGAAUCUACAGUCGGAUUACACAACCCUUGACAGACAAGACUCAUUAGUUGGUCCGCUAUAGGAAUCGGGUAAUUUGCCGUCAGCCGAGAACAUACUCAAAGACUUUGCCGUCAGCAAGUUGAUGACAACUUUUCAUCACGUUGAUGACAAAGACUUUGCCGUCAAUUAAACUAUGUGUUUAUCGUCUAUAGAAAAAACACAAACGGCAAAGGAAAGCACCUUUGCCAUCAGCGGCUAAUCUGCAUGUGUCUUCAACAAGACUCGUCUUGUCACUAGCCUCAAACAUCACAGAUGGAAAAGAAAUUUUUUAUUUUAAAAAAUCUGCGUCGACCACCCUACUUCGCACAUGUAGCCACCGCCUGGCCGCGCUCGCUGAUCACCCACAAGUGUAGGGGAUCUAUCGUAGUCCUUUCGAUAAGUAAGAGUGUCGAACCGAACGAGGAGUAGAAGGAAAUGACAAGCGGUUUUUAGUAAGGUAUUCUCUGCAAGCACUGAAAUUAUCGGUAACAGAUAGUUUUGUGAUAAGGUAAUUCGUAACGGGUAACAAGUAACAACAGUAAAUAAAGUGCAGCAAGGUGGCACAAUCCUUUUUGUAGCAAACGACAAGCCUGGACAAAUUCUUAUAUGAAGGAAAACGCUCCCGAGGACACAUGGGAAUUAUCGUCAAGCUAGUUUUCAUCACGCUCAUAUGAUUCACGUUCAUUACUUUGAUAAUUUAAUAUGUGGAUGGACCGGUGCUUGGAUACUGCUCUUUCUUGGAUAAGCAUCCCACUUAUGAUUAACCCCUAUUGCAAGCAUCCGCAACUCAAAAGAAAUAUUAAGGUAAACCUAAUCAUAGCAUGAAACAUUGACACGGCACAUUAUAAAGAGUUCAACCCAAAUUUUGUAGUAACACUAUUAUAUUUAAAUAGUGAUUAUUCCAACACAUGGAUAAUUAAUUAAGGCACCAGGUUGCGCUUGUGACCAGGAAAGACAAACUUAUGAACUUGCAAGCAUGACAAUCAGAUCGACAUCCACACAAUGUCAAUAUGAACAUUGUCUUGAUACAACUUUAUUUGUAUUUUAUUUCAGAAUUUAAACAACUAGUUUGGGCGGGUCACACACGACGUUGUGUGACACUUUAUUUGUCACCGCUGCAUCGACAUAUCCAUCGACUAAACAACGGUGAUCCAACUAUAUAUUACUAGAGACCUUUCCUUAUCAGUAGGCACCAACUCCAGUGCCAACGCCAAAUGGCACACUAGUGGUGGUCCUAUACAACGGCACAUUGACACGGCACAUCAUUGGCAGGGUACGGAGCGCAAUGGAAGUCAUCACCUCAAGCUGAGCUAUCUGGUGUGGCUGCAAAAAGGUACCCUGUGCCAAUUGUUGUUGUUGAGGUUGUUGCCCGAGUUGCUGCUGUGACUGCUGUUGGGGUUGGGAAACGCAUUGGCCCAACUGUUGCGGUUGCUGCUGCUGAGUUUGGAUGGAACCCCGAACCUGUUGUUGUUCUUGCAGGACGAUGGA